AGAAAUCCAUAAGAUGAUAAUUAAUAAACACCCUCUCUUAAUAACAUAACAUAGGAGUCUUUAAACUUAUAUUCUUCAAACAAUUAUAAGCUGUCUUCAACUUUACUGUUAAACUACAAUUAUAAAGAAUUAAGAAUCACACACCAACAACAUUUAUAAGUCAUCACUCACAUGCAACAAGGUGCCUCAAUGUGAAUAAACCAAGAUCAAUAAGAAAUGAGGUUCCACUUAACCAAGCUGAGAAUUUUCUGGUUUUCCAGCUCCAUGCACAAACCUAAUACAAUGAUAUGAUAUUCAAUAUCAAGAGGUACCUUGUCGUAAAACUGAGAAUAUGAGGUUGCAUAGGAUGGAGAAAAGUAAGAAGAGGAUUUACCAAUUACCCUUUCAAAUGCAGCUCCUCAAGAUUUCAUAGUCCCUUCCUUCACUGCAAAUGCAACCCAAAUAUGUUAAAGAAGUUAAUGAAACCGGAAUAUGAAGAGUUUCGAAAUAAAAAUUCAACAUGUUGAAACUUGUAAUUUAGAAGUAUUGACGAUAAGGCAGUUUAGAUCCUGACCAAUGAAAGACUAAUUAGCAGGAGAGAGACUAGUUGACUGGCCUUCCUCUUCCUAUCUUCCCUUGUGUCUCUUGAAGACUGUGCAACAUUGCUUCCACUGGAUUCUUCAAUCUCACCAGCACCACCAUAUUCAUCAUCUUUCUUUUUGGAAUAAAGAGGGCAUAUGCCGCAUUCUUUUAUUGUGAUGCCAACGUCAUAAUCACGCGGACUGAUCUCAAAAGUGAAGCUGCGAGCAUCACAGAGCCUAAGGCUCAUGCCCUUCGCCCUUAGGGACUUCAUGUUAAAUUUCCAAACGAAUGUGUGAUCUUGAUCAAGACCUCUGUCUUCAUAACCCCAUUCGAAAUAGCUGGUGAACACAUCAUUAUUUGGAAUGAUCUGUGUGCCAUCAUCAUCAGAUUCAAAUUUUAGACUGUAACCAAAAGAACCAUAUCCACCUUCAAUAUCAUUCGUAUCUAACACUCCAACUACCACACACAAAGCGAAACCAGUGAGCCUAUCAUCGCUGCAGACACUUAAAUCUUCAUUUAUAGUCACUGAAUCUCCCUUCCCACGAAAAUGGAACCAACCAGGAACUGCACUCCCUGGAAAACAGAAGAACACACACCUAUAUGUAUCGUCGAUCAUCCUAAGCCUUGCAUCCUCCUCAAUGUUAGCACGACCACCUGAAUCCAGUUGUUGAGCAUUGGUGAAAUGAAAUUUGAAGACACCCUCUUUGGAAUUUGACAAGUUUCGAACAAGAGAAUUUGACAUCACUCUUCUAACGGAUGGGCAAUCCAAUGCCACUAGUUGUUUUAGAAAUGGUGGAAUCGGUGGGAUGCAUUCAAGCUUUUCGCAUUCGCUUAAAUCAAGCGAUUUCAAGCUCGAAAGAUGAGCAAAGCUCUCAGGAAGGCUCACGAUUCCGCUAUCACGCAGUGAGAGUUCCAUUAAUGACGUCAAACGACCAACAUGUCUUGGGAUUUCUGUUAAUUUGGCACACCCUGAACAAUCAAGUUUAGAGAGAAGCUUCAGAUUAACAAUGGAGUUUGGAAGUGACUCGAGAUCAAUGCAUUUGCGGAGCUCCAGGGAUCGUAGAUUAACCAAAUUGGCAAAUGAGGAAGGCAGUUCUUUAAUAGCCGUAGAUGUUAAGUUAAUGUGAGCAAAAGUAGGAGCCGGCUCCGUGAUAUCUGGGUAGGUCCUCAGGCUUGAGCAACCACACAAAUCAAGCUUCCUCAACUUCAAAUUGAAAAUGGUGCUUGGAAAAGUUUGAAGUGAAUUACAGUGGGUAAGGUCUAACUUGCAUAGUCCGGUGAGGCUUCCAAUGGAAGAUGGAAUAAUCUCAAGAUUCAAGCAACGGUGCAAACUCAGUUCUUCAAGCCCUACCAAACGUGUCCAAGAUGAAGGUAGUGCCUGUAUGGCUGUGUCGUCUAAGAUGAGCACCGUUAAAUCUUCCAACGUGUCCUGAAUCUCGGGUAAAUUUUCCAAUUUUGAGCAACCCCGGAGAGAAAGUUGCUUUAGGAAUUUCAUAUCAGAAAGAUGAAAUGGAAAGAUUGUAAGAGAAGAACAGUGAGAGAGAUCUAAGCGAUAGAACUGCUUGCGACUAAAGGUUAAGGACACACCUUCCUUGAGUUUUGUGAACACUUUUAAGUGUAUGGUAUUAUUAGCCACUUCUUCUUCCUUAUAUCUGUCAAAAGUAAUUGAGAAAAUUUGACUGGAAGUUGGGAAAAGACCAUGGCGUCGACGUUUACGACGCCGUCGUGAGAAAUUGAUCUCUUUCAUCAUAUCCGGUUCCAGACGAGGGAAUCUUGAGAAAGUUUGACGUUGACGCUCGAGUAUGACAUGAGGGAAUCUGGGUUCACUGGUUGAAAACAUAUUAAGCUUCGGACAACGGGAAAUAUUAAUCCAUCCUGGUGAUGUGGAUAAAAUGUUGCUGGGAAUAUUUACACUUUCGAGAUUAGAACAAUUAUCUAAACAUAAAUAACUGAGCUUGGUGAGGAAUAUCGAGGAGUGAACUUCAAUCAACUUUUCACAAGAACUCAGAAUUAUUUCUUCAAUAUUUGGUGACAUAGAAAGGUCUGGUAUUCUAGUAAGUUUCAGAGAACCAGUCAGGUCGACCCUUUUCAACUUGGGUAAAUUCUGCCACAAAUACUAAAUGAAUGAGGUAACAAAUAAAAACUACUUUAUCUAUUUUUCUUCGGUAAACUAAUUUAUUUUUCAGAAAUGAUGAAAAUUAUAACUAAACUAUAUAAAAUUCCAUUUUAUUCUACUCAUCCUUAAUUUUUUUGUGAAAUCUUGAUUUUGGGAUAAUAUCACUUAAACUUAAGAAAUAUUUGGCAUUAAUGAACUCUAAACAAAUUCAUAUAAGAUAUACAUCACUUUCAAUCCAAAAUCUUAAACUAAUAGGUUUAUGAAUUUUCUUUAUAUGUUGUUUUAAAAAGUUGAGACUAAAUUGAACUUUUGAAAAUUGGGAGGAUGAAAUUAUAUUUUGUCUAUUAAUAUAGGGAUUAAAAAAAUAAUUGAAUCAAAUAUUACUAUUUUUGUGAUGUAUAUUUAUAUAUAAAUAAUUUUGAGAAUUUAGAGUUAUAUCAUAUAUAUAUAUAUAUAUAAAAUUCUUUUUGGUAAUGUAUCCUGUAAUUGUAAGCAAGUAUGAUUAUAUUAAGUGGGUGCGUUUCAAAUAGAGGAGACUACGCACAUACAAAUAUCUCUUAUAAAGUAAGAAAACAAACAAACCGUUACUCAAGAAGAUCAUGUAAUGCAUGACAGACAACAUGGGGAGAUAUCUAUCAUCAAUAAUAAAACGAUGUUUUCUGAGAGUUAAAAUUAAACCUUAUUUAAAAUAAGUCCAUCUUUCCAUAUUUUAUAAUUUGUUGUAUAUUAUAUUGAAGUUUAUGUUAUAAUAAAAAAAAUGACUUAAUUAAUCAAAUAAUGUGGAGAAGGCACAAAGGAAUUGCAAAUGAAAACCAGUAGAUGUAUAAUACAGAAAACAUGCUUGUAUAACUUAUUUUUGUCUUUGAAAGUUUAGAACACAAAGAAACAUAGAUAGCUUGAAAAACCUGAUCUCCUUCCCAAAGUUGUUCAAGAUUGCAGCCUGGCAUUUUGAGGGUCACUAGACUUUGUGGGCAAAAGUUUGGAGGCCAAAAUCUUUGAAGGAAAUUGUCCCAAUAAAGAAUCUUUAAAGUGUCCGGCAGAUCUACAAGAGAUGAUUCAAGAGACUCAUAAGAUUGUCCAUCUUUUCGAAACUUUGUGCAUGUACUACAGCAUCUUUUACUUUGUUCGUAUGUAGUAAUAUACACUGUAUUGCAUCUGACCCCUGAAAGUAAAUCAAUGUAAUUAGAAGAAAAAAACAUGAAAUGUUGCAUUGCAGGAUGUUUGAUGACAGCUCAGUGGUUUGCAAUUUUUCACAAAGUAAAUCCAUGUUCAAUUGAGUAACGACAUAAUACCUUGUUCUUUCUUAAAACCUCUCAAAUUUCCUCAGCAUUAAACAAUCGGCUGCGUUUUCCAGGAUGCUGAGGACACUCUUUACGAACAAUUUCUUGACUCAUUUCUUGUAUUAGAUCGUGCAUCACAAUUCUACCAUCAAAGACAGAUAUUAGGCCCCUAUCUUUGAGAAUAUCCAUUCCAAUCUUAGAAGAGAAACCACAGUCAGCAAGUGUUUCUGCUACCACAAUCUCCUGGCGUCCUCUAUAAAAGCAAGCUAUGUCAAGAAAUAUAUUCUUCUCCUCCUCCUCCAGCCCAUCAUAACUUAAUUUUAAUACAUUGAAAAUAUCAAGAUGUUGGCCCUUUUCCAACUUUUGCAACUGACUCUCCCAUGCUUCUCUUGUUCUGCCAUAAAGCAAUGACCCCAAAAUCUAGAGAGCUAAUGGAAUCCCUUUUGCAUAUCUCAACACCUUUUCUGACAGUUCCCUGUAAGCAAUUUCUUCUGAAGAUUUUUGUUUAAAAGCAAGUAAACUAAAAAGUUUCUGAGAAUCAUCAAAAUUCAACUCCUUAACUUCGUAGAUAUCAUCAGCUCUAGCAUUCUUAAGCACUUGUUUGUCUCUACUGGUGAUAAUCAUUCUACUGCCCUGCCCAAAACUAUCACUCCCUCCUAUUAAUUUUUUAAGUAGAGCUGAAUCGGUAACAUCAUCAAGAAUGAGGAGAGCCUUUGUCCGUUUCAGCCUUUCAUUGUAAUAUGAUAAACCAUGGGAUUUCUUUAUCUCUUCCUUUAGAAGCUCAGACAGAUAUUUUGUUCUGAUACUGUCUAUUCCAUCUUUUUGUAUUUUUUCUUGAACGUCUAAAACAAGGCUGCUGGAACCAAACUGCAAAGCCAAUGUGUGAUAUAUUUGAUAACAAAUUGUAGUUUUUCCUAUUCCUCCCAUGCCACAAAUUCCUAUGAUCCGAACAUGCGGUGACUCAAGAUGCAACAAGGACUGAAUUCCUUCAAUGUGUUUUUCAAUGCCGAUGAUUCCUUGAUCAUAACUGGUGGAAUAACGAUUCAAUUUUCUCAAAAUAUCUUCCACAAUUUCUUCAACAAGUGUGUGUUCUGGCCUGGCAGAUGAUUUAGAAAAUAAAGUAUAAGUAUUCAAGCACAAAAGCUAAACUAAACUAAAGAAAAAAUCAGAGUUAAGAGGAGUGAACAUCAUUGAAUAGAUUCACAUAUCGAUUCUAGUUUCGAGUUUUGGAUAAAAUAAAUAAAUUAAAAAGUUGAAGGUAAGUAUAGGACGUUAUCUUCGUAUAUUAGUUUGGUUGGUUUAGAAAUUGCAAAUCAAGAUGGCAAAAAUACUACAGUAACCGUUUGUGACUUCUGAUAAUAGGGAGCAGAUUUGUAGGUACAAAGUUAAGCUAUAACAUGUGAUAUGGUUCAGAUCCAUGACCGACUAAAAGAAAGACUUGAUUUAUGGUGAGAUGAACACAAUUUUAGUAAAUGAAAAGAAAUCCUGUUUAUCUCGAAAUUAUCUAAUAAAUAUAAUGACCUGGUGACUUUUGAAUCCCAGCCUGAAAGUCCAGCAGCUUCGGUGAGAGCAUCCUUCCAUCCUUGCGCUUUGACCAUGUCGUGCAUAAACCGCUGUUCAUGAUCAUCGAAUGAUUCUUUGUAUCUUUCUUCCUGCUUCCUAAUAGUUGAUGGAUCCACCUUGUAGAAAACAGGUAUCACAUCCCUUCCAAAUCUCUUCUUGCAUUCAAGUAUCUUACUGAGUUCAUUCAAGCACCAAGUGGAAGAUGCAUAGUUUUGGGAGAAAACGAUGACAUAAAUCUUUGAUUCUUCUAUUGCAGAGAGCAGUGCAGGUGAAAUUUCUUCGCCCCUGAGUAGUCUAUAAUCAAUAUAUGCUUCAAUGUUCUUCCUUUGCAGUGCUGCAUAAAGGUGGCUAAUGAAGUUGUCACGUGUGUCUUCGCCUCUGAAGCUGAGAAACACAUCAUGCCUUGUUAGAGAAGUAGACACGGCCAAUGAUGAAGGACUUUCUGACAUUGGAGUCAAUUUUCUCUCCUUUCUCUGCAAUUCUCAGGUCUCUUUCUUUGUACUGUUUCUACCACAAAUCUACUCUGCUGCUCUGGACUCAUUAUAAAACACAAGUCAACUUUUGAAAAAGUCUUUCAAUUUUCUUAACAUUCCUUUCACAGAUAUGUGUUCUGGUCAGACAUCGUAGUCAGCAGAAACUAAAGAAAAAGAAAAAUAUUAAUUUAAUAGAAUAGUCAACAAAUUGCAAAAUAAGUAUGGAAUCUAGAUUUAUAUCAUUAUCACGUGUGGAAACAUAGCUACGUCUUCUUAGAUAAAAUCCUUAUUUAAGUUUUAAUUGGGCCUUGUAGUGGGCUUUGUAAUCUGCUUUUCUUUUCUCCUAUAUUGCUUUAUAUAUACACCUCCACUUUUGCUUUCUACAUUUCAUUUUACAAAAUACAUUCUCUCAUUCUGUGUCAUUUAUCUUGCCUGAUUCCGUCCUCUCUUUAUCUUUUUCUCUCAUCCUCUUGCUUAUAAUUCUUUUGUUUUUAUUAAGAAAUACACUAUAAUUCUAAUUUAAUCAUAUACUAUAAUUAUGCUAAUCAUCAAUUAGUACUAUAUAUUAUUAAUGAUCUGCGUAUAUAUUAUUUAUGAUUUGCGGAUAAGACAAUAGAUUCAAUAAAUUCUAGAUAAAAUAAAUUUUAAAUGAAUAUGAUAAAAAUAUAUUAAAAAAUGAACUUUAUUGAAUCGAUUGAGUAUCUCUAUUUUAAAGACUUGUAAGAAUAAUAGGAAUAACAAUAUAUUAAUAUUAAUAUGUUUCUUAAUAAAUUUCAUACCCACUAUCUAUUUAUAAAUUAAUAUAUUAUAAAUAUCUAAUGAUGUCUUAUUUCUCUAACAUUUAAAAUUAAAUUUGUAGAUUCUACAAAACAUUACAUUUUGAUUUUAAUAUUUAUAAAAUAUUUUUUAUUCUCAUAUUUAAAAAACAAAACUUAGUUUGAGUGUAUUCCUUAGUUACUUACUACUCAUCACCAGCCGCCAACAGCGUGAUGGCUUCACUCUCCGUUCGCGCCACAACCACCUCUUAUCGGGCCUCCUUCCGGCCCAAGCCCACCUCGGGGCCCACCAGGGUCCGAAUGUCCCUCCGCGAUGACGGCCCCGCCAUCGCCGUCGUCGGCGUCACCGGCGCCGUUGGCGAGGAGUUCCUCUCCGACCGCGACUUCCCCUACCGUUCCAUCAAAAUGCUGGCCUCGCAGCUCUCCGCCGGCCGCCGCAUCAUCUUCGAGGACAGGGACUACGUCGUGGAGGAGCUCACAGCGGAUAGCUUCGACGGCGUCGACAUUGCGCUCUUUAGCGCCGGCGGUGGUAGACUAUAGCUCCGCAUUUGGGAUGGACGAGAAGGUGACGCUGGUUAUUCCCGAAGUGAAGCCCCAAACGAUGCAACACAUCAAAGUUGGAACGGGAAAAGGCGCUCUGAUUGCGAACCCUAAUUGCUCCACCAUUAUUUGCUUGAUGGACAUACUAAUUAAUAUCAAUUAUAACAAAUAAUGAACGUUUCUGGUCAUUUCUUGUACUUCGCGUUAUUUCAUAACAGUAGUUUUUUUAAAUAAAUUAAGAAAAAUAUUCAUUUUUAAAUUUAAUGCACUUUUAAAUAAUUUGACUAUUAUAAACAUAAUCACUUAUAAAAAUAAUUUUAGAGUAGUUGAUAUAAUUAAAAUAAAAUAUUUUAUUAUUAAAGUAAAAAUUAUAUAUAAAUAAAAAAUAGGUUUUAUUUUAAAAUAAUAUUCAAUUUUAUAAAAGUUUUUUCUUUUUGUCUUUUUUUUUUUAUAUUUCUAACCAUAUUUUUUCGUGAGGUUGAUAAUAGAAUCUCACUUUGGAUUUAUGGGAAUGAAUAAUGAAUUAGUUUUUAGUUUUCUAUUUAUCUAUAUAUAAAGGUGAUACGGUGACAAAUUCCAAAAUUUUAUUAUAAUGUUUGCUUUGUUGAUUGAAAUAGAUGUUAAUUGAUGAAAAAGAUUGAAAGUUUUAAACCCAAUACACCCCUCACGUCGAGGUUAGGUGGACUGAUAAGUUCAGCAAAAUCUCGUUAUGAUAGUUUUUAGAUGACUCUGAUACCACAAUAAAAAAUAAACUUUAAAUUUAACUCAACCUUACAAAACUAAUUUAUAAAGUGAGCUAUGUAUCCCUAGUCGAUGUAGAAUCUCUAACAAUGAUUUAAAUGAAUUGUUAUAUGCUUUAUGAAGUUUAACCUUUAUUUUUACUUGACAAAUUGGAUUUUAAUGAGGUAUAUAUGCUCUCAGCAUCAAAUCCGCUUAACGAAAUUUAUAUGUGUCAAGCGAAUUUGGACAUGUAGAGUUUGAUGUGCUCUUGGCCUCAAAUCCGCUCAAUGUUUUUUUUUCCUGUACUUAAGCAAACUUACAUCCAGAUUUUGGAGUACUUUCGAACUCAAAUUUGCUCAAAGAAAUUUUCUUAUGGUAAGCAAAUUUAAGCGGCUAUUGUUUGGAUGUUCUCUGCCUCAAAUUCGUUCAGUGAAAUUUUCCUGUGCUAAGGAGAUUUCUCUGGGCUUAAGCCCCAACUUCAUGGGCUCGACCCAUUUUGACGACAUUUGUCAUCUUUGCUUAGAUAUCUUUUGGUUUGUUUUCUAUAGGUCAUGAAAUUGAAUUAAAUCUUUUGAAAUUUAUCAUUUUGUAAAUUGUAAGUGAUUACAACUUUCUAAUGUUCAUGCAACAUGUGUUUAAAAUAAGUAAAUCUAACAAAUAAAUACUCGUUACAUAUUCAAUGGAAAGCUUUUUCUUUUAAUUCUUUGGUGUUUUAUUUUGAUGAUGUAUAUAUUUGAAAAUCAAUGUAUGAAUGGAUAAUGCUUUAUGAUAUAAUAAUAUUACAAUGUAAAUGUUAUUUAUAUACUAUCACAUGAUAAAUUAAAAUUUAAUAAGAUAGUUAAGGAUGUUAUAAUUAUUCUUUUAAUUUAUUUUAUUUCACUGUAUAUUUAGGUGUAUUACGUAGAAUGUAUAGUUAAAAAAAUAAUGUUAUUUUGAAAUUUAAAGAAUGACGUAUAGAAAUAAACAAGCUUUUGUUAAAAUUAUACUAUUUGAAAAGGAACACAGAACAAUAUUGACAAUUAUACUUUUACUUAUUACUUAUUUUAAUUUAUUAUAUUCAUGAGUAUUAUUUUUUUUAAACAUAGAUAUUGGAUAAAAAAUAUAAAUAACAUUUAUUUAUUUCAAAUUUAAAAAUCUUUAAAAUAAAAUUAAAUAAUAUUUUUAAUUAAGAUGUGUUUUUUAACAAUUUUUUUAAUUUAAAAAAUAAUUAAUUCGGAGGAUGAUUAAAGAAAUAUUAACAAAUUAUUUCUGCGUUUAUAAUAAACCUUCAAUAAUAUUUGUACUUUCUAGCAUAUAGAAUACUUAAUGGAUCCCUUUGUGAUUUUUCUUUUCUAAAGUGCAAUUGAUAUUUUAAAUGUUUUUCUAUUUAAUUUUCCUUUCUUAAUGACACAUUAAAGGGUUCAGUGCACGAUUAAUUAUUCUCACCUUAGAUUUCAUUCAUCUCAUUCCAUUUCCACACUCAAAUCAUUCUCACAUUUUUUUCUACCUAUUUCACAAAGUUUUAUGUAAAAUAUGGAAAUUAAACUAAAAGAACCCUACUUAUAUAUUAAUAUUCAACAACUUAAAAUAUUACUAUGCAAAUUAAUCUUUCUUAAUAAUGUUAUGUAAAAAUUAAAAUGUAGUUUAGUCAUUCAUACUUAGAUGGAUAAAGAUGGUUUUAGAAAAAAAAUGCAUUUUAUUUCAAAUCUAUUACUUAUAAAAUGAGUUAUAAAAUGAGGUUUGUGAUAUUUAUUCAAAAUUUAAAUUAUAUUAUGCAUUUAUGGUUUUAUGUUUUUAAAGAAAUCAGAAACUUAGAAAAGCUCCUAAAAACUACUGAAAUCCAUAAGAUGAUAAUUAAUAAACAUCCUCUCUUAAUAACAUAACAUAUAAGAUAGGAGUCUUUACACUUAUAUUCUUCAAACAAUUAUAAGCUGUCUUCAACUUUACUGUUAAACUACAAUUAUAAAGAAUUAACAAUCUCACACACCAACAACAUUUAUAAGCCAUCACUCACAUGAAACAAGGUGCCUCAAUGUGAAAAAACCAAGAUCAAUAAGAAAUGAGGUUCCACUUAACCAAGCUGAGAAUUUUCUGGUUUUCCAACUCCAUGCACAAACCUAAUACAAUGAUAUGAUAUUCAAUCAGCAUUAAUUGGCAUAAACAGGUACAUUGUUGUAAAACUGGGAUUAUAAGGUUCCAUAGGAUGGAGAAAAGUAAGAAGAGGAUUUACCAAUUACCCUUUCAAAUGGAGCUCCUCAGGAUUUCAUAAUGCCUUCACUGCAAAUGCAACCCAAAUAUGCUAAAAAAGUUAAUGAAACUAUAUAUGAAGAGUUUCAAGAAAAUGCAACUCUGGGACAACAGAGAAACCCAUCUCAUGCUGAACAGAAACAUCAAACUAUAUCUAACAAUAACUUAGAAAUCUUUGUCAACAAUUGAACGAACCCACUCCUAAAAUGCCAUUGAAAAUGUAAAUAAAACAAAAUAAAUUAAAAACGAGAAAUUCAUAAUAAAAAUUCAACGUGUUGAAACUUAUGAUAACUCAGUUUAGAUCCUGACCAAUGAAAGACUAAUUAGCAGAAGAGGAAGAGACUAGUUGACAGGGUAGCUUUCGGCCUUUCUCUUCCUAUCUUUCCUUGUUUCUCUUGAAGACUGUGCAACAUUGCUUCCACUGGAUUCUUCAAUGUCAACAUCACCACCAUAUUUAUCAUCUUUCUUUUUGGUAUAAAGGGGGCAUAUGCCGCAUUCUUUUAUUGUGAUGUCUGAUGCCAUCACUCUCACACCUGAUUUGUAACUAUACAGACUGAUCUCAAAAGUGAAGCUGCGAGCAUCACAGACCCUAAGGCUCUUGCGGCUCGCCGUUAGGGACUCCAUGUUAAAUUUCCACACGAAUGUGUGAUCUUCAUCAACACAUCUGUGUUCACCAUUCCAUUUGAAAUAGCUGUUUAACACAUCAUUAUUUAGAAUGAUCUGUGUGCCAUCAUCAUCAUCAGAUUCAAAUUUUAGACUGUAACCAAAAGAACCAUAUCUACAUUUAACAGCUUUCGUAUCUAACACUCCAAAAACCACACACAAAGCGAAACCAGUGAGCCUAUCAUCGCUGCAGAAACUUAAAUCUUCAUUUAUAGUCACUGAAUGUCCCUUCCCACGAGAAUGGAACCAACGAGGAACUGCAUUCCCUGGAAAACAGAAGAACACAGACCUAUAUGCAUCGUCGGUCAUCCUAACCCAUGCAUCCUCCUCAAUGUUAGCACGAGCACCUGAAUCCAGUUGCUGAGCAUUGGUGAAAUGAAAUUUGAAGACACCCUCUUUGGAGUUUGAGAAGUUUGGAACAAGAGAAUUUGACAUCACUCUUCUGAUGGAUGGGCAAUCCAAUGCCACGAGUUGUUUUAGAAAUGGUGGAAUCUGUGGGAUGGAUUCAAGUUUUUUGCAGUCGCUUAAAUCGAGCGAGUUCAAGCUUGAAAGAUGAGCAAUGCUCUCAGGAAGGUUCACGAUUCCGCUAUCACGCAGUGACAGUUCCAUUAAUGACGUCAAGCGACCGAUGUGGCUUGGGAUUUCUGUUAAUUUGGCACACCCCGAACAAUCAAGUUUAGAGAGAAGCUUCAGAUUAACAAUGGAGUUUGGAAGUGACUCGAGAUGAAUGCACUCUUGGAGUUCCAGGGAUCGAAGAUUAACGAAAUUGCCAAAUGAGGAAGGCAGUUCUUUAACAGCCGUAGAUGUUAAGUUAAUGUGAGCAAAAGUAUGAGCCGGCUCCGCGAUCUCUGGGAAGGUCCUCAGCCUUGAGCAACCACGCAAAUCAAGGUUCCUCAACUUCAAAUUGAAAAUGGUGCUUGGAAAAGUUUGAAGUGAAUUACAGUGGGUAAGGUCUAACUUGCAUAGUCUGGUGAGGGUUCCAAUGGAAGAUGGAAUAAUCUCAAGAUUCAAGCAACUGCGCAAACUCAGUCCUUGAAGCCCUACCAAACGGCACAAGGAUGAAGGUAGUGCCUGUAUGGCUGUGCCGUCUAAGAUGAGCACCACUAGAUCUUCCAACGUGUCCUGAAUCUCGGGUAAAUUUUCCAAUUUUGAGCAACCACUGAGAGAAAGUUUCUUUAUGAAUUUCAUAUCAGAAAGGUGAAAUGGAAAGAUUGUAAGGGAAGAACAGUGAGAGAGAUCUAAGUAACAGAGCUUCUUGCGAUUAAAGUUGAAGUGACAGAGCUUCAUGAGUUUUGUGAACACUUUAAAACAUAUAGUAUCAUUAGCCACUUCUUCUUCCUUAUAUCUGUCAAAAGUAAUUGAGAAAAUUUCACUGGAAGUUGGGAAAAAAGGACCACGGUGUCGACGUUUACCACGCCGUCCUGAGAAAUUCGUCAUAUCCGGUUCCUGACGAGGGAAUAUUGAGAAAGUUUGAAGUUGACGCUCCAGUAUCACAUGAGGGAAUCUGGGUUUACUGAUCGAAAACAUAUUAAGCUUCGGACAACGGGAAAGAGUAAUCCAUCCUGGUGAUGUGGAUAAAAUGUUGCUGGGAAUAUUUACACUAUUCAGAUCAUUACAAUCAUCUAAACAUAAACAACUGAGCUUGUUGAGGAAUAUCCAAGAGUGAACUUCAAUCAACUUUUCACAACUUUUCAGAAUUAUUUCUUCAAUAUUUGGUGACAUAGAAAGGUCUGGUAUUCUAGUAAGUUUCCGAGAAUAACUCAGGUCGAGCCUUUUCAAGUUGGGUAAAUUCUGCCACAAAUAGGAAAUGAAUGAGGUAACAAAUAAAAACUACUUUAUCUAUUUUUCUUCGGUAAAAUAUUAGCUACAUCAUCUAAUCUAUUCACUUUAUAUUUUACAUUACUUCAAAACCACUGUUAAAAAAAAUCACACUGUCAACUAACAAAACUGUGGCUAUAAAUUUAAUAGUUAUUAUAAAAAACCACAAAAUUUAACGUGUUUUUGUUCCCUACCUCAAAUUACAUCCUAAUAAUUUGAACCUAAACUUAUUAUGUAUUUAAAAACUGAUGAUAGUAAUUUAUAAUCGAUGACAGUGUGGAAAUACUUUAUAUCAUGCAUGUAUCAACUGACAAAAUAAAAUGGUGUUGUCUGAUGAUAGUAAUUUAUAAUCGAUGACCAUCUUUCCAUAAUUUAUUUUAUUAAAUACAUAAUUUGUUGUAUAUUAUAUUGAAGUUUAUGUUAUAAUAAUAAAAAAAUACUUAAUUAGGUUUUGAGUAUCCAGUAAGACAUUUUUAAUUAAUUUUUUUAUUAAAUUUUUUAAUUAUUUAAGUACUCAAAUUUUUUAUAUUUCCAAUAGAAUAUAUGUCAUUUUUAAUUUUUGAGUUAAUUGGGUGAUACAGAAAUUAUCUUGUCACAUGAUCUUACUUACUUGUCUUUAUGUAUUAAGGAAUAUGAAGUUUUAUGAUUGGCCAUUAGACUAUAUACCUAAAAAGAGGAUGCAAACUCUUCUACAUGCUACUAAAUUUAUAACUAUCUUUAAUUAGAAACAUGCUGAGUAUGAUUCUUAUGAUAUAUGUAUAACUGUGUGGUUCAAAUAAAAGAAAUUUCAAAUCGAAUAAUGUGGAGAAGCACAAAGGAAUUGCAAAUGAAAACCAGUAGAUGUAUAAUACAGAAAACAUGCUUGUAUAACUUAUUUUUGUCUUUGAAAGUUUAGAACACAAAGAAACAUAGAUAGCUUGAAAAACCUGAUCUCCUUCCCAGAGUUGUUCAAGAUGGCAGUAUGGCAUUUCGAGGGUCACUAGAUUUUGCGGGCAAAAGUUUGGAGGCAAAGAUCUUUGAGGGAAAUGUUUCCAAUAAAGAAUCUUUAGAGUGUCUGGCAGACCUACAAUAGAUGAUUCAAGAGACACAUUUGACGUGUAUUUUGGCGUGUUGAGCAUAAGCAUCCUAAGAUUGUCCAUCUUUUCGAAACUUUGUGCAUGUACUACAACUUCAUUUACUUUGCUCGUAUCUAGUGAUAUACACUGUAUUGCAUCUAACCCCUGAAAGUAAAUCAAUGUAAUUAGAAAAAAAAAGCAUGAAAUGUUGCUGUAUGGUUAUGGGCAGAUUGAUGAGAUAUGGUAACCUUCGGAUACUGAUCAUGAAGUGACAUAAAGGAGAAGGAAGCGUUACUGAAGGAGAGUAAUGGAAAUUUAUGAGAAAUUAAGCCGUUGGUUACAGAGACUAGGUAGGGACCGAGUCAUCUAUACCAGGGACCGAGUCAUCUAUAAGAGGAGGCAGAGACGAAGAGUAGGGGUAGGAAAAAAAGAUAUGGUUUUUAUAUUAUCUUUGAUGCUCUAGCUAAGGAUCAUCUGUCCUAAAACAGUUGCAUUUCUGGAUGUUUAAUGACAGCUCAAUAGUUUGCAGUUUUUUCACAAAGUAACAACAGAAUAUACCUUGUUUUUUCUUAAAACAUCACAAAUUUCCUCAGCAUUAAACAGUCGGCUGCGUUUUCCAGGAUGCCGACGACACUCUUUACGAACAAUUUCUUGACCCAUUUCUUGUAUUAGAUCGUGCAUCAUAAUAAUACCAUUAAAGACAGAUAUUAGGCACCUAUCUUUGAGAACAUCCAUUACAAUCUUAGUAGAGAAACCAUUGCAGUCAUCAAGUAUUUCUGCCAGCACAAUCUCCUGGUAUCCUCUAUAAAAGCAAGCAAUGUCAAGAAAUAUAUUCUUCUCCACCUCCUCGAGCCCAUCAUAACUUAAUUUUAAUACAUUGAAAAUACCAUGAUGUUGGCCCUUUUUCAACUUUUGCAACUGACUUUCCCAUGCUUCUUUUGUUCUGUCACAAAGCAAUGAGCCCAAAAUCUGGAGAGCUAACGGAAUCCCUUUUGCAUAACUCAACACCUUUCCUGACAGUUCCUUGUAAGCAAUUUCUUCUGAAGAUUUUUGUUUAAAAGCAUGUAAACUAAAAAGUCUUAGAGAAUCAUCAGAAUUCAACUCCUUAACUUCGUAGAUAUCAUCAGCUCUAGCAUUCUUAAGCACUUGUCUGUCUCUACUGGUCAUAAUGAUUCUACUGCCCUGCCUAAAACUAUCACUCCAUCCUAUUAAUUUUUGAAGUUGAGCUGAAUCGGUAACAUCAUCAAGAAUGAGGAGAGCCUUUGUCCGUUUGAGCCUUUCUUUGUAAUAUGGUAAAGAAGAAGAUUUCUCUUCCUUUAGAAGCUCAGACAGAUAUUUUGUUCUGAUACUAUCUAUUCCAUCUCUUUGUAUUUUUUCUUGAACGUCUAAAACAAGGCUGCUGGAAUCAAACUGCAAUGCCAAUUUCUGAUAUAUUUGAUCACAAAUUGUACUUUUUCCUAUUCCUCCCAUGCCCCAAAUUCCUAUGAUCCGAACAUCCGGUGACUCAGGAUGCAACAAGGACUGAAUUCCUUCAAUAUGUUUUUGAAUGCCGAUGAUUCCUUGAUCAUAACUGGUGGAAUAAAGAUUCAAUUUUCCCAAAAUAUCUUCCACAAUUUUUUCAACAAGUUUGUGGUCAUUCCUGGCAGAUGAUUUAGAAAAUAAAGUAUAAGAAUUCAAGCACAAAAGCUAAACUAAACUAAAGAAAAAUUCAGAGUCAAGAGGAGUGAACAUCAUUGAAUAGAUUCACAUAUCGAUUCUAGUUUCGAGUUCUGGAUAAAAUAAAUAAAUUAAAAAGUUGAAGGUAAGUUUAGGACGUUAUCUUCCUAUAUUAGUUUGGUUGGUUUAGUAAUUGCAAAUCAAGAUCGCAGAAAUUCUACAGUAACCGUAUGUGACUUCUGAUAAUAGGGAGCAGAUUUGUAGGUACAAAGUUAAGCUAUAACAUGUGAUAUGGUUCAGAUCCAUGACCGACUAAGAGAAAUGAAAAAAGAAACACUUGAUUUAUGGUGAGAUGAACACAAUUUUAGUAAAUGAAAAGAGAUCCUGAUUAUCUAAUAAAUAUAAUGACCUGGUGACUUUUGAAUCCCAGCCUGCAAGUUCAGCAGCUUCGGUUAGAGCAUCCUUCCAUCCUUGCACUCUGUCCAUGUCGUGCUUAAGCCGCUGUUCAUGCUCAUCAAAUGCUUCUUUGAAUCUUUGUUCCUGCUUCCUAAUAGUUGAUGGAUCCACCUUGUAGAAAACAGGUAUCACAUCCCUUCCAUAUCUCUUCUUGCAUUCAAGUAUCUUAGUGAGUUCAUUCAAGCACCAAGUGGAAGAUGCAUAGUUUUGGGAGAAAACGAUGACAUAAAUCUUUGAUUCUUCUAUUGCAGAGAGUAGUGCAGGUGAAAUUUCUUCGCCCCGGGGUAGUCUCUCGUCAAUAUAUGCUUGAAUGUUCUUCCUUUGCAGUGCUGCAUGAAGGUGACGAAUGAAGUUGUCACGUGUGUCUUCCCCUCUGAAGCUGAGAAACACAUCAUGCUUUGUUAGAGAAGCAGACACGGGGAAUGAUGAAGGACUUCCUGACAUUGGAAUCAAUUUUCUCUCUUUUCUCUUGCAACUCUCAGUGCCUUUGUUUGUACACAAAUCAACUCUUGGAAAAGUCUUUGAAUUUUCUCAAAAGUAUCUUUCACAGAUCACGCACGCGUGGAAACAUAGCUGUGUUAAAAUCCUUAUUUAAGUUUUAAUUGGGCCUUGUAGUGGGCUUUGUAAUGUGCUUUUCUUUUCUCCUACAUUGCUUUAUAUAUACACCUCAGCGUUUGCUUUCUACAUUUCAUUUUACAAAAUACAUUCUCUCAUUUUCUACCUUUUAUAUUGUCUGAUUCCGUUCUCUCUUUAUUUUUUUUCAAAUCUCUUUUGCUUACAAUUUUUUUUUCUUUUUUAAGAAAUGUACUUUUUCAAGUUUAAUUUAAUUUUAUAAAACAGUCAUCUUUCUACAGUAUUAUCAUCUCUUACGUGAGAUUAUUAUAUAUUAUUUGGUGAUCUAAGUAAACUUUUAAUCCAAUAAACUUUAAAAAUAAUUCUAAUACUAUAUUAAAAAAUGAAAUUUAAAUCUAAUUCUAUUUUAUAAAAUAUAUUUAUUCAAUGCUAAAAUAUCUCUAAUUGAGUAGGGAUGUUCAAAAUACUUAUUGGUUCUUGAUUUUCACUUUCACUUUUAAGGUUUUUCUUCGCAGACACGUAGUAAACAGAAAUACAAAAAUAUGAGUCAAUGGAAGAGUCUAACGAUUCGCAGAAUAUUAUGGUGUCUAGCUUUAUACCGCAUUAAUGCGAGGAGUUUCUUUAAUAUUUUUACUCAAUUUAUUUAUUUUUAAUUCUUUUUUUUUUCACACCUUUUACAAAUAAAGAAUCGUAUUUCUUUAAUAUAUUUUAGAAAAUAACCACUAAACCUUAUUAUAAAAUAUAUUUAUGAAAUGCACGUGUAAGAAUAACAGGAAAAAUAUUACUACGAAAAACAAUAUAUUAAUAUUAAUAUGUUUCUUAAUAAAUUUCAUACCCACUGUCUAUUUAUAAAUUAAUAUAAUAUAAAUAUCUUUAAUGAUGUUUUUGUGGGUAGCUUAUUUCUCUAACGCAGAAUAUUAUGGUGUCUACUUUUAUAAAACAUUACAUUUUGAUUUUAAUAUUUAUUAAAUAUUUUUUAUUUGGGAUGAAGUAACGAUGAUGAAUCGAAUGUGUUUUGAAGUCUGACAUAACUUUUAGAGAUGUUAUGAGAACGGUUAAUGACGGAAAUUAUCAAAAACCUUUUGGGGGAAGGUUGUGGUUUUGGGAGGUGAUUUCAGGUAAAUAUUGUUAGUGGUAAAAAAAGGAUUAAGAUAUGAUGUUGUGAAGUCAACAAUCAACUUUUCUCAUUUGUGGUUAAAUUGUCGAGUCUUAAAACUUUCUCAAGGAAAUCCAACACGAUCUAUUGAUUGAGCCCACAAAAACACCUUUGUUAUCAUUGGUGAAUUUUGUUUAUCCUAAUUUAUUGACUGAUAUGUUAUGUCCUGAGUACUUUGAGUAUGGAGCAAUACUUUGUCCGACAACUGAAUCAGUAGAGCAAGUGAAUGAUUUUAUUUUAUCUCUGUUAAGUGGUAAAUAAAUAAAUUAUCUUAGUUCGGAUACACCUUGCCAAUUAGAUUAAGAUCAAGAAUUUAAAGUGAAUGGUUCACUUCUGAGUUCUUAAAUGAGAUAAAAUGUUCAGAGAUACUAAAUCAUCGCCUUCAUUUGAAAAUUGGCGUGCCUAUUAUGCUUUUGAGAAAUAUUGAUCAAACCAACGGUCUUUGUAAUGGAACAAGGUUGCAAGUUAUUGAUUUGAAGAAAAUGUUAUUUGUGCAAUAGUUCUAACAGGAACAAAUAUUGGUGAUAAAAUCUUUAUUUCAAUAAUGAAUUUGAUCCCUUUAGAUGUAGGUAUGCCAUUCAAAUUCUAGAGAAGACAAUUUCCAAUAACUUUAUGUUUUGCAAUGACAAUUAAGAAAAGUCAAAGUCAAUUAUUGACCAAAGUUGGUUUAUAUUUUUCACGUCCAAUUUUCACACAUUGAUAGUUGGAUGUAGCUAUUUAUAGAGUUAGAAAGAAAAAAAUUUAAAAAUUCUAACUCUUGAUGAAGAUGGGAAUGCAACAAACAAGAAAAAGAAAAUGUUUACACUGAAACUUUUGACAAUAUUUAAAAACAAUAGAAUUAUAUGAUAAACUUGGAAUAAUGGCUAAUUCUCCCUGCACCCAAUAUUUUUGAACAUGCAACUUUUAAAUUUGCUCCCUUGUAAUUAUAUUUUCUUAUGUGUGAUGUAGUAACAGUUGCCUUAUUUAAAAUGUUACUAAAUAACAUAUCAUUUAUAUCUGUUAUUUUUAUUCUGUUCUGAUUUUAUAUAUAUGUUAACGAAGUUGAGAAUUUUCUGAUUUUACAGGUCCAUGCACAAACCUAAUAUAAUGAUAUGAUAUUCAAUAUCAAGAGGUACUUGUCGUAAAACGGGGAAUAUGAGAGACUCCAUAGAAUGAAGAAAAAGUAUAAAGAGGAUUUACAAAUUACCCUUUCAAAUGCAGCUCCUCAGAAUUUCUUAAUGCCUUCACUGCAAAUGCAACCCAAAUAAGCUAAAGAAGUUAAUCAAACUAUACAUUAAGAGUUUCAAGAAAAUGAAACUCUGGAACAACAGAGCAACCCAUCUCAUGCUCAAUAGAAACAUCAAACUAUAUCUAACAAUAACUUAGAAAUCUUUGUCAACAAUUGAACGAACCCACUCCUAAAAUGCCAUUGAAAAUGUAAAUAAAUAAAUAAAAAUUAAAAAUGAGAAUUCAUAAUAAAAUUUCAUCGUGUUGAAACUUGUAAUUUAGAAGUAUUACGAUAAGCCAGUUUUGAUCCUCGCGAAUGAAAGACUAAUUAGCAGAAAGACUGUGCAAAAUUCCUUCCACUGGAUUCUUCGAUGUCAACUGAUUUGGUAUAAAGAGGACAUAUGCCGCAUUCUUUUAUUGUGAUAACUGAUUUCAACUCUCUCACAAGUAAUUUGCGAUUUGACCGAUUUGGCCGCAGAAAGGGAUCAUCAUAAUCAUGCGAACUGAUCUCAAAAGUGAAGCUGCGAGCAUCACACAGCCUAAGGCUCAUGCCGCUUGCCCUUAGGGACUCCAAGUUAAAUUUCCACACCAAUGUGUGAUCUUUAUCAACACCUCUCUCUUCAUCAUCCCAUCUGAAAUAGUUGUUUAACACAUCAUUAUUUGGAAUUAUCCGUGUGCCAUGAUCAUCAGAUUCAAAUUUUAGGCUGUAACCAAAGGAACCAUAUCUACCUUUAACAACUUUCGUAUCUAACACUUCAAAAACCACACACAAAGCGAAACCACUGAGCCUAUCAUCGCUUAAAAAACUUAAAUCUUCAUUUAUAGUCACUGAAUGUCCCUUCCCACGAAAAUGGAACCAACCAGGAACUGCACUCCCUGGAAAACAGAAGAACACACACCUAUAUCUAUCGUCGGUCAUCCUAAGCCUUGCAUCCUCCUCAAUGUUAGCACGACCACCUGAAUCCAGUUGUUGAGCAUUGGUCAAAAGAAAUUUGAAGAAACCCUCUUUGGAAUUUGACAAGUUUGGAACAAGAGAAUUGGACAUCACUCUUCUAAUGGAUGGGCAAUCCAAUGCCACUAGUUUUUUUAGAAAUGGUGGAAUCUCUGGGAUGCAUUCAAGCUUUUUGCAGUCGCUUAAAUCAAGCGAUUUCAAGCUUGAAAGAUGAGCAACGCUCUCAGGAAGGUUCACAAUUCCGCUAUCACACAGUGACAGUUCCAUUAAUGACGUCAAGCGACCGAUAUCUCUAGGGAUUUCUGUUAAUCUGGCACACCCCGAACAAUCAAGUUUAGAGAGAAGCUUGAGAUUAACAAUGGAGUUUGGAAGUGACUCCAGAUCAGUGCAUUUGCGGAGCUCCAGGGAUCGAAGAUUAACCAAAUUGGCAAAUGAGGAAGGCAGUUCUUUAACAGCCGUACAUAUCAAGUUAAUGUGAUCAAAAGUAGGAGCCGGCUCUGUGAUCUCUGGGAAGGUCCUCAGACUUGAGCAACCACACAAAUCAAGGUUCCUCAACUUCAAAUUGAAAAUGGUGCUUGGAAAAGUUUGUAGUGAACUACAGUGGGUAAGGUCUAACUUGCAUAGUCUGGUGAGGCUUCCAAUGGAAGAUGGAAUAAUCUCAAGAUUGAAGCAACUGCACAAACUCAGUUGUUGAAGCCCUACCAAACGGCACAAGGAUGAAGGUAGUGCCUGUAUGGCUGUGUCGUCUAAGAUGAGCACCACUAGAUCUUCCAACGUGUCCUGAAUCUGGGGUAAAUUUUCCAAUUUUGAGCAACCACGGAGUGAAAGUUGCUUUAGGAACUUCAUAUCAGAAAGGUCAAAUGGAAAGAUUGUAAGGGAAGAACAGUGAGAGAGAUCUAAGUGACAGAGCCUCUUGAGAUUUUGAAAGUUUGAGGGUACACCUUCGAGUAUUGUCGACACUUCACAUUGUGAGUAUAUAGUAUUAUUACCCACUUCUUCUUCGUUAUAUCUGUCAAAACUAAUUGAGGAAAUUUCACUGGAAGUUGGGAAAAUACCUUUAGCAUUAUGGAAUUUAACAGUCCCUCCCAAAAGUAAACUUGAGAAAGUUGGACGUUGACCCUCCAGUUUCACAUGAAGGUAUCUGGGUUGACUGGUUGAAAACAUUUCAAGCUCCUCACAGUGAGAAAGAAUGAUCAAUCCUGGAGAUGUGGAUAAAAUCUUGUUGGGAAUAUUUACACUUUUGAGAUGAUAACAAUGAUCUAAACAUAAACAACUGAGCUUGCUGAGGAAUAUCGAAGAGUGAACUUUAAUCAACUUUUGACAAUAACUCAGAAUUAGUUCUUCAAUAUUCGGUGACAGAGAAAGGUCUGGUAUUCUAGUAAGUUUCAGAGAAUGACUCAGGUUGAGCCUUUUCAAGUUGGGUAAAUUCUGCCACAAAAAGUAAAUGAAUCAGGUAACAAUGAAAAACUAAAAUAAAGUUUUAUGCAAUUUUAUCUAUUUUUCUUCGGUAAACUAUGAGCUACAUCAUCUAUCGAGUUUAUAUUUUACAUAAAACCACUGUUAAAAAAAUCACACUGUUAACUAACAAAAUUAUGGUCACUAUAAAUUUUAUAGUUAUUAUAAAAAUUCACAAAAUUUAACGUGUUUUUGUUCUCUACCUAAAAUUACAUCCUAAUAAUUUGAACCUAAGCUUAUUAUGUAUUGAAAAACUUACUAUAGUAAUUUAUAAUCCAUGACAAUGUCGAAAUACUUUAUACUAUGCAUGUUAAAAUUUGAUAAAAUGUCGAAAUACUGACAAAAUAAAAAUGGUGUUUUCCGAGAGUUAAAAUUAAACUUUAGUUAAAAUAAGUCCAUCUUUACAUAUUUUAUAAUUUGUUGUAUAUUAUAUUGAAGUUGAUGUUAUAAUAAAAAAAUGACUUAAUUAAUCGAAAAAUGUGGAGAAAACACAAAGAAAUUGCAAAUGCUUGUAUAAUUUAUUUUUAUCUUUGAAAGUUUAAAAGACAAAGGAACAUAGAUAACUUGAAAAACCUGAUCUCCUUCCCAGAGUUGUUCAAGACGGCAGCCUGGCAUUUCGAGGAUCACUAGAUUUUGUGGGCAAAAGUUUGGAGGCCAAAAUCUUUGCGGGAAAUCUCUCCAAUAAAGAAACUUUAGAGUGUCUGGCAGACCUACGAGAGAUGAUUCAAGAGACACAUUUGAUAUGUAUUCAGUUGAGUAGAGUAAAAACGUCCAAAGAUCAUCCAACUCUUUACGAGACACAUCUGAUAUGUAUUUAGUUUUAUUUUGCUCGUAUCUAGUAAUAUACACUGUAUUGCAUCUGACCCCUGAAAGUAAAUCAAUGUAAUUAGAAGAAAAAAACAUGAAAUGUUGCAUUGCAGGAUGUUUGAUGACAGCUCAGUGGUUUGCAAUUUUUCACAAAGUAAAUUAAUGACAGGUCAGUAGUUAUAUACCUUAUUCUUUCUUAAAACCUCACAAAUUUCCUCAGCAUUAAACAAUCGGCUGCGUUUUCCAGGAUGCUGAGGACACUCUUUACGAACAAUUUCUUUACCCAUUUCUUCUAUUAGAUCGUGCAUCACAAUUCUACCAUCAAUGACAGAUAUUAGGCCCCUAUCUUUCAGAAUAUCCAUUCCAAUCUUAGAAGAGAAACCAAAGUCAUCAAGUCUUUCUGCUACCUCAAUCUCCUCGUGACCUCUAUAAAAGCAAGCUAUGUCAAGAAAUAUAUUCUUCUCCUCCUCCUCCAGCCCAUCAUAACUUAAUUUUAAUACAUUGAAAAUACCAAGAUGUUGGCCCUUUUUCAACUUUUGCAACUCACUCUCCCAUGCUUCUCUUGUUCUGCCAUAAAGCAAUGACCCCAAAAUCUGGAGAGCUAACGGAAUCCCUUUUGCAUAUCUCAACACCUUUUCUGACAGGUCCAUGUAAGAUUUUUCUGCUGAAGAUUUUUGUUUAAAAGCAUGUAAACUAAAAAGUUUAUGAGAAUCAUCAAAAUUCAACUCCUUAACCUCGUAGAUAUCAUCAGCUCCAGCAUUUCUAAGCACUUGUCUGUCUCUACUGGUCAUAAUGAUUCUACUGCCCUGCCCAAAACUACCACUCCCUCCUAUUAAUUUUUUAAGUAUAGCUGAAUCGGUAACAUCAUCAAGAAUGAGGAUAGCCUUUGUCCGUUUGAGCCUUUCAUUGUAAUAUGAUAAAUCAGGGGAUUUCUUUAUCUCUUCCUUUAGAAGCACAGACAGAUAUUUUCUUCUGAUACUGUCUAUUCCAUCUCUUUGUAUUUUUUCUUGAACGUCUAAAACAAGGCUGCUGGAAUCAAACUGCACUGCCAAUUUCUGAUAUAUUUGAUUACAAAUUGUAGUUUUUCCUAUUCCUCCCAUGCCACAAAUUCCUAUGAUCCGAACAUCCGUUGACUCAAGAUGCAACAAGGACUGAAUUCCUUCAAUAUUUUUUUCAAUGCCGAUGAUUCCUUGAUCAUAACUGGUGGAAUAACGAUUCAAUUUUCUCAAAAUAUCUUCCACAAUUUCUUCAACAAGUGCGUGUUCUGGCCUGGCAGAUGAUUUAGAAAAUAAAGUAUAAGUAUUCAAGCACAAAAGCUAAAGUAAACUAAAGAAAAAUUUUACAGUAACCGUUUGUGACUUCUGAUACUAGGGAGCAGACUUGUAGGUACAAAGUUAAACUAUAAGAUCAGAUAUGGUUCAGAUCCAUGACCGACUAAGAGAAAUGAAAAAAGAAACACUUGAUUUAUGGUGAGAUGAACACAAUUUUAGUAAAUGAAAAGAGAUCCUGAUUAUCUAACAAAUAUAAUGACCUGGUGACUUUUGAAUCCCAGCCUGCAAGUUUAGCAGCUUCAGUUAGAGCAUCCUUCCAUCCUUGCACUUUAUCGUGCUUAAGGUGCUGCUCAUGCUUUUCGAAUGCUUCAUUGUAUCUUUGUUCCUGCUUCCUAAUAGUUGAUGGAUCCACCUUGUAGAAAACAGGUAUGACAUCCCUUCCAAAUCUCUUCUUGCAUUCAAGUAUCUUAGUGAGUUCAUUCAAGCACCAAGUGGAAGAUGCAUAGUCUUGGGAGAAAACGAUGACAUAAAUCUUUGAUUCUUCUAUUGCAGAGAGGAGAGCAGGUGAAAUUUCUUCGCCCCUGUUUAAUCUGUAAUCAAUAUACGCUUCAAUGUUCUUCCUCUGCAGCGCUGCAUAAAGGUGACUAAUGAAGUUGUCACGUGUGUCUUCCCCUCUGAAGCUGAGAAACACAUCAUGCUUUGUUAGAGAAGUAGACACGGGGAAUGAUGAAGAACUUCCUGACAUUGGAAUCAAUUUUCUCUCCUUUCUCUGCAAAUCUCAGAUUCCUUUGUUUGUACCAUUUCUACCUGAAGAAGUGUUUAAAUUUUCUCAAAAUACCUUGCACAGCGUGUUCUGGUCAGACAUAAAGAAAAAGACAAAUAUUAAGUUAAUAGAAUAGUCAACAAUUUAAAAAAUAAGUAUGAAAUAUAGAUAUAUAUCAUUAUCACGUGUGGAAGCUACGUCGUCUUGUAUUGGAUUUUCUAAUCUGCCUUUUAUCUUGUCUCAUUCUUCUUUAUCUUUUUUCUCUCAUCUCUCUUGCUUACGAUUUCUUUGCCUUUAUUCAGAAAUUUUAUUUAUAAUAAACCUUCAAUAAUAUUUGUACUUUCUAGCAUAUAGAAUACUUAAUGGAUCCUUUUCUGAUUUUUCUUUUCUAAAGUGCAAUUGAUAUUUUAAAUGUUUUUCUAUUUAAUUUUCCUUUCUUAAUGACACAUAAAAUGGUUCAGUGCACAAUUAAUUACUCUCACCUUAGAUUUCAUUCAUCUCAUUCCAUUUCCACACUCAAAUCAUUCUCACAUUUGUUUCUACCUGUUUCACAAAGUUUUAGUUAAAAUAUGGAAAUUAAUGUUCAAGAACCCUACUUAAUAUUAAUAUUCAACAAUUUAAAAUAUUAAAAUGCAAAUUAAUCUUUCUUAAUAAUGUCAUUUUUAUGUAAAAAAUAAAAUGUAGUUUAGUCAUUUAUACUUAGAUGGAUAAAGAUGGUUUUAGAAAAAAAAAUGCAUUUUAUUUCAAAGGUUAUCUAAGCUCUGAACUCAUUUAUGAAUUAAUAAUAAUAAAUAAUAUGUAAUUGUAUUCCAAUACCAUAUAAUUUUUUUUAUUGGGUGCGUUUCUGAUGAAUUAAUUAAUGCACUCUAGGGACAAUGAUCGCUCUAGUAUUUGAUUUUUUUAUUUAUUUUAAUGUUGAAAUUAUAGCUAUUUAGUACAGAUACUAUUGACACCGACACAGAUACGACACAGACACAGAGAUACUUAAAAUCUCUAAAAUGUAAGAUACAGAGACAUUAAUCUAUAUAUUAUAUAAUUAUGAAUUAUAUAAAUUAACAAUAAAGACUUAUGUGCACAAGUAUUUUGGAGAUUAUUUUUUAAGCAGAAAUAUGUUUUUCAUGACUGUUUCACAAAGAUUUGUUUCUUAUUUUUAUAAUCAUAAUAACAAUUUAUACCAUAAAGUUUGAAUUUUAGAAAAUUAAUGUAUUUUUUCUUUUUAAAAUUCCGUUAGAAUCGUACUAAAAUUGUAAAAAAUCUAACAAAUACAUUUUGAAUUGGACAUUUCACAAAUACAUGUCCUACCAGUAUCAUACGAAUGUAAACAAAAUUCUUUCUUCAUAUGCCGCAUUCUUUUACUGUGAUAACUCAUUUCAACUCUCUCACAACUGAUUCGUAAUCUGUGGGAUGCAUUAAAGCCUUUUGCAGUUAAAUCAAUAGUAUAUGAUGAUGUGAAUGUUAUUUAUAUACUAAAUAUAAUCACAUAGUAACUUCAAAUUUGAUAAGGUACAACAUGUUACCAUAUCUCUUUUAAUUUCUUUUAUUUCAUUAUAUAUUUAGGUGUAUUUAAUUUCUUUUUAUUUCAUUGUGUAUUUAGGUGUAUUACGUAAAAUAUAUAAUUAAAAAGAAAGAAGAAUAAUGUUAUUUUUAAAUUUAAAGAAUGACAUAUAGAAAUAAACAAGCUAUUUUGAAAUUUUUAGAUUUUACAAAACAUUACAUUUUGAUUUUAAUAUUUAUAAAAUAUUUUUUAAUUUCAUAUUUAAAACACAACACUUAGUUGAGUGUGUUCCUUAGUUACUUACCAAAUAACAACAUACAUCUUAUCGGGUCUUUUUGCGACCCGACCCAAACUCAUCUCGAUCCUAGUAGGGUUCGCAUCAUCUUCAAUUGAGGAGUAGAUUUGUCAGGAGGAAAAUAAAUUGAUUUAUAAGAACAUGUGAAGUUGUUUAGAUUGAGGAAUAAUAGAUGGAUUUUGAUUAUGAUUUAUGGUAAGUUUAAAAAAAAUAGAUUUGUUUCUUUUAACAUUUUUUGUAUUAUAAUUAUUUGCUGGCUGAAUUGUUUUGAGUUAACAUGUUUUCUUGGGGUAUGAUAUUGUGAGGUUUUAUUACAUGCAGGUACGUGAAUAUUUUUUUUAUUCUAGUUGUAUAAAUCAGGAAAAAAUGUUUUUCACAAUAUAAUUAUAAUAACCGUUUAACAACCUAAAUAAUAAUAAAAUAUUAACUCAUAUUAUUUAAUUAAAUUAUUAAAUAAAAAGUAGUAAAACUGAUUGUAGGAUGGGAAUAUGAUUAUUUUUAACUGCUAGCUCCUCAUUAUUCUUUUAUAAUAAAAAACACACUAGUAGGUGUUGAAAAUCGUAAUAUAACAAACAAGUUUUGACACACGUAGGUUUGGCAAUUGUUUUAAUAGCUGAAAAUAGUAAAACAAUUUUUAAUUACCACAAACUGCAUCUUAAAUCAUAAAAAAUAGCAUUUUUUAGUUCAUAUAUAAUAACAUUUCCAUAAAUAAAUCUCCCGCCGCCAUUGAUAUUAAUCAUUAAUAAUUUUAGAUAAUAUUUUUUACUAUAAAACAUUUAAUUGAGAUUGAAUUUUUAAUUCACACUUUUUGGUCAAAGAAUAAUAUAUUUCAUUUUUUUAUUUAUUAAAUAUUUUGUAUAAUGCUGAGAAAAAAAAAUCUCACACACACACACACAUAUAUAUAUAUAUGAUCCCUAUGUCCUACAAGUACAAUAUAACAUCGUUAGUAUAAUGAAUAAAAAUAAUGAGUAUUCAAAGUCGUGUAUUUACGUAAAAGAAUAACAUGAUUUUUAAAAGAACUCACAUUAUCAGUUUAAAUUUUGACGAUAAAAUACAUUAAUUAUAUAUAUUUAUUCAAAAUUUCAAUUAUAUUAUGCAUUAAUGGUUUUAUGCUUUUAGAGGAAUCAGAGAAACUUAGAAAAGCUUAAUGAAACCCUAUGAAUAAAGGAGAUGUAAAAGAAAGAGAAAAAGGAAGUGAGAAAAGAUGAUAAUUAAUAAACACCCACUCUUCAUAACAUAGAGUCUUUAAACCUAUAUUCCCUCAAACAGCAUUUAUAAGUUAUUAUCACCCACAUGGAAUAAGGUGCCUCAAUGUGAACAAACCAAGAUCAGUAAGAAAUAUGAGGUUCAAAUAACGAAGCUGAGAAUUUUCUGGUUUUACAGCUCCAUGCACAAACCUAAUACAAUGAUAUGAUAUUCCAUAGGAUGGAGAAAAGUAUGAUAUGAAGAGGAUUUACCAAUUACCCUUUCGAAUGCAGCUCCUCAGGAUUCCAUCAUGCCUUCACUGCACAUGCAACCCAAAUAUGCUAAAGAAGUUAAUCAAACCCAAAUAUAAAGAAUUUCUAGAGAAUGCAACUCUGGGACAACAGAGUACCCCAUCUCAAGCUGAACAGAAACAUUAAACUAUAUCUAACAAUAACUUAGAAAUCUUUGUCAACAAUGAACGAAUCCAACCGUAAAAUGCCAUUGAAAAUGUAAAUAAAACAAAAUAAAUUAGAUAUGAGAAAUUCAUGAUAAAAUUUCAACACUUGUAAUGUAGAAGCAUUACGAUAAGCCAGUUUUGAUCCUCACCAAUGAAAGUCUAAUUAGCAGAAGAGGAAGAGACUAGUUGACUGGGUAGCUUUCUGCAAUGCCUAUUUUAAGGUUACGCUUCCGGCAAAAAUAUAAUAGAAGACUGCUCUCAUGUCAAAGUUUCUCAUACAUAGAACAACCCGCAAAAGAGAUUAAACAUUCCAAAAGAUGUCUCAACAGAAAUGAAAUGAGAUCCUAACAACUUGUUGGGAAAGUACUAUUUUGCCUUCAAUUCCAUUACUUCCUUUUGCCUUUAAGAGUGCAGUCAUAAUCAUCAAAAUACUUAGACUUUGUGAUAUGUCUUUUGGGCUUGCUAUUCAUCUUUUGUUGCCUCCUCUUGAGCCAUAACACUUUUGGCCUUCCUCUUCCUAUAUUCCCUUGUGUCUCUUGAAGACUGUGCAACAUUACUUCGACUGGAUUAUUCAAUGUGAACAGCACCACCAUAUUCAUCAUCUUUCUUUUUGGAAUAAAGAGGGCAUAUGCCGCAUUCUUUUACUCUGAUAUCGGGCCACCAAUGGCUGAUCUCAAAAGUGAAGCUGCGAGCAUCACAGAGCCUAAGGCUCAUGCCGCUUGCCCUUAGGGACUCCAAGUUAAAUUUCCACACAAAUGUGUGAUCUUUAUCAAGAAAUCUGCCUGCAUCCGUCAAGUUUAACACAUCAUUAUUUGGAAUGAUCUGUGUGCCAUCAUCAUCAGAUUCAAAUUUUAGGCUGUAACCAAAAGAACUAUAUCUACCUUUAAUAUCAUUCGUAUCUAACACUUCAAAAACCACGCACAAAGAGAAACCAGUGAGCCUAUUAUCGCUGCAAAAACUUAAAUCUUCAUUUAUAGUCACUGAAUGUCCCUUCCCACGAAAAUGGAACCAACCAGGAACUGCACUCCCUGGAUAACAGAAGAACACAGACCUAUAUGCAUCGUCGGUCAUCCUAAGCCUUGCAUCCUUCUCAAUGUUAGCACGACCACCUGAAUCCAGUUGUUGAGCAUUGGUGAAAUGAAAUUUGAAUACACCCUCUUUGGAAUUUGAGAGGUUCCGAACAAGAGAAUUUGACAUCACUUUUCUAAUGGAUGGGCAAUCCAAUGCCACGAGUUGUUUUAGAAAUGGUGGAAUCGGUGGGAUGCAUUCAAGCUUUUUGCAGUCGCUUAAAUCAAGCGAUUUCAAGCUCGAAAGAUGAGCAAUGCUCUCAGGAAGGUUCACGAUUCCGCUAUCACGCAGUGACAGUUCCAUUAAUGACGUCAAACGACCAAUGUGCCUUGGGAUUUCUGUUAAUUUGGCACACCCCGAACAAUCAAGUUUAGAGAGAAGCUUCAGAUUAACAAUGCAGUUUGGAAGUGACUCGAGAUCAGUGCAUUUGCGGAGCUCCAGGGAACGAAGAUUAACGAAAUUGGCAAAUGAGGAAGGCAGUUCUUUAACAGUCGUAGAUGUUAAGUUAAUGUGAGCAAAAGUAUGAGCCGACUCCGUGAUCUCUGGGAAGGUCCUCAGCCUUGAGCAACCACGCAAAUCAAGGUUCCUCAACUUCAAAUUGAAAAUGGUGCUUGGAAAAGUUUGAAGUGAAUUACAGUGGGCAAGGUCUAACUUGCAUAGUCUGGUGAGGCUUCCAAUGGAAGAUGGAAUAAUCUCAAGAUUGAAGCAACUGUGCAAACUCAGUUGUUGAAGCCCUACCAAACGGCACAAGGAUGAAGGUAGUGCCUGUAUGGCUGUGUCGUCUAAGAUGAGCACCGCUAGAUCUUCCAACGUGUCCUGAAUCUCGGGUAAAUUUUCCAGUUUUGAGCAACCACUGAGACAAAGUUGCUUUAGGAAUUUCAUAUCAGAAAGGUCAAACGGAAAGAUUGUAAGGGAAGAACAGUCAGAGAGAUCUAAGUAACAGAGGUUCUUGAGACUUUGAAAGUUUAAGGGCACACCUUCCAAGAGACUGUUGAACACCUCUGAGUCUUCUGAGUCUGUAGCAUUAUUAGCCACUUCUAUAUUAUAUCUGUCAAAAGUAAUUGACAAAAUUUCACUGCUUGGGGAAAUUUCACUGGAAGUUGGGAAAUUUAUCUCUUUCGUCAUAUCCAGUUCCUGACGCUCCAGUAUGACAUGAGGGAGAAAUUUAUCUUCAUGUUUACUGAUUGAAAACAUAUUAAGCUUCCGACAAUGGGAAAGAGUAAUCCAUCCUGGUGAUGUGGAUAAAAUGUUGCUCGGAAUAUUUACACUAUUCAGAUCAUCACAAUGAUCUAAACAUAAACAACUGAGUUUGCUGAGGAAUAUCGAAGAGUGAAUUUCAAUCAACUUUUUACAAUAACUCAGAAUUAUUUUUUCAAUAUUUGGUGACAUAGAAAGGUCUGGUAUUCUAGCAAGUUUCCAAGAACGUGUCAGGUCGAGCCUUUUCAAGUUGGGUAAAUUCUGCCACAAAAAGUAAAUGAAUCAGGUAACAAAUAAUAACUACUUUAUCUAUUUUUCUUCCUAUUUAAACUAUUAGCUACUACUAUUGAGUUUAUAUUUUACAUUACUUAAAAACCACUGUUAAAAAAGCCACACUGUGGACUAACAAAAUUAUAUUUUAAAAUAUUAUUAAAGAUAAAAUAUGAAGAUAGGGUAAUUAAAUUAAAUAUAAUUUUUAUUUUUCAGAAAUGAUGAAAAUUAUAAUUAAAUUAACUAAAUUAUAUAAAAUUCCAUUUUAUUUACAUAACUCCUUUUCAUAUUAAAAAACUAUAUAAGAUCUUGAAACUAUAAUUAAUAUCUUAAAAAUUUAAAUAAUAAUAAUUAUUUCUACUCAUCCUUAAUUUUUGUUGGUGAAAUCUUGAUUUUUGGGAUAAUAUCACUUAAACUUAAGAAAUAUUUGACAUUAAUGAACUCUAAACAAAUUUAUAUAAGAAAUCAAGACAUCACUUUCAAUCCGAAAUCUUAAACUAAUAGGUUUAUGGAUUUUCUUUAUAUGUUGUUCAUCUUACCAAUUUGAACCCAAUGCGAGACUUUCAACUCUAAGAGAUGAAGUGGUGUACUUUAUGCUUCUAGGACUUGUUAGAUAUUGAAACAUGUACCAUUGCUAAAAUGUUUGAAUGAAGGAGAAGUCAAAGUCUCUCUCCUUUAGAGAUAUUCGCUCAAGUGGCAAGAGGUUGAUUAAGCAAGAGAGAGAUCGUAUUAAUUCUCUCUUCUAUGCAAUUGUUGUCGUUCAAACAAUGUGGAAUCAUUCAAGCAAAGAAAUCUUCUUUUGGGUUAGGAAACAAGGUUUUUCAAGCGAGAUAAACUCGUCUAAAGAAUUUAACUCUAGUAGUGAAAUGUUGUUGCCAUGAUUUAGCCAAGUGUUUGUAUCUAUGAGGCUAAUGAUGAUGAUGACGAUGAUAAGAUGCAUGAAUGUGUAUACACAAGUGUAUGAUAUACCUCAUGUUAUAUAUUGUAUGUGAUUCAAUUGAUGACCAUUUAUUUUUAGGCCAUUUAUAUGUAUAUUUUGGCCCUUUUAUGAGUAUGUGACGAGAUAUACCUAAGAUUGUAUUAUGAUCCUAAUGAGUCGAAGUAUCAAACACAAAACUCAUUAUGGAAAAAAAAAGAUAUUUUGUGCAUCAGUUAUGAUAUGAUCACAACAAUUAAAGCAUGUGUGAACGGUUAAUAUUGUUCUUAAUAAGAAAACAAAUAAUAUUGUAUGUGACAUUAGAGAUGUCAAAUAGGUUUAGAAAAUUAUUAAGUUUAAUUAUCUUUUUAGUCUUUAUAUUAAUGACCAAAAGUCAAUUCAGAUUUUUAGAAAGUUCAAUAUGAUUUAAUUUUUUAAAAAACAAUUCAAUGUGAUUCCUUCUAGUAUAUUUCCCUUAUUAAAAUAUUUUUAUCUUAAUGAUUCUGCCACUGUUAAGUUAUAUGUGUUGUUAUCACAUUGAAUUGUUUUAAAAAAAUUUGGAACCACCACAUUAAAUUGUUUUAAAAAGUUAGUACUAAAUUGAACUUUUGAAAAUUGGGAGAAUGAAAUUAAAUUUUGUCUAUUAAUACAGGGACAAAAAAUAAUUGAAUCAAAUAUUUUACUAUUUUUGUGAUGUAUAUUUAUAUAUAAAUAAUUUUGAGAAUUUAGAGUUACAAUGUGUUAUAUCAUAUAUAUAUAAUUCUUUUUGGUAAUGUAUCCUGUAGUUGUAAGCAAGUAUGAUUAUAUUAAGUGGGGCGUUUCAAAUAGUGGAGACUACGCAUAUACAAAUAUCUCUUAUAAAGUAAGAAAACAAAACAAUCGUUACUCAAGAAGAUCAUGCAAUGCAUCACAGACAACAUGGGAGAUAUAUAUCAACAAUAAUAUGAGUAAAUAAUACAUUCAUGGGCCAUUAGACGAUAUGCCUAAAAAAAAUAUGCAAACUAUUAAAUUUAUAAUUAUUUUUAAUUAGAAACAUGCUGAGUAUGACUCUUAUGAUAUAUGUAUAACUGUGUGCUUCAAAUAAAAGAAAUUUCAAAUCGAAUAAUGUGGAGAAGGCACAAAGGAAUUGCAAAUGAAAACCUGUAGAUGUAUAAUACACAAAACAUGCUUGUCUAAUUUAUUUUUAUCUUUGAAAGUUUAGAACACAAAGGAACAUAGAUAACUUGAAAAACCUGAUCUCCUUCCCAGAGUUGUUCAAGAUCGCAGUAUGGCAUUUCGAGGAUCACUAGAUUUUGUGGGCAAAAGUUUGGAGGCCAGAAUCUUUGAAGGAAACCGUUCCAAUAAAGAAACUUUAGAGUGUCCGGCAGACCUACAAGAGAUGAUUCAAGAGACACUUUUGAAUUCAAUCUAGGCAUGUAGACCAUAAGCAUCAUAAGAUUGUCCAUCUUUUCGAAACUUUGUGCAUGUACUACAGCAUCUUUUACUUUGUUCGUAUGAUAUUGAUAUACACUGUAUUGCAUCUGACCCCUGAAAGUAAAUCAAUGUAAUUAGAAAAAAAAACAUGAAAUGUUGCAUUUCAGGAUGCUUAAUGACAGCUCAGUAGUUUUCUAUUUUUCACAAAGUAACAACAGCAUAUACCUUGUUCUUUCUUAAAACCUCACAAAUUUCCUCAUCAUUAAACAAUCGGCUGCGUUUUCCAGGAUGCUGAGGACACUCUUUACGAACAAUUUCUUUACCCAUUUCUUGUAUUAGAUCGUGCAUCACAAUUCUACCAUCAAAGACAGAGAUUAGACCCCUAUCUUUGAGAAUAUCCAUUCCAAUCUUAGAAGAGAAACCACAGUCAUCAAGUGUUUCUGCUACCACAGUCUCCUCUUGCCCUCUAUAAAAGCAAGCUAUGUCAAGAAAUAUAUUCUUCUCCUCCUCCUUGAGCCCAUAAUAACUUAAUUUUAAUACGUCGAAAGUUCCAAGAUCUUGGCCGUUUUCCAACUUUUGCAACUGACUCUCCCAUGCUUCUCUUGUUCUGCCAUAAAGCAAUGACCCCAAAAUCUGGAGAGCUAACGGAAUUCCUUUUGCAUAUCUCAACACCUUUACUGACAGGUCCAUGUAAGCAAUUCCUUCUGAAGAUUUUUGUUUAAAAGCAUGUAAACUAAAAAGUUUCAGAGAAUCAUAAAAAUUCAACUCCUUAACUUCGUAGAUAUCAUCAGCUCCAGCAUUCUUAAGCACUUGUCUGUCUCUACUGGUCAUAAUGAUUCUACUGCCCUGCCCAAAACUAUCACUCCCACCUAUUAAUUUUUGAAGUUGAGUUGAAUCGGUAACAUCAUCAAGAAUGAGGAGAACCUUUGUCCGUUUGAGCCUUUCAUUGUAAUAUGGUAAAUAAGAGGAUUUCUCUUCCUUUAGAAGCUCAGACUGAUAUUUUGUUCUGAUACCGUCUAUUCCAUCUCUUUGUAUUUUUUCUUGAACGUCUAAAACAAGGCUGCUGGAAUCAAACUGCAAUGCCAAUUUCUGAUAUAUUUGAUCACAAAUUGUAGUUUUUCCUAUUCCUCCCAUGCCACAAAUUCCUAUGAUCCGAACAUCCGUUGACUCAAGAUGCAACAAGGACUGAAUUCCUUCAAUAUUUUUUUCAAUGCCGAUGAUUCCUUGAUCAUAACUGGCGGAAUAACGAUUCAAUUUUCUCAAAAUAUCUUCCACAAUUUCUUCAACAAGUGCGUGUUCUGGCCUGGCAGAUGAUUUAGAAAAUAAAGUAUAAGUAUUCAAGCACAAAAGCUAAAGUAAACUAAAGAAAAAUUUUACAGUAACCGUUUGUGACUUCUGAUACUAGGGAGCAUACUUGUAGGUACAAAGUUAAGCUAUUGUGUGAUAUGGUUCAGAUCUAUGACCGACUAAUAGAAAUGAAAAAAGAAGCACUUGAUUUAUGGUGAGAUGAACACAAUUUUAGUAAAUGAAAAGAGAUCCUGAUUAUCUAAUAAAUAUAAUGACCUGGUGACUUUUGAAUCCCAGCCUGCAAGUCCAGCAGCUUCGGUGAGAGCAUCCUUCCAUCCUUGCACUGUGUCGUGCUUAAAGUGCUGCUCAUGCUCAUUGAAUGCUUCUUUGUAUCUUUCUUCCUGCUUCCUAAUAGUUGAUGGAUCCACCUUGUAGAAAACAGGUAUCACAUCCCUUCCAUAUCUCUUCUUGCAAUCAAGUAUCUUAGUGAGUUCAUCCAAGCACCAUGUGGAAGAUGCAUAGUUUUUGGAGAAAACGAUGACAUAAAUCUUUGAUUCUUCUAUUGCAGAGAGGAGUACAGGUGAAAUUUCUUGGCCCCUGAGUAAUCUGUAAUCAAUAUAUGCUUGAAUGUUCUUCCUUUGCAGCGCUGCAUAAAGGUGACUAAUGAAGUUGUCACGUGUGUCUUCCCCUCUGAAGCUGAGAAACACAUCAUGCUUUGUUAAAGAAGCAGACAUGGCCAAUGAUGAAGGGUUUCAAUGUUCUCUGCAACUCUCAGAUCCCUUUGUUUGUAAGCAACUUCCAUAUAUUCUAUUAGGAAGGAAAAUAUAUAUUUCUACCAUUCCUACCACAAAUUGAAAAAGCCUUUCAAUUUUCUCAAAAUAUCUUUCACAGCUGUGUUCUGUCAGAUACGAAACAUUGAGUCAAUGGAAGAGUCAACAAUUGGCAGAAUAUUAUGGUGUGUAGCUUUAUACCAUUCUUACAAUAUUUGAUUGGUUGAAUAUAUACAAUAUGACUAAUGAACUUUUUUCUUUUCCGUAUUCCACGAUAAUUCCCUAGGCACCCUAUUAUACACUUUCUUAUCAACGGAAACCAUGUCUGUCCUUUUAUAGUUUUAAUCCUAUAAUAUCUUUCCAUUAAUCAUCAUUAUCACUCUUCAACCUUCAUAUCAAGUGUAUUGAUUUCAUACUUCAUCAGCUAGACAUAAUAAAAUCUCAAUAAUCUUUUAUACUGUCAACAUUUAUAAAAAAUAUUUCCUUCAAUAAUAUUUGUACUUUCUAGCAUAUAGAAUACUUAAUGGAUUCUUCUGUGAUUUUUCUUUCCUAAAGUACAAUUGAUAUUUUAACAGAUGCCGAAAGGUCUUGAAUAUGAGGCUGUUUCGAAAUGAAAAUUGGGGUAAAGCAUUUUCAAGUUAACAAGUUUUGUUGGGUGAGUGAGUGAUCAGUGCUAGCAUUUUCAAUCUCAGUUAUAGAAUGUAAAGAUUUACACAUUUAUUUGCUGAUUAAUAAUUUAUUUAUUGAAUUAAAUGUUUUAACAGUGAGUAUGGAUUCUUGAAUGAAUGUAAUCAUGGUGUAGAAUGUACAUAGUACAUAUAGUGAGUUGGAUUGAAAUGUUGAACACGUUUUCCUCUGCAAAGAUUCAGGAUAUUUAUGAACUUGCUAUAAAUUGUUUUAACUUUUCUCUGCAACUCUCAGUCCCUUUGUUUCUACCAUUUUGUUUUUGAAAAGCCUUUCAAUUUUCUCAAAAUAUCUUUCACUGCUGUGUUCUGUCAGAUACGAAACAUUGAGUCAAUGGAAGAGUCAACAAUUCGUAGAAUAUUAUAUUAUGGUGUCAAUAUUUAAUAAAUUUAUUUAUUUCUUUAACAUAUUUUAGAAAAUAACCAGUAAACAUAAAACUUUUAGUAUGACUAAAAGAAUAAAGAUAGUGUAAGAAUAACAGGAAUAACAUUACUACAAAUAACAAUAUAUUAAUAUUAAUAUGUUUCUUAAUAAAUUUUACACCCACUGUCUAUUUAUAAAUUAAUAUAUUAUAAACAUCUAUUGAUUUUUUGUGGGUAGCUUAUUUCUGUAACAUUUUAAAUUAAUUUUUUAGAUUUUACAAAACAUUACAUUUUGAUUAUAAUAUUUAGGACUGUGAUGCAAUUUCUGCAAUGAAGGCUGGCAGACUAAGUUUCUCCAAGCCCAAUUAAUACUGGGUUGAAAAUUCUGAGAAGAGGGUGAGUAUGAUGCUGCGGUCAUGAUCUAUGUAUUAAAGUGUUAAGGCAUGGGUUUGGUUGACAGGACAAUACUGGUUUUUCAUUGCUACUACUUAAUAUGAUUCUUUCUUACUGCUAUAUGAAUUUGCUGUCAAAUAGCAGUAAAUAAAAGACUUCAAAUAAAGCAUGUGUUUAUCAUACAUGGACUAAUGCAGCAGUUUUAGUAGAAGGGGCUAAUAUGAUUUUAAUCUAGAACAAGAUGGCUAAACCCAAAGAUGGUGGGAAUAAUAUCCUCAAAUCAAUUGUUUUGGUUUUCAGUGUAAUGUCAUUUGUAAGUAUCAAAAUUUGUUUGUUAUCACAUUGGAAGGUAGUAUCUGUCAUGAAAUUUGUGGAAGACCUUUACCUAUGUUUGCUUUGGGUCUGUUUUACGCCCUCUCGAAUUAAGUAAAUUUUUAAUUGCCAUCAUGAAAUUAGGCUAAAUAUGUGUAGUUUUGAGCACUUUCUUUCUUCCAUUUCAAUUCAUAGUUUCAUACAUAUUCAAUAUCAUGUGGGAAUUAAGUUCUUGCUUUUAAGGUGAAUAACAGUUUGUAUUCUUGCAGAAAACUAUUUUCUAAUGCAUAUAAAUUUCAUUUUCUAUUUUCAGCAUUGGAUUAUGUUAUGUAAUUUUUCCUUUGUAUUAUACAGAGUAGGAUUUUAAUGUUUCUACUGAACAGUGCUAUCUUUUUUCGUCCAUAUUCUGAUUUUGUUCAAUUUUUUUCAGUAUGUGCCACAUGCAGAUCAGAUGUAAGGAAUUUUCUAAAUUUUUUUUCAAGCUUUCUUGUUUGCUUAAAGUUUUCUGUAAGUAUUUAACUGUCUUAAGUUGUUAAUGAGGACUAAGGACUGAAAAAGAGAAUUAGCCAUGACAUGGUGGCAUUAUCCUUCUUCAAAACCAUUAGUUUUUUUUCCUACAAAGAUACAUGUCAAGAAAGCAAACCAGGAACAAAAGUGAUGUUUAUGAUUGCUUUCUCUCUUGUUUACUUGCUUUCUUUUUGUUGGACAAUUGUCUUAAUUGCAUUCACACCUAACCUGCAGUAGUUUCAGUCCCUUUGGGGUUGUCAUAAUUGCAGCCUCAAGAGUGGUGGUGUAGUCCAACAUCAACCAGUGAUAUAGUUCAAAUAUAGCAUAUACAUGAAAGUCGUGUUGAUAAUCAAAGGUUGCUUCAUCUUAACUAAUAACAUGUAAAUGUCAUUUGAAUGGUUAAAAAGGAAUUCACCAGUGUAACACAAAAUGAAUGGAUUGCUUGGUUAUGUGUCAACUGUUGUACUUUUUUUGAGUUGCUUGAAAAUAAUUAAAAUUUGUUUUCAUCUAGAUCUUGGUUUUUUCCUAUGAUCAAAUCUCGAUUUAUUUCUGUGCAGAACUUUCUUGUGGACAUAAAAGGACCAGCUAUAGCAUUUUUACCGGUGCUUGCAUUUGAAGGAGGAACUAGAAGAAAUAUACCUAGGUUUGAGGUGUGUAUAAAUUAUUUUUGAUGUAUUUCGUGAUGUAGAUGUAAAAUAAUGCAAUACUUUGUUUUUAGUUUCAAUGUUACUCUUUAUCUGCAGGUUGGAAACAUAUCUUGAUGAAAUAUAGAAACAUUUUUAUUCAUAAUAUAUAUAUAAGGAUUACACAUUCAUAAUUAUUUCUUUCUGUCGUAGCAUUGUCUACCUCAAAUCACUGCAACUUUCUGUUGUUGGUAUAAAAAUACAAUAUUUUAAUCCCAGUUUUGAUAGCCUCUAUUCUUCAGUGGUUGAGAUAUUUUUUAUAAGAAUUUAGAAGUUCUGAGAUAUUUAUGAUAAGAAUUUCAAGUUCUUUGUUACUAGCAGUUUAAUGGUUAUAUCAUUUUUGUUCUCUGGAAAAUAUCUUAUACAAAAUCGGUACUUAGAUUUGGUAUUUAUAUUGUUCAUAUGUAGAAAUCUAAUACUAGCAAAUUUUGUCUAAUUUAAAAGCAAUUACAUUCUACUCUUUGGAAUAUGUUCUGGCCUGCUUUUAUGAAUUAUUUGAAAAUUUGUAAUUAUAAAAUUUAGUCUUUGAAAUUAUAAAUUUAAUAGAGAAGCAUCCAUACUAAACUUUUAUAUUAUAAAUUGUCAGUUUUAUAUUGAAAACAUAUCCCCUUUAGUAUAAGACUUAAAGGAGAUGUCUUUUGGUAUAAAAACUGAAAUAAAAAAUAUUUUAACUAUAUGGGUCAAAUGGAUGAUUAAACUUAUAAAAUGUACAAUUAAACUUAUAAAUUAUAAUAAACGAUACUUUAAUUUUAAACUAUAUUGAACUUUUAUUAAUGUUCUCGCUUUUCUUUAAAAGCUAUUGAACUCUAUCUAACAAUAACUUAAAAAUGAGAAAUUCAUGAUAAAAUUUCAACACUUGUAAUCUAGAAGUAUUACGAUAAGCCAGAAGAGGAAGAGACUAGUUGACUGGGUAGCUUUCGGCGUUCCUCUUCCUAUCUUCCCCUGUUUCUCCUGAAGAGUGUGCAACAUUGCUUCCACUGAAUUCUUCAAUGUCAUUUUCUGAUGCAGAAUAGUCAACAGCACCACCAUAUUUAUCAUCUUUCUUUUUCGUAUAAAGAGGGCAUAUGCCGCAUUCUUUUAUUCUGAUACCUGAUUUCAACUCUCUCUCAACUGAUUCGUAAUCUGGCCGAUUUGGCCGCAGAAAGGGAUCAUACGGACUGAUCUCAAAAGUGAAGCUGCGAGCAUCACACAGCCUAAGGCUCAUGCCGCUCGCCAUUAGGGACUCCAAGUUAAAUUUCCACACGAAUGUCCCUUCACCAUCCCAUUUGAAAUAGCUAUUUAACACACCCUUAUAUGGAAUGAUCUGUGUGCCAUCAUCAUAUUCAAAUUUUAGGCUGUAACGAAAAGAACCAUAUCCACCUUUAAUAUCUAACACUCCAAAAGCUACACACAAAGCGAAACCAGUGAGCCUAUCAUCGCUGCAGAAACUUAAAUCUUCAUUUAUAGUCACUGAAUGUCCCUUCCCACGAAAAUUGAACCAACCAGGAACUGCACUCCCUGGAAAACAGAACAACACACACCUAUAUGUAUCGUCGAUCAUCCUAAGCCUUGCAUCCUCCUCGAUGUUAGCACGAGCACCUGAAUCCAGUUGUUGAGCAUUGGUGAAAUGAUAUUUGAAGACACCCUCUUUGGAAUUUGACAAGUUUGGAACAAGAGAAUUUGACAUCACUCUUCUAAUGGAUGGGCAAUCCAAUGCCUCGAGUUGUUCUAGAAAUGGUGGAAUCGGUGGAAUGCAUUCAAGCUUUUUGCAGUCGCUUAAAUCAAGUGAUUUCAGGCUUGAAAGAUGAGCAAUGCUCUCAGGAAGGUUCACGAUUCCGCUAUCACGCAGUGACAGUUCCAUUAAUGACGUCAAGCGACCGAUGUGUCUUGGGAUUUCUGUUAAUUUGGCACACCCCGAACAAUCAAGUUUAGAGAGAAGCUUCAUAUUAACAAUGGAGUUUGGAAGUGACUCGAGAUAAGUGCACUCUUGGAGUUCCAGGGAUCGAAGAUUAACCAAAUUGCCAAAUGAGGAAGGCAGUUCUUUAACAGCCGUACAUGUCAAGUCAAUAUGAGCAAAAGUAUGAGCCGGCUUCAUGAUCUCUGGGAAGGUCCUCAGCCUUGAGCAACCACCCAAAUCAAGCUUCCUCAAUUUCAAAUUGAAAAUGGUGCUUGGAAAAGUUUGAAGUGAAUUACAGUAGGUAAGGUGUAACUUGCAUAGUCUGGUGAGGCUUCCAAUGGAAGAUGGAAUAAUCUCAAGAUUCAAGCAACUGUGCGAACUCAGUUGUUGAAGCCCUACCAAACGGCACAAGGAUGAAAACUUAUUUUAUUUUUGCUGUUCAUGCAUAACAUUAACAAAUAUUGACAUGAGAGAUUGUGUUUGUAGGCUUCUAAGCUCACCAACGUGUCCCGUUCUUGAUGCUUUAGGGAAGAAAAUUUCCUUUGAGAUUGCAAAAGGACUCAGGAGAAUUUAGAAGUUCUGAGAUAUUUAUGAUAAGAAUUCAAGUUCUUUGUUACUAGCAGUUUAAUGGUUAUAUCAUUUUUGUUCUCUGGAAAAUAUCUGAUACAAAAUUGGUACUUAGAUUUGGUAUUUAUAUUGUUCAUAUGUAGAAAUCUAAUACUAUAGCAAAUUUUAUCUAAUUUAGAAGCAAUUAUAUUCUACUCUUUGGAAUAUGUUCUGGCCUGCUUUUAUGAUUGUAAUUAUAAAUUUAAUAGAGGAGAUUACCAAACAUCCAUACUAAUUAAACUUUUAUAUUAUAAAUUUUUUCAGUUUUAUAUUGAAAACAUAUCCCUUUAGUAUAAGACUUAAAGGAGAUGUCUUUUGGUAUAAAAACUGAAAUAAAAAAUCUUUUAACUAUAUGGGUCAAAUGGAUGAUUAAACUUAUAAAUGUACAAUUAAACUUAUAAAUUGUAAUAAACGAUACUUUAAUUUUAAACUCUAUUGAACUUUUUUUAAUGUUCUCGCUUUUCUUUUAAAUGCAUUUCACUUGUGUGUUUUGUAUUCAGGCUGAUUUUAACUUUAUUCUCAAAUAUACAAAAUAAUUUUUGGUAAUUAUCUUGUGUCGAUCUUGACUUGUAGUAUCAAUGUGAAAUAUGUAAUAAUUACUUUUCUAUGAUUCAGAGGGAAAAUUAUUCCAACUAGACUUUUACAAAUAUAUUUCAAGUGGUAAUAUGAUUUUAAAAAAAAUAGGAUUCGCCACAAAAAAAAGUUACUGUUCCUAAUUGACAUGGUGCUGUCAAAAUUAUUUAAUUACAAUUUAGAUCUUCACUCUACAUAUAAUUAAUUAAUUACCAAUUAUUUAAAAGACUAGUAAAUUAUAAUUUUAAUCUCUCUACAACUUUCUAAAUUUAGUUAUGAUUCUCUCAAAAAAAUUUCCCUUAAAUAUUAAUUAUAAUUACCUUUAGACAGAAACAUUUCUAAUUUAAACAAGCAAAAAUAAGAAAAAAAAAUAGAUUACAAAAACUAAAUUUGAAUUUUUUUAUAUAACUCCAAAUAUAUUUUAUCCAUAAAUAAAUUCUAUUAAUAUUUCAUUUCUGUUUAAAUAGUUUAUUCAUAUUUGUAAUAUUAUUUUCAAAAAACAAUAAUUGUUUUUUGAAUAAAGGUUUACAAAUUCUAUAAUAAUGUAAAUGAGAAGAGGAGUGAGGGUAAAAAUAUGAGAACCUAUGUGAGGGAAUCUUGUGACAAUUUAGCUGGUGUUCAACUUGUGAGAAGUCUUUCAACUUGGUUUUCAAGUUUUAUAUUCAAUUUCUGUUCCUUCAAAUGUUUCUGAUUUUACAGCUCCUCAGGAUUUUACAGCUCCAUGCACAAACCUAAUACAAUGAUAUGAUAUUCAAUCAGCAUUAAUUAGCAUAAACAGGUACCUUGUUGUAAAACUGGGAAUAUGAGAUUCCAUAGGAUGGAGAAAAGUAUGAAGAGGAAUUACCAAUCACCAUUUACCAAUCAUAAUGCCUUCACUACAAAUGCAACCCAAAUAUGCUAAAGAAGUUAAUGAAACUAUAUAUGAAGAGUUUCAAGAAGAUGCAACUCUGGGACAACAGAGCAACCCAUCUCAUGCUGAACACAAACAUCAAACUACAUCUAACAAUAAUUCAGAAAUCUUAAUCAACAAUUGAGCGAACCCACUCCUAAAAUGCCAUUGAGAAUGUAAAUAAAUCAAAAUACAUUAAAAACGAGAAAUUCUUAAUAAAAAUUCAACGUGUUGAACCUUGUAAUUUAGAAGUAUUAACGAGAAGCCAGUUUAGAUCCUCACCAAUGAAAGACUAUUUUACAGGUUAGCUUCCACUGGAUUCUUCAAUGUGAACAGCACCACCAUAUUUAUCAUCUUUCUUUUUGGAAUAAAGAGGGCAUAUGCCGCAUUCUUUUAUUGUCACAACUGACCACCCAAAGUCAUAAAGAGGACUGAUCUCAAAAGUGAAGCUGCGAGCAUCACACAGCCUAGGGCUUAGGGAUUCUAAGUUAAAUUUCCAGACGAAUGUGUGAUCUUUAUCAACAAAACUGUAUUCACCAUUCCAUUUGAAAUGUCUGUUUAACCUAUCAUUAUUUGGAAUGAUAUGUGUGCCAUCAUCAUCAGAUUCAAAUUUUAGGCUGUAACCAAAAGAACCAUAUCUACCUUUAACAGAAUUCGUAUCUAACACUCCAAAAACCACACACAAAGCGAAACCAGUGAGCCUAUCAUCGCUGCAGAAACUUAAAUCUUCAUUUAUAGUCACUGAAUGUCCCUUCCCACGAAAAUGGAACCAACCAGGAACUGUACUCCCUGGAAAACAGAAGAACACAGACCUAUAUCUAUCAUCGGUCAUCCUAAGCCUUGCAUCCUCCUCAAUGUUAGCACGACCACCUGAAUCCAGUUGUUGAGCAUUGGUGAAACGAAAUUUGAAGACACCCUCUUUGGAAUUUGACAAGUUUUGAACAAGAGAAUUUGGCAUCACUCUUCUAAUGGAUGGGCAAUCCAAUGCCACGAGUUGUUUUAGAAAUGGUGGAAUCUGUGGGAUGCAUUCAAGCUUUUUGCAGUCGCUUAAAUCAAGCGAUUUCAAGCUUGAAAGAUGAGCAAUGCUCUCAGGAAGGUUCACGAUUCCGCUAUCACGCAGUGACAGUUUCACUAAUGACGUCAAGCGACCGAUGUGUCUUGGGAUUUUUGUUAAUUUGGCACACCCCGAACAAUCAAGUUUAGAGAGUAGCUUCAGACUAACAAUGGAGUUUGGAAGUGACUCGAGAUCAGUGCAUUUGCGGAGCUCCAGGGAUCGAAGAUUAACGAAAUUGGCAAAUGAGGAAGGCAGUACUUUAACAGCCGUAUAUGAUAAGUCAAUGCGAGCAAAAGUAGGAGCCCGCUCCGUGAUAUCUGGGAAGGUACUCAGGCUUGAGCAACCACACAAAUCAAGCUUGCUCAAUUUCAAAUUGAAAAUGCUGCUUGGAAAAGUCUGAAGUGAAUUACAGCGGGUGAGGUGUAACUUGCAUAGUCUGGUGAGGCUUCCAAUGGAAGAUGGAAUAAUCUGAAGAUUGAAGCAACUGCGCAAACUCAGUUCUUCAAGCCCUAUCAAACGGCACAAGGAUGAAGGUAGUGCCUGUAUGGCUGUGGCGUCUAAGAUGAGCACCGCUAGAUCUUCCAACGUGUCCUGAAUCUCGGGUAAAUUUUCCAAUUUUGAGCAACCACGGAGAGAAAGUUGAUUUAUGAAUUUCAUAUCAGAAAGGUCAAUUGGAAAGAUUGUAAGAGAAGAACAGUGAGAGAGAUCUAUGUGAGAGAGCUUCUUGCCACUAAAUUGUAAGGGCACACCUUCGUAGUCUUCUGAGUAUUCUGAGUCUGUAGCAUUAUUAGCAUUUAUCUCUUUCAUCAUAUCCGGUUCCUGACGCUCCAGUAUGACAUGAGGGAGAAAUUUAUCUUCAUGUUCACCCAAUGAAAACAUAUUAAGCUUCUCACAACCGGAAACACUAAUCCAUCCUGGUGAUGUGGAUAAAAUGUUGCUGGGAAUAUUUACACUUUUGAGAUUAGAACAAUGAUCUAAACAUAAACAACUGAGCUUGGUGAGGAAUAUCGAAGAGUGAACUUCAAUCAACUUUGAACAAUAACUCAGCUUUAUUUCUUCAAUAUUCGGUGACAGAGAAAGGUCUGGUAUUCUAGUAAGUUCCCAAGAUUUAACCAGGUCGAGCCUUUUCAAGUUGGGUAAAUUCUGCCAGAAAUAGUAAAUGAAUGAGGUAACAAAUAAAAACUACUUUAUCUAUUUUUCUUCCUAUUUAAACUAUUAGCUACUAUCUAUUGAGUUUAUAUUUUACAUUACUUAAAAACCACUGUUAAAAAAACCACACUGUGGACUAACAAAACUCUGCCUAUAAAUUUUAUAGUUAUUAUAAAAAAUCACAAAAUUUAACGUCUUUUUGUUCCCUACCUAAAAUUACAUCCUAAUCAUUUGAACCUAAACUUAUUAUGUAUUCAAAAACUUAUGAUAGUAAUUUAUAAUCGAUCACAAUGUCAAAAUACUUUAUAUUAUACAUGUAUCAACUCACAAAAUAAAUGGUGUUGUCUCAGAUUUAAAAUUAAACCUUAGUUAAAAAGUCCAUCUUUCCAUAAUUUAUUUUAUUAAAUACAUAAUUUGUAAUUUAUUGUAUAUUAUAUUCAAGUUUAUGUUAUGAUAAAAAAAGUAUCUAAGGCAUUUUUAAUUAAAUAAUAUAAAAUAAACAACAUGAACUCAAUUAAAUAAUAUAAAUUUUUUUGAAUACUCGAUGGAAUAAAAAAAUUAAUAAAACCCUCAAUUUGAAAAUAACCAAAUUUAUAAGAUACUUAAAACUUAAUUAAACCUACAAAUUUUCAUUAUAUGGAAUUAAAUAUUGUAAAGAUUUACCACAUAAGUUUCAUAAGUAGAAGGUUUAAACAUAAAAUUCUUCACGUUGGGAGUUUCUUUCCUCUAUCUUAUAAGUUUUCGUUGUUUCUUUAAUAUUUUUUAUAUGGCUUCUGUCAAUGUAAUUUUUUUUUUGGUUUUAAAAUAUUAUUAAAGAUAAAAUAUGAAGACAGGGUAAUUAAAUUAAAUAUAAUUUUUAUUUUUCAGAAAUGAUGAAAAUUAUAAUUAAAUUAACUAAAUUAUAUAAAAUUCCAUUUUAUUUACAUAACUCAUUUUCAUAUUAAAAAACUAUAUAAGAUCUUCCAAAGUAGAUAUAAUACAUUCACGGGCCAUUAGAUGAUAUGCCUAAAAAAAUAUGCAAACUAUUAAAUUUAUAAUUAUCUUUAAUUAGAAACAUGCUGAGUAUGACUCAAAUAAAAGAAAUUUCAAAUCGAAUAAUGUCGAGAAGGCACAAAGGAAUUGCAAAUGAAAACUUGUAUAUGUAUAAUACAGAAAACAUGCUUGUAUAAUUUAUUUUUAUCUUUGAAAGUUUAGAACACAAAGGAACAUAGAUAGCUUGAAAAACCUGAUCUCCUUCCCAGAGUUGUUCAAGAUGGCAGAAUGGCAUUUCGAGGGUCACUAGAUUUUGUGGGCAAAAGUUUGGAGGCCAAAAUCUUUGAGGGAAAUGUGUCCAAUAAAGAAUCUUUAGAGUGUCUGGCAUAUCCACAAGAGGUGAUUCAAAAGACACUUUUAAUUCCAAUCCCCACGUGUAGAGCCUAAGCACCCUAAGAUUGUUCAUCUUUUCGAAACUUUGUGCAUGUACUACAACUUCUUUUACUUUGAAAGUAGAUAGUGAUAUACACUCUAUUGAAGUAGAUAGUGAUAUACACUCUAUUGCAUCUGACCCCUGAAAGUAAAUCAUGAAAUGUUGCAUUGCAGGAUGUUUGAUGACAGCUCAGUGGUUUGCAAUUUUUCACAAAGUAAAUCCAUUCUCAAUUGAGUAACGACAUAAUACCUUGUUCUUUCUUAAAACCUCUCAAAUUUCCUCAGCAUUAAACAAUCGGCUGCGUUUUCCAGGAUGCUGAGGACACUCUUUACGAACAAUUUCUUUACCCAUUUCUUGUAUUAGAUCGUGCAUCACAAUUCUACCAUGAAAGACAGAUAUUAGGCCCCUAUCUUUGAGAAUAUCCAUUCCAAUCUUGGAAGAGAAACCACAGUCAGCAAGUAUUUCUGCUACCACAAUCUCUUGUGACCUAUAUAAAAGCAAGCUAUGUCAAGAAAUAUAUUCUUCUCCUCCUCCUCGAGCCCAUCAUAACUUAAUUUUAAUACAUUGAAAAUACCAAGAUGUUGGCCCUUUUCCAACUUUUGCAACUGACUCUCCCAUGCUUCUCUUGUUCUUCCAUAAAGCAAUGACCCCAAAAUCUGGAGAGCUAAUGGAAUCCCUUUUGCAUAUCUCAACACCUUUUCUGACAGUUCCCUGUAAGCAAUUUCUUCUGAAGAUUUUUGUUUAAAAGCAAGUAAACUAAAAAGUUUCUGAGAAUCAUCAAAAUUCAACUCCUUAACUUCGUAGAUAUCAUCAGCUCUAGCAUUCUUAAGCACUUGUUUGUCUCUACUGGUGAUAAUGAUUCUACUGCCCUGCCCAAAACUAUCACUCCCUCUUAUUAAUUUUUGAAGUUGAGCUGAAUCGGUAACAUCAGUUAGAAGUGGAACACGUUUGUAGAAGUGGAACACGUUAGUUGGUUAGUUGCCUUAAGAAGCGGAUCAUGUAUUUUUUCUUGAACGUCUAAAACAAGGCUGCUGGAAUCAAACUGCAAUUCCAAUUUGUGAUAUAUUUGAUCACAAAUUGUAGUUUUUCCUAUUCCUCCCAUGCCACAAAUGCCUAUGAUCCGAACAUCCGGUAAGUCAAGAUGCAACAAGGACUGAAUUCCUUCAAUAUUUUUUUCAAUGCCGAUGAUUCCUUGAUCAUAACUGAUGGAAUAACGAUUCAAUUUUCUCAAAAUAUCUCCCACAAUUCCUUCAACAAGUGUGUGUUCUGACCUGGCAGAUGAUUUAGAAAAUAAAGUAUAAGUAUUCAUGCACAAAAGCUAAAACAAAACUAAAGAAAAAUUCAGAGUCAAGAAGAGUGAACAUCAUUGAAUAGAUUCACAUAUUGAUUGUAGGACGUUAUCUUCGAAUAUUAGUGUGGUUGGUUUAGAAAUUGCAAAUCAAGAUCGCAGAAAUUCUACAGUAACCGGUAGUGACUUCUGAUACUAGGAAGCAGUCUUGUAGGUACAAAGUUAAGCUAUAAGAUGUGAUAUGGUUCAGAUCUAUGACCCACUACGAAAAAUGGAAAAAAGAAACACUUGAUUUAUGGUGAGAUGAACACAAUUUUAGUAAAUGAAAAGAGAUCCUGAUUAUCUAAUAAAUAUAAUGACCUGGUGACUUUUGAAUCCCAGCCUGAAAGUCCAGCAGCUUCGGUGAGAGCAUCCUUCCAUCCUUGCACUUUGUCGUGCUUAAAGUGCUGCUCAUGCUCAUCGAAUGCUUCUUUGUAUCUUUCUUCCUGCUUCCUAAUAGUUGACGGAUCCACCUUGUAGAAAACAGGUAUGACAUCCCUUCCAUAUCUCUUCUUGCAAUCAAGUAUCUUAGUGAGUUCAUUCAAGCACCAAGUGGAAGAUGCAUAGUUUUGGGAGAAAACGACGAUAUAAAUCUUCGAUUCUUCUAUUGCAGAGAGCAGUGCAGAUGAAAUUUCUUCGCCCCGGGGUAGUGUCUCAUCAAUAUAUGCUUCUAUGUUCUUCCUUUGCAGUGCUGGAUGAAGGUGGCUAAUGAAGUUGUCACGUGUGUCUUCCCCUCUGAAGCUGAGAAACACAUCAUGCUUUGUUAGAGAAGUGGACACGGGGAAUGAUGAAGAACUUCCUGUUUAAUUUCUUCGCCCCUGUUUAAUCUGUAAUCAAUAUAUGCUUCAAUGUUCUUCCUCUGCAGCGCUGCAUAAAGGUGACUAAUGAAGUUGUCACGUGUGUCUUCCCCUCUGAAGCUGAGAAACACAUCAUGCUUGGUUAGAGAAGCAGACAUGGCCAAUGAUGAAGGGUUUCAAUUUUCUCUGCAACUCUCAGAUCCCUUUGUUUGUAAGCAACUUGCAUAUAUUCUAUUUCUAUCACAAAUCAACUUUUGGAAAAGCCUUCAAUUCAAAAUAUGCUUCACAGCUUUAUAUUAACGUGCCUAGCUUUAUACCAUUCUUACGCAUUGGUAAAGAUUCUUCAAUAUCUUUACUCAAUUUGUUUCUUCAAUACCUUUUACACAUUCUUACGCAUUGGUAAAGAUUCUUCAAUAUCUUUACUCAAUUUGUUUCUUCAAUACCUUUUACAUAUAAAGAAUCGGAUUUGUUUAAUAUAUUUUAGAAAAUAACCAGUAAACAGAAAACUAGGUUAAUAUGACUAAAUGAAUAAAGAUAGUACUCAUAAAAAAUAUUUUAGAUUACAAGUGGUAUAACUAAAAUAAAAUAUUUUAUUUUUAAAAUAAAAUUUAUAAAUAAAUAAAAAAAUAUAAUUGUUUAGUUUUCGGUGUAAAACAAUAUUCAUUUUUAUAAAAAAAAAUCUUUUCUCUUUUAUUUUAUUUUUAUAUUUCUAAUUAGAGUAUUCUUGAGUUUGACAAUAGAAUCCUUUCUUUGGACUUUUGGAAUUAAAUAAAGAUGUUAAUUGAAAAAAAAAAUUGAAAUAGAAACUAAUUUAGAAACCAAAUUUCUUUUUAGUUUCUAAAAUGGUCUCUAAUUUAGUUACUAUUGCAACUAAUUGUUUUGGUUUCUAGAAAUUGGUUUCUAUUUCAUGAUUUUCUUGUAGUGUAUACUGAAGGUGUGCACCCCUAUGAAAUGUUUUUAUUUCUAGUUGAUGUGUGAUUUCCAAUAAUUAUAUAAAUUGAUUGUUAUAUGCAGUGUGAAGUUUAACCUUGAUUUUUACUUGAAAAAAUGGAUUUUAAUAUGAGGUAUGCAUGCUCUCAUACUCAAAUUCAAUAAGCGGAAUUUUCACAUGUCAAUAGAAUUUGAACCUGCAUAGUUUUGGGCACUCUCCACCUCAAAUUCGCUCAAUGUUUUUUCCUGCGUUUAAGCGAAAUUACAUGCAGAUUUUGGAGUACUUUCGGGCUUAAAAUUGCUCAAAGAAAUUUCCCUAUGGCAAGCAAAUUUAAGCUACAAUUGUUUGGGUGUUCUUUGCCUCAAAUUCGUUGCCUCAAAUUCGUUCAGCGAAGAUUUCUCUGGGCUUAAGCCCCAACUUCAUGGGCUCGAGCCAUUUUGACAACAUUUGUCAUCUUUGCUUAGAUAUCUUUUGGUUUGUUUUCUAUAGGUCAUGAAAUUGAAUUAAAUCUUUUGAAAUUUAACAUGUGUUUAAAAUAAGUAAAUCUAACAUUUAUAAUCAUGCAACAUGUGUUUAAUUUAUAAAAAAAAUAUAAAACAAAUACUCAUUAUAUAUUCAAUUGAUAUGUAAAAUUUUAAAUAUUAUGUGAUUAUUGUUGAUAUUUUGUAACGGUUUUAAAAAUAUAAACUUCUAUAUGAUUGAAUGAUAUAUUAUCGAUACAUAGUAAUUUCAAGUAAGGAAAUACUUUGUUAAGGAUAGUUAGGAUGUGUCUUGAUUAGUAAUACAUUUAGAAUAAGAUAUUUGACUCUAUUCACAUAUUAAGGUGGUGACAGUCAAAUGAGAUUUAUAUGAUUUGAUCUACAAUAUAAAAAAUCAUAAUCUAACAUGCCAUAUGAAUUAACCUUGUCAUAUUAGGUGAUUCUAUUAUGAUAUUCUUAUUCGCAUAGAUGUGUGAAUUUCACAAUGGGGUAUUAUAACAUGUGCAAAUUUUUUAGUCUAAAUCAAUGUACGAUUCUUUCAGAAAUAGGGUCAAGUGUACAUGUGGAUCUAAUUAGAUUUUUGACAUGAGUAAUAUGGAACACAAGUCAUUUAGAGACACUUAAUUGUUUAAUAUAUUAGGAAUGAAUGAAGUGUGAUUAUUCAUAUGAUUAUGAUUGAAUGAUUCAAAUAUAAAUUUUAAAAAUCAUUAACUUAGCCUAAUUUCUUGUUAGUAUCAUUUUUUUGUUAGUAUCGUUUUUUUUUUAGAUUUGUUAUGAUCGUGAGUUACAUGUGAACAUAUGAUGUUGUAUGUUAUAGGCCUCAAAAUUGAAAAUGAGAGAGUUUUUUCUUUUAAUUCUUUUGAUGUUUUAUUUUGAUGUAUAUAUUUGAUUAUGAUAUAAUAAUAUUACAAUGUAAAUGUUAUUUAUAUACUAUCACAUGGUAAAUUAAAAUUUAAUAAGGUAGUUAAGGAUGUUAUAAUUAUUCUUUUAAUUUAUUUUAUUUCACUGUAUAUUUAGGUGUAUUACGUAAAAUGUAUAGUUAAAAAAAAUAAUGUUAUUUUGAAAUUUAAGCUUUUGUUAAAAUUAUACCAUUUGAAAAGGAACACAGAACAAUCUUGACAAUUAUACUGACUUAGUACUUAUUUUAAUUUAUUAUAUUCAUGAGUAUUAUUUUUUUCUUAAACAUAAAUAUUGGAUAAAAAAUAUAAAUAACAUUUAUUUAUUUCAAAUUUAAAAAUCUUUAAAAUAAAUAUAAAUAAUAUUUUUAAUCAAGAUGUGUUUUUUAACAAUUUUUUUUAAUUUAAAAAUAAUUAAUUCGGACGAUGAUUAAAGAAAUAUUAACAAAUUAUUUCUGCGAUUAUAAUAAACCUUCAAUAAUUUUUGCACUUUCUAGCAUAUAGAAUAUGGAUCCUUUUGUGAUUUUUCUUUUCUAAAGUACAAUUGAUAUUUUAAAUGUUUUUCUAUUUAAUUUUCCUUUCUUAAUGCACAUAAAAAUUUCAGUGCACAAUUAUUACUCACCUUAAUUCAAAAUGGAAAUUAAAAUUCAAGAACCCUACUUAUAUAUUAAUAUUCAACGAUUUAAAAUAUUAGUAUGCAAAUUAAUCUUUCUUAAUAAUAUUUGUAACAAUUUUUAAUAAUUCAAUGUGAAAUAUGUAAUAAUUACUUUUCUAUGAUUCAGAGGGAAAAUUAUUCCAACUAGACUUUUACAAAUAUAUUUCAAGUGGUAAUAUGAUUUUAAACAAAAAUAGUAUUCUCCACAAAAAUAAAUAGUUACUGUUCCUAAUUAAACAAGUCACAUUCUUGAACAAAAUAUCAAAUAACAAGGAAUUAGACUAUGAAAUGAUGACCAAUUAUAUUAAACAACAUAACAUACAUUUCUCAAUGUACACAAGGUAUAAAUAAUACAAUAUCAUCCAAAACCUGUGUUCACUAUGUAAAUAAACCAUUUUUUUUGCCAUUACCUCUUUCAUGAUGAUGAUUUGUUUACUAGGGAUUGCAAUGAUAGGUCAUGAUCAAAACUUAGGCCUAAGACUAAAAAUAGAAUGAAAUGAGCAUGAAAAUAAAGAUAACUUUUGAGUGAGACACAUUCUUCCUUACAAGCAGCAAGUUCUUCCAGGUUAUCUUCUCUUCCUUCAACCGUAGCUGUGCAACCGCCUGUUGUUCAUUGCCACCAAUAUCUCUAGUGCCAAAACUAUGUUUUCCAAAAUUAGAGUUAUAUGGCUUUAUCUGUGAAGUCUUACCAGCCAUAAUGUUUUAUUUUACUGUUUUGUUGUAAUCAUGCCAAUAGAUAAAUCGUGGAUUUGUAAACCACGAAACACCAUUGAGUAUGCAAAUGGGUUGAAUGUGUUUUUGGAUAUUGCAUUUCAACAUGCUAAUGGUCCUGUAAUUAAGUGUCCAUGUGCAAAGUGUGGUUUCAAAAAGUGACAAACAAGGGAUGUAAUCCAAGAACACUUAACAUUUACAACUUUCCCUCAGAACUACAAAACUUGGUAUUUGCACGGUGAAAGACCAAGUGUAAUUGAGCCUAUGGUCACUACAAGUGUGCAUGUCAUUGAAGAUUUAUUUGAAUCUCAAAAUACAAUGGAAGACAUGUUGAAUGAUGCAUUCGAGUUUGCGGGACAUGAUGAGGAUACUGAAGUUGAUGGUUUGCAAACUAAUAUGGUGGGUGAUGAAGGAAUAUGAACUUUGAUGAAUUGAUGAGGGACAAUAAUGAACCCUUAUAUGAAGGUUGUACAAAGCAUUCGAAGUUAUCAUUCAUGUUGAAGUUGUACCAUAUCAAAUGCAUGAGUAGAAUGAGUGACAAAGCAAUGACCAUGAUUCUAGACUUGCUAAUGAACACAUUUGAACAUGCUAAGUUUCCUAACUUGUUUUAUGAGGCGAAGACUGUGAUUACCAAACUUGGACUUAAUUAUGUCAAAAUACCAGCUUGCCCAAAAGACUGAAUGCUAUAUUGGGGCGAAGACAAUGAAGGCUUAGAAGAAUGUAAACGGUUCAAAACGUCUAAGUGCAAAAAAAAAAAAAGAUAAGAAGCAAUUGCAUUACUUUCCAUUAAAACUGUGAUUGCAAAGAUUGUUUAUGAGUUCUAAGAUGAUUGAGUCUAUGACAAGGCAUGCAUCAAAGGAUAAUCAAGAUGGAUUGAUGAGGCAUCCUAGAGAUUCUGAGGCUUGCAAAUCAUUUUAUUGCAUCCAGAAUUUGUAAAUGACCAUUGAAAUGUACGAUUAGACUUAGCUGCUUAUGGCUUUAAUCCUUAUGAAAACAUGAGUAAAAACCAUAGUAUAUGACGAGUGGUUAUCAUCCCAACAAUCACCCUCCUUGGGAGUUAUGAAGCAAACAUCUUUUAUCCUCUACAUGAUAAUUUCUGGAAAACAAAUGGUAGAAAAUGACAUUGAUGUUUAUUUAAAACCACUUAUAAGCAAAUUGAAGGAGUUAAUAGUAUGAUCAUGUAAUUAUUAUUUAUAUACUAAAUAUUACGACAUAUAGUAAUUUAAAAUUUGAUAAGGUAGAUGAGGAUAUUAAAAUAUCUCUUUUAAUUUAUUUUAUUUUAUUGUAUAUUUAGGUGUAUUAUGUAAAAUAUAUAAUUAAAAAAAAUAAUGUUAUUUUAAAAUUUAAAGAAUCACGUAUAGAAAGAAACAUAUAACAAUCUUGACAAUUAUAUUCUGACUUAGAGAUACUUAUCUUAAUUUAUUAUAUUCAUGAGUAUUAUUUUUUUCUUAAACAUAGAUAUUGGAUAAAAAAUAUUAAUAAUAUUUAUUAUUUAAAUUUUAGAAAUAUUUAAAAUUAAAAUUAAAAUUAAAUAAUAUUUUUAAUUAAAAUAUGAAAAAAAUUCCUUAACAAUUUUUUUAAUUUCAAAAUAAUUAAUUCAGAGGAUGAUUGAAAAAAUAUUAACAAAUCAUUUCUGCGUUUAUAAUAAACCUUCAAUAAUAUUUGUACUUUCUAUCAUAUAGAAUACUUAAUGGAUCCUUUUGUGAUUUUUCUUUUCUAAAGUACAGUUGAUAUUUUAAAUGUUUUUCUAUUUAAUUUUCAUUUCUCAAUGACAAAUAAAAUGGUUCAGUGCACAAUUAAUUAUUCUCACCUUAGAUUUCAUUCAUCUCAUUCCAUUUCCACACUCAAAUCAUUCUCACAUUUUUUUCUACCUAUUUCACAAAGUUUUUGUUAAAAUAUGGAAAUUAAAGUUCAAGAACCCUACUUAUAUUUCAUAUUCAACAAUUUAAAAUAUUAAUAUGCAAAUUAAUAUUUCUUAAUAAUGUUAUUUUUAUGUAAAAAUUAAAAUGUAGUUUAGUCAUUCAUACUUAGAUGGAUAAAAAUGGUUUUAGAAAGAAAAAAAUAUGCAUUUUUUUGAAAGGUUAUCUAAACUCUAAACUCAUUGAUGAAUUAAUAAUAAUAAAUAAUAUGGAAUUCUAUACGAAUAGCAUAUAAAUGUUUUCUUGUUGAAACUGAUAAUUAAUUCAGUCUAGGGACAAUUAUCGCGGUAUUUGUUCUUUUAUUUUUAAUGUUUAAACAAUUAUAAAAUUCUGUUUUUAGAUAUUAAAAUGAUAGUUUUCAUUUACAGAUUAAAAUAUUACUUGUUUCUUUUAAGAUUUUUUGUAUUAUAAUUAUUUGUUGUCUGAAUUGUUUUGAUUUAACAUGUUGUUUUCUUGGGCUAUGAUAUUGUGAGGUUUUAUUACAUGCAGGUACGUGAAUAUUUUUUUUAUCCUAGUUGUAUAAAUCAGGAAAAUUGUUUUUCACAUUAUAAUAACCGUUUAACAACUCUAAAUAAUAAUAAAAUAUUAACUCAUAUUGUUUAAUUAAAGUAUAAAUUAAAUUAUUAAAUAAAAAAGUAGUAAAACUGGUUGCAGGAUGGGAAUAUGAUUAUUUUUAACUGCUAGCUCCUGAUUAUUCUUUUCUAAUAAAAAAAACACCAAUAGCAACAAAACAAGUUUUGACACACGUAGGUUUGGCAAUUGUUUUAAUAGCUGAAAAUAGUACAACAAUUUUUAAUUACCACAAACUGCAUCUUAAAUCAUAAAAAAUUAGCAUUUUGUUAGUUCAUAUAUAAUAAAAUUUCCAUAAAACAGCCAAUUGUAUUAAUUAUUAAUAAUGUAUUUACAAUUUUUUUAGAUAAUUUUUUUACUAUAAAGACAUUUAUUUGAGAUUGAAAUUGUAAUUAACACUUUUUGGUCAAAGAAUAAUAUAUUUCACUUGAUUUUUUGUAUUAAAUAUUUUGUAUAGCGCUGAGACAAAAAAAAAUCUCAUAUAAAUCCCUAUGUGCUACAAGUACAAUAUAACAUCCUUAAUGUAAGCAAUAAAAAUGAUGAAUACUCAAAGUCGUGUAAUUACGCAAAAGAAUCAAGUGAUUUUUAAAAGAACUCACAUGAUCAGUUUAAAUUUUGACGAUAAAAUACAUUAAUUAUAUAUAUUUAUUCAAAAUUUCAAUUAUAUUAUGCAUUAAUGGUUUUAUGCUUUUAGAGGAAUCAGAGAAACUUAGAAAAGCUCCUAAAAACUAAUGUAACCCUAUGAAUAGAAGAGAGCUAAAAGAAAGAGAAAAUGGAAGUGAGAAAAGAUGAUAAUUAAUAAACACGCUCUCUUCAUAACAUAGAGUCUUUAAACCUAUAUUCCCUCAAACAAUUAUAAAGAAUUAACAAUCACACUUUUAUAAGUCAUCACCCACAUGAAACAAAACAAGGUGCCUCAAUAUGAAUAAACCAAGAUUAAUAAGAAAUAUGAGGUUUCACUAACCAAGCUCAGAAUUUUCUGCUUUUAUAGCUCCAUGCACAAACCUAAUACAAUGAUAUGAUAUUCACUGCAAAUGCAACCCAAAUAUGCUAAAGAAGUUAAUGAAACCCAAAUAUAAAGAAUUUGAAGAGAAUGCAACUCUGGGACAACAGAGCACACCAUCUCAUGCUGAACAGAAACAUCAAACUAUAUCUAACAAUAACUAUACCUAUGUUUGCUUUGGGUCUGUUUUUAGUUUCAAUGUUACUCUUUAUCUGCAGGUUGGGAACAUAUCUUGAUGAAAUAUAGAAACAUUUUUAUUCAUAAUAUAUAUAAGGAUUACACAUUCAUAAUUAUUUCUUUCUGUCGUAGCAUUGUCUACCUCAAAUCACUGCAACUUUCUGUUGUUGGUAUUUGCAUAUCACGAUGGUUAUUGAGAAAUUUAGGAGUUUGCUGUUGUGUACCAGAAGUAAAAUAGAAGGUUCAUUUUUUGGUCAUCAUCAAUUAUUAAUGUAAAUAGAUAUAGGUGAAGGAGAUCAGUAUUAUGCAUUGUAUCAUGGACCAUUAGAAGACUAGGGUCACCAAUUGGAGGCAUUGGUAACUUUGGCUAGUAAAACUAAAACCAAAGUCCAUUUUUACAAAGCCUUGGUCUAAUUCACCUUAUAGCUGUACUUUUUCCUCCAUUUUAAUAAUAUUAAGUUUUCAUUUUCUAUGCAUAAUCUUGGGUAAUUUUCUUUUUAUAUCAAUGCUUGAAGUGUCAAAUUGUUACAAGCUGGAUUAUUAAGAAAGAAAAGAGUGCAUUCUGGAUGCUCGAAAGGGAGUGUUUCCUAGAAAAAAAAUGUGAUUUCAGGGUGUCCAGGCUCAGGUAGCAAUGGUAGGAGUUCCACAUUGAAAUGGAUGAACUACUUGAUUUAGUACUUUGGGACUCUCUCACCUAAUGGACUAGUAUUUUGGGUUAGCUUCUCUCCCCUUAAUGCUUAAGUCCUAAAAAACAGUUUUUCUGUUUCUAUUUAUCUUUUAGGGUGUGAUUAGGACCAUGAAGCAGUGGGUGUUUUUUCCAUUAAUGAACUUUGCCACUGCCACAGAUCACCUAGGUUAACCUAAUUAAGUCUUCUGAAUUGUAUUUUGUAAUUAAUUCUUGUAAAACAUGGAGUGUAAAAUUCAUGUACAUUUUUCUUUUCCUCUUUUGAUUUGGAUGUCAAACUAGCAACUUCAUGUUUUGUCUGGUUGGUCUAUCACAUUUAUGUAGGUUGUAAUCUAUUUUGCCUAAUGCAUCAGUUGCAGAUAGGUACUAAAUUAUCUUAGUUCGGAUACACCUUGCCAAUUAGAUUAAGAUCAAGAAUUUAAAGUGAAUGGUUCACUUCUGAGUUCUUAAAUGAGAUAAAAUGUUCAGAGAUACUAAAUCAUCGCCUUCAUUUGAAAAUUGGCGUGCCUAUUAUGCUUUUGAGAAAUAUUGAUCAAACCAACGGUCUUUGUAAUGGAACAAGGUUGCAAGUUAUUGAUUUGAAGAAAAUGUUAUUUGUGCAAUAGUUCUAACAGGAACAAAUAUUGGUGAUAAAAUCUUCAUUUCAAGAAUGAAUUUGAUCCCUUUAGAUGUAGGUAUGCCAUUCAAAUUCCAGAGAAGACAAUUUCCAAUAGCUUUAUGUUUUGCAAUGACAAUUAAGAAAAGCCAAGGUCAAUUAUUGACCAAAGUUGGUUUAUAUUUUUCACAUCCAAUUUUCACACAUCGAUAGUUGUAUGUAGCUAUUUAUAGAGUUCGAAAGAAAAAAGAUUUAAAAAUUCUAACUCUUGAUGAAGAUGGAAUGCAACAAACAAGAAAAAGAAAAUGUUUACACUGAAAUUUUUGACAAUAUUUGAAAACAAUAGAAUUAUAUGAUAAACUUGGAAUGGCUAAUUCUCCCUGCAACCAAUAUUUUUGAACCUGCAACUUUUAAAUUUUUGAAAAUGCUCUUUAUUCCAGAAAUGAAAAUAAUACAUUACAAAAAAAAUAGAUCCAAAAAAGAUUAUUGUGUUUUGGUAAUAAAAAUCGGAAAACAAAAAUCAAAAGCCCAUUAUGAAUAAGAAAAUUCGUAAUACAAAAAAUUUGGUCUUAAAAACAAAAUCUGAAAACAUAUUCCAGAAAGAAAAUCCGAAAUGUAUUUUUAUAUAUAACCCAUUUUUUCAAGGGAGUUUCGUCUUUUCUAUUGUAAAAGGGGUUGGAAUUUGCUCCCUUGGAAUUAUAGUUUCUUAUGUGUGAUGUAGUAACAGUUGCCUUAUUUAAAAUGUUACUAAAUAACAUAUAAUUUAUAUCUGUUAUUUUUAUUCUGUUAUGACUUUAUAUAUUUGUCACAACAUGAAUGAGGCACAAACCCAUCUCAUGUUAACGAAGUUGAGAAUUUUCUGAUUUUACAGGUCCAUGCAAAAAUCUAAUAUAAUGAUAUGAUAUUCAAUAUCAAGAGGUACUUGUCGUAAAACGGGGAAUAUGAGAGACUCCAUAGAAUGAAGAAAAAGUAUAAAGAGGAUUUACAAAUUAACCUUUCAAAUGCAGCUCCUCAGAAUUUCAUAAUGCCUUCACUGCAAAUGCAACCCAAAUAUGCUAAAGAAGUUAAUCAAACAAUACAUGAGGAGUUUCAAGAAAAUGCAACUCUGGAACAACAGAGCAACCCAUCUCAUGCUGAACAGAAACAUCAAACUAUAUCUAACUUAGAAAUCUUUGUCAACAAUUGAACGAACCCACUCCUUAAAUACCAUUGAAAAUGUAAAUAAAACAAAAUAAAUUAAAAACGAGAAAUUCAUAAUAAAAAUUAAACGUGUUGAACCCUGUAAUUUAGAAGUAUUAACGAUAAGGCAGUUUAGAUCCUCACCAAUGAAAGAGACUAGCUGACUAGGUAGCUUUCGGCCUUCCUCUUCCUAUCUUCCCUUGUUUCUCUUGAAGACUCUGCAAUAUUGCUUCCAUUGGAUUGUUCAAAGUCAACAGCACCACCAUAUUUAUCAUCUUUCUUUUUCGUAUAAAGAGGGCAUAUGCCGCAUUCCUUUAUUGUGAUACCUGAUUUCAACCGAAAGUGAUAAUCACACGGACUGAUAAGUGAAGCUGCGAGCAUCACAGAUUCUAAGGCUCAUGCCGCUCGCCCUUAGGAACUCCAAGUUAAAUUUCCACACGAAUGUGUGAUCUUGAUCAACACAUCUCUCUUCACCAUUCGAAAUAGCUGUUUAACACAUCUAUCAUCGCUGCAGAAACUUAAAUCUUCAUUUAUAGUCACUGAAUGUCCCUUCCCACGAAAAUGGAACCAACCAGGAACUGCAGUCCCUGGAAAACAGAAGAACACAGACCUAUAUCUAUCGUCGGUCAUCCUAAGCCUUGCAUCCUCCUCAAUGUUAGCACGACCACCUGAAUCCAGUUGCUGAGCAUUGGUGAAAUGAAAUUUGAAUACACCCUCUUUGGAAUUUGAGAGGUUUCGAACAAGAGAAUUUGGCAUCACUCUUCUAAUGGAUGGGCAAUCCAAUGCCACGAGUUGCUUUAGAAAUGGUGGAAUCUGUGGGAUGCAUUCAAGCUUUUUGCAGUCGCUUAAAUCAAGCGAUUUCAAGCUUGAAAGAUGAGCAAUGCUCUCAGGAAGGUUCACGAUUCCGCUAUCACGCAGUGAUAGUUCCAUUAAUAACGUCAAACGACCAAUGUGUCUUGGGAUUUCUGUUAAUUUGGAGCACCCCGAACAAUUUAGAGAGAAGCUUCAGAUUAACAAUGGAGUUUGAAAGUGACUCGAUAUCAGUGUAUUUCUGAAGCUCCAAGGAUCGAAGAUUAACGAAAUUGCAAAAUGAGGAAGGCAACUGCGCAAACUCAGUUGUUGAAGCCCUACCAAACGGCACAAGGAUGAAGGUAGUGCCUGUAUGGCUGUGGCGUCUAAGAUGAGCACCGCUAGAUCUUCCAACGUGUCCUGAAUCUGGGGUAAAUUUUCCAAUUUUGAGCAACCACGGAGAGAAAGUUGCUUUAGGAAUUUCAUAUCAGAAAGGUCAAAUGGAAAGAUUGUAAGGGAAGAACAGUAAGAGAGAUCUAAAUGACAGAGCUUCUUGCAACUAAAGUGUAAGGGCACACCUUUCAUGAAUUUUGUCAACACUUCUAAGUAUAUAGUAUUAUUAGCCACUUCUUCUUCUUCAUUAUAUCUGUCAAAAGUAAUUGAGGAAGUUGGGAAAAUAUGACCACUGUAUGCACGAGGUUCACCACGCCGUCCUGCACCAUGCCGUUCUGAGAAAUUUAUCUCUUUGAUCAUAUCCGGUUUCUGGCGAUGGAAUCUUGAGAAAGUUUGACGUUGACGCUCCACGCUCCAGUAUCACAUGAGGGAAUCUUGAGAAAUUUCCACGUUGAUGCCCCAGUUUCUGAUGUGGGUAUCUUGUGACGCUCCAGUUUCACAUGACGAAAUCUGGGUUCACUGGUUGAAAACAUAUUAAGCUUCCCACAACAGGAAAUAUUAAUCCAUCCUUGUAAUGUGGAUAAAAUGUUGCUGGGAAUAUUUAUACUAUUCAGAUCAUAACAAUUAUCUAAACAUAAAUAACUGAGCUUGCUGAGUAAUAUCGAAGAGUGAACUUUAAUCAACUUUCCACAAUAACUCAGAAUUAUUUCUUCAAUAUUUGGUAAGAGAGAAAAGUCUGGUAUUCUAGUAAGUUUCCGAGAACCACUCAGGUCAAGCCUUUUCAAGUUUGGUAAAUUCUGCCACAAAUAGUAAAUGAAUCAGGUAACAAAUAAAAACCACUGUUAAAAAAAUCACACUCUGAACUAACAAAACUGUGGCUAUUCACUAUCAACAAUCCCUCUCAAAUACACUUCUACUAAUACAUUAACAACAAUAUCAUUAUAUUAACCAUAAAAUAUUACAUUUCUUCAGUUAAUACGUAGGACAAUAUAAUAAUCAGGUCACUCAGCUAAUGAAAAAAAUUAAACAACAUGAACUCAAUUAAAUAAUAUAAAACUUUUGAGUACUAGAUAAAAUAAGAAAAUUAAUAAAAAUUCAAUUUGAAAAUAAUCAAAUUUAUAAGAUACUUAAAACUUAAUUAAACCUACAAAUUUUCAUUAUAUGGAGUUAAAUACUAUAAAUAUUUACCACAUAAGUAGAAUGUUUAAAUAUAUAUUUCUUCACGUUGGAAGUUUUUUUCCUCUAUCUUAUAAGUUUUCUUUGUUUCUUUAAUAUUUUUUAAGCCAAUGUGAUUUUUUUAAUAUAAAAUAUUAUUAAAGAUAAAAUAUGAAGAUAGGGUAAUUAAAUAUAAUUUUUUAUUUUUUAGAAAUGAUGAAAAUUAUAAUUAAAUUAACUAAAUUAUAUAAAAUUCUAUUUCAUUUACAUAACUACUUUUCAUAUUAAAAAAACUAUAUAAGAUCUUGAAACUAUAAUUAAUAUUUCUACUCAUUUUUCGUUUUUGUUGGUGAAAUCUUGAUUUUGGGAUAGUAUUAGUGAGAUAUUGUUUGGAGUUAAAAACAAGAAAUUCUUUUGCAUAAUCAAUUUGAACAGUUUUGAUUUUGAAACCAGAUUUUCAGAGAAGAGUUUAAAGCGUUCAAAUGCAGCAAGAGCUUGAGAUUUAGCAUGCUAGAGAUAAAUUCAUGUAUAUUUUAAAUAUGCAUUAGGAAAAGAGAUAUCGUAUGAUGCAACAUUAUUAGCACAAACAACAAACAGCAGAACGUCCCCAAAUAUCAAUAUAGAUAAAUUCUAAAAGGUGAUUAUCCACACUGUUUUAGAACAACUUUGAUUACAGAAAAACUAUAACGCCCAAGUCUAUUAUGCCACAAGUGAAAAGAAGUUUUUUCAUAUUUAAAAGAUGUGUAGUUAGCAGAAAAAACAGAGGAUCAGAGAUCAAGAAAGACAGAGAGAUCAUCUUUAAGUGUGCCUUGUAGAAGAAUCUGUUUAGUUACUUAGUCUUUAACAUAGCAAGAAUGAGGGUGAAAUUCAAAAAACACAUUGUUGUUACGAGCAAACUUUGAAACACUAAGCAAAUUCUUAGUAUAAUGAGAAACAUGUAAAAGAUCAAGGAGAGAGAAGGAAGUACAAGAGGUAGACGACACACAGGAAGCAGAACCAAUGUGGGAGAUUUUUAUACCUGCACCAUUACCAAGUUUAACGUUCGCAAUGCCAUGAUAGAUUUGUUGAUCAUUGAACAGAGUAUGGUCGUUUGUUAUAUGGUGAGAGACACCGCUAUCUGGGUACCAUAAUGGAUCUUCUAAAGAUGAUGGUGGACCAAGAAGAGAGUAAGAAGAGUCAUCACGUGGAGGUGGAGAGAAAUGAGAUGUGUUUGCAGAGGAGGAUGGUGGUGUAGUACGAUCAAACCAGUGCCAACAAUGAAGAGCAGUGUGUCCAAGUUUGGAGCAUAUUUGACAGCGAACAGGGUUGCGUUUCCAUGAUGAAGACGUAGUGGAGUUCCAAGAAGAGUAUUGGGAAGGUCGGGGUUUGCCGCGGUUGAACUGAUUCUAGUUAGAUGUGGGAUUGUAACCACGACCACCACAGGAGGAGUUGGAAAAGGGGAGGUGGAGAGAAAUGAGAUGUGUUUGCAGAGGAGGAUGGUGGUGUAGUACGAUCAAACCAGUGCCAACAACAAUGAAGAGCAGUGUGUCCAAGUUUGGAGCAUAUUUGAGAGCGAACAGGGUUGCGUUUCCAUGAUUACGACAGUAAUAAAUGUAUUAUAUUCUUCAGAUAGCCUUCAAGGAUGAUGUCAAUAUGAUCAGUGGAAACAGGGGCAUCAAUAGCGGCAAGCAUGUUGACGGCGUUCUUGAUAUCAUGGAGAUAGGAGGAGAUGGAUCUGUGAUGACCUGAUUUUGUUGUUGGUACCAUUAGAGACUUGGGGACUGUCAUCAGUGGUGGAAGAAGUGGUUCUUGAUGGAACACUAGUGUCGUCAAGAAAAUGACCCAGUUUGAGCCCGCAAAUGGAGGCAAGGACUUGAUGUUUCCAGAGAAGAUAGUUAUCUUCAUCUAGUUUAAGAGUGAUGGGUGUUGUGAACUGUUGAACGGAAGGCAUGACCAGAGGUAACGGGCAAGAAGAAGAUGCAAAAGAAGAUGAAGAGAUAUGAGUGCAGUGCAUUAGAAUAGAGAGAGAAAGGAGAAAGAUAUUAUCUUAGUAUAUGUGCUAAAGGUAUAUAAGGAGUGCAGAACUGGAAACACUUACAAAGUUGUCGUUACACAGUUAUAGUAUGGUUAACAAUGUAUAAUACAGAAAACAUGCUUGUGUACUUUAUUUUUAUCUUUGAAAGUUUAGAACACAGAGGAACAUAGAUAGCUAGAAAAACCUGAUCUCCUUCCCAGAGUUGUUCAAGAUGGCAGCCUGGCAUUUCCAGGGUCACAGUCUGGCAUUUCCAGGGUCACUAGAUUUUGUGGGCAAAAGUUUGGAGGCCAGAAUCUUUGAGGGAAACCGUUCCAAUAAAGAAACUUUAGAGUGUCUGGCAGACCUACAAGAGAUGAUUCAAGAGACACAUUUGAUAUGAAUAUAGGCAUGUAGACCAUAAGCAUCAUAAGAUUGUCCAUCUUUUCGAAACUUUGUGCAUGUACUACAGCAUCUUUUACUUUGUUCGUAUGUAGUAAUAUACACUGUAUUGCAUCUGACCCCUGAAAGUAAAUCAAUUUAAUUAGGAGAAAAAAAACAUGAAAUGUUGCAUUGCAGGAUGUUUAAUGACAUCUCAGUGGUUUGCAAUUUUUUACAAAGUAAAUCCAUUCUCAAUUGAGUAACGACAUAAUACCUUGUUCUUUCUUAAAACCUCUCAAAUUUCCUCAGCAUUAAACAAUCGGCUGCGUUUUCCAGGAUGCUGAGGACACUCUUUACGAACAAUUUCUUGACUCAUUUCUNNNNNNNNNNNNNNNNNNNNNNNNNNNNNNNNNNNNNNNNNNNNNNNNNNNNNNNNNNNNNNNNNNNNNNNNNNNNNNNNNNNNNNNNNNNNNNNNNNNNGAUCCAUCUUUUUCUGCUGCUACCAUGUCGAACUCCCUUCAAAUCAAUACAAUGUCUUCACCAUCAAUCAGCCAAGUGAUUAAUGUUAAACUCACACAAGAAAAUUAUUUAUUGUGGUCUGCUCAAAUCCUUCCCUAUUUACGUAGUCAGGGGCUGGUUGGGUUUGUGGAUGGAUCCAUGCCACCACCAAACCAAACGAUUACGGUUGAGUCAAGUGAAGAAACAGGGAGCCGCAAAAUCCUGAAUUCACAGUCUGGUACCCCCAGGACCAGCUGGUACUCAGUCUCAUCAACUCAUCGGUUACCGAGGAAGUUCUCAGCACGGUGGUCGGAAUCACCACUGCACGAGAAGCCUGGGAUAUGCUGGAGCGGCAAUUUGCCUCCACAUCUCGAGCACGAGCAAUGCAGAAUCAUAUGGAACUCUCCACGAUCCAAAAGAAGGACAUGACAAUUGCUGACUAUUUUCGUAAAGUAAAACGUCUCGGAGACACUCUGGCUGCCAUUGGCAAGCGAGUAGAGGAUGAAGAACUCAUCGCCUACAUGCUGCAAGGACUUGGUCUAGAUUAUGAUCCUCUUGUCACAAGCAUUACAACUAGAACAGAUGUUUACACUGUCAGCGAUGUGUAUGCUCAUAUGCUGAGCUACGAGAUGCGUCAUCUGCGUAAUGGUACUCUUGAGCAAUUUCCUUUUGCUAACAAUGUCAACAGCAUGUCUAAUCGAGGAGGAACUAAUGGACGUCGUGGUGGUCGUGGUCGUCAAUCAAAUGGUGGUCGAGGACAAACAUGGCACACUAGAAACAAUUCUGGACGUCAGCCAUCAAAGGCACAAAGUAACUCAGACAAAGUCUGUCAGAUUUGUGGUAAGCCAAACCAUGAUGCUUUGCAAUGUUGGCACAGAUUUGAUCAGGCAUAUUAAGCCGAAGACAAUCUUAAACAAGCAGUUGUGGCCACAAGUGGAUAUACUGGUGAUGCAAACUGGUACGUAGAUACUGGAGCCACAGAUCACAUCACCAACGAGUUAGAAAGACUUACCACCAACGAACAUUACAAUGGCACUGAUCAGAUUCAAGUUGCAAAUGGCUCAGGUUUUUCUAUCUCUCAUAUUGGGAACUCAUUAAUUUCUGGUUCAUCUAGAUCUCUUGUACUGAAACAUAUCCUAUAUGCUCCUAAAAUCAAUAAACAUCUGAUUUCAGUACAAAGACUAGCAUCUGAUAAUAAUGCCUUUGUGGAAUUUCACCCACACUGUUUUUUUGUUAAGGACCGAGCCACGAAGGAACUUCUGCUCACAAGUAGAUGUAAGAAUGGCCUCUACACUUUACCAAAUAACUCCAGCAAAGCAUUCCCGACAGCCAAACUUUCGAAAGAACAAUGGCAUAGAAGACUUGGGCAUCCUGCUUUCCCAGUCACAAUUAGAAUCUUGAAAAAUAAUAACUUAGCUCUAGAUACUAGAGUUUCUUCUUCCUUAAUUUGCCAUGCUUGUCAACUAGAAAAGCACAUCAAUUACCCUUUGUUUCUUCUCAACAUGUAUCUACAGCACCUCUUCAAUUGAUUCAUACUGAUGUAUGGGGUCCAGCCAUUGUCUUAGUGAAUAAUUCUAAAUAUUAUGUUUCAUUUGUUGAUGAUUUUAGCAGAUAUGUUUGGAUUUAUUUUUUGAAAUACAAGUCUGAUGUUGAGUCUGUGUUUCAUCAGUUUCAAAAACAUGUUGAAACCAUGCUAAACACCAAAAUUCGCUCUGUCCAGUCAGAUUGGGGGGGUGAAUACCAUCGUUUGCACCAAUAUUUCAAAACAACUGGAAUUGAGCAUCGUCUUUCUUGUCCUCACACACAUCAGCAAAAUGGGUUGGUAGAAAGAAAGCACAGACACAUUGUGGAAACUGGCCUUACUUUACUUGCCCAAGCUAACAUGCCUUUGUCCUAUUAGGAUGAAGCCUUCAAUACAGCUUGUUACCUUAUAAAUAGACUACCAUCUCGAAUCAUACAAGCAAGACACACCACUUCAUAAAUUAUUUGCAAAAAAUCCAGAUUACACCAUGCUUAAGGUGUUUGGCUGUGCUUGCUGGCCCAAUUUAAGGCCUUACAACACCAAGAAACUGAGUUUUCGAACCACUAAGUGUGUCUUCUUAGGCUAUAGUUCUUCUCAUAAGGGAUACAAGUGCUUAGAUAGAAGUACAAAACGAAUUUACAUCUCUAGAGAUGUAAUCUUUGAUGAAAAUGUGUUUCCUUUUGAAGAAUUAAAUUCUAAGUCAUCAAUCCAAACCAAAAAUUCACACCAGCCUGCUCUACUUCCAACCUUCGUUAAACCCGUUCCAUACACUGAAAAUGCUCUCACAAAUAUUGAACCAGUUGUUAAUGAUUCUCGUAUAAUUGAUGGUCAAUCUAAUGAUGUUGCUAAUAACAACUUGUCUGGUAUAAGCUUACAUCCUGCAGAUAAUACAAUAAGUCCAGAAAUUGUUGCAGAACAGGAAGCUGAGAACAGUCUGACCAAUUUCCAAGAACAGAUGUUCNNNNNNNNNNNNNNNNNNNNNNNNNNNNNNNNNNNNNNNNNNNNNNNNNNNNNNNNNNNNNNNNNNNNNNNNNNNNNNNNNNNNNNNNNNNNNNNNNNNNGAACAAGAUUGAAAAAUAACAUUGUCCAAGCAAAACAGUUCACUGAUGGUACUGUCAGAUAUUCAGAGACCUCAAGAAAGUUUACCGGUGCUGUCACUGUCAAAAAUCCGACCACAAUAAAUGUACUAAAAAAUGCUACUGAGACUGAUACAGUUACUGAACCUCAAAACCUGCAGGAAGCUCUACAAAGUCCAGGUUGGCAGGAAGCAAUGAAUAAUGAGCUCUCAGCAUUACAACACAAUGAGACUUGGGAUUUCGUUCCACCAAAACCUGGCAUAAAUCUCAUUGAUAGUCGAUGGGUGUAUAAAGUGAAAAGGAAAGCGGAUGAAUCAGUGGAGAGAUUGAAAGCAAGGUUGGUUGCUAAAGGGUUCAAGCAAAGAUUUGGCAUUGAUUACAUUGAUACCUUUAGCCCCGUGGUCAAGCCAUCAACAAUCAAAGUUAUUCUUUCACUAGCAGUAACCAAAGGCUGGAAUAUGAGACAAGUUGAUAUCCAAAAUGCAUUCUUGCAUGGAAUUUUGGAAGAGGAAGUGUACAUGCGACAACCAUCGGGAUUUCAAGACCCAUAUAAACCAAAGGAAUACAUAUGCAAACUCAAGAAAGCGCUUUAUGGCCUGAAACAGGCUCCAAAGGCUUGGCACUCAAGACUGACUGGAAAACUUAUGGAAUUAGGCUUUAGAGCUUCUGUAGCUGAUUCAUCUUUGUUUAUCCUCAAAAACAAAGAGGUAACCAUCUAUAUGCUCAUAUACGUUGAUGAUAUAAUUAUCGUGAGCUCCUCUGAUCAAGCCACCGAAAGGUUGAUUCAGAAGUUGAAAAUAGAUUUUGCUAUAAAAGACUUAGGUGGUCUUGAGUAUUUUCUGGGUAUUGAAGUCAAGAAGGCAAGAGAUGGCAUCACANNNNNNNNNNNNNNNNNNNNNNNNNNNNNNNNNNNNNNNNNNNNNNNNNNNNNNNNNNNNNNNNNNNNNNNNNNNNNNNNNNNNNNNNNNNNNNNNNNNNAAAUUAUUCAAAGAGCAGGGAACACUCUUGUCAAUUGAAGAACAAUUUAAAUACAGAAGUACUGUGGGAGCAUUGCAAUACUUGACAAUGACCAGGCCUGAUUUGGCAUUUGCUGUCAACAAGGUUUGCCAAUACCUUCAUACGCCUACUGAUGCUCAUUGGAGUGUUGUAAAGAGAAUCCUUCGUUAUGUCAAGGGCACAUUAGAUUUGGGAAUCAGAAUUCAGAAGUCUCCAACAAUGCUGCUGUCCGGAUUUUCUGAUGCUGAUUGGGCUGGUUGUCCUGAUGAUCGACGUUCAACUAGCGGCUUUGCUGUAUUUCUUGGAGCAAAUCUAAUUUCUUGGAGCUCUAGAAAACAAACCACAGUGUCCAGAUCGAGCACCGAAGCAGAAUACAAGGCCAUUGCGAAUCUGACAGCAGAAAUGAUUUGGAUAAAAUCAUUAUUGAAAGAGCUUGGUGUGUAUCAAUCAAAAGCUCCUCGACUCUGGUGUGACAAUCUAGGAGCUACAUACUUAACUUCAAAUCCAGUGUUUCAUGCAAGAACAAAACAUAUUGAAGUUGACUUCCAUUUUGUUCGAGAACAAGUGGCACGCAAAGCAAUGGAAGUUCAGUUUAUUUCAUCAAGUGAUCAAGUGGCUGAUAUCCUAACAAAACCACUGUCUAGAACUCUCUUUAUUACACAUUGUAACAAUCUCAACAUGUAUAAAACCUGUUGGGAUUGAAGGGGACUGUUAGAAUUAGUCAGUUAGAAGUGGAACACGUUUGUAGAAGUGGAACACGUUAGUUGGUUAGUUGCCUUAAGAAGCGGAUCAUGGAUCCAACCGUGUAUGCAAUCAGUUACCUUUCUUUAAUUAUAAAUACAAUACGUCCUCCACAUAGAGAGGUACAGUUAGCAAACUUUAUUAGAGCUGAAUCGGUAACAUCAUCAAGAAUGAGGAGAACCUUUGUCCGUUUGAGCCUUUCAUUGUAAUAUGGUGAAGAAGAGGAUUUCUCUUCCUUUAGAAGCUCAGACUGAUAUUUUGUUCUGAUACUGUCUAUUCCAUCUCUUUGUAUUUUUUCUUGAACGUCUAAAACAAGGCUGCUGGAAUCAAACUGCAAUGCCAAUUUGUGAUAUAUUUGAUUACAAAUUGUAGUUUUUCCUAUUCCUCCCAUGCCACAAAUUCCUAUGAUCCGAACAUCCGGUGACUCAAGAUGCAACAAGGACUGAAUUCCUUCAAUAUGUUUUUCAAUGCCGAUGAUUCCUUGAUCAUAACUGAUGGAAUAACGAUUCAAUUUUUUCAACAAGUGUGUGUUCUGUGCUGGCAGAUGAUUUAGAAAAUAAUGUAUAAGUAUUCAAGCACAAAAGCUAAACUAAAGAAAAAUUCUACAGCAUCCGUUUGUGACUUCUGAUACUAGGGAGAAGACUUGUAGGUACAAAGUUAAGCUAUAACAUGUAAUAUGGUUCAGAUCUAAGACCGACUAAUAGAAAUGAAAAAAGAAGCACUUGAUUUAGGGUGAGAUGAACACAAUUUUAGUAAAUGAAAAGAGAUCCUGAUUAUCUGGAAAGUGCGUGACCUGGUGACUUUUGAAUCCCAGCCUGCAAGUUCAGCAGCUUCGGUGAGAGCAUCCUUCCAUCCUUGCACUUUAUCGUGCUUAAAGUGCUGCUCAUGCUUUUCGAAUGCUUCUUUGUAUCUUUGUUCCUGCUUCCUAAUAGUUGAUGGAUCCACCUUGUAGAAAACAGGUAUGACAUCCCUUCCAAAUCUCUUCUUGCAUUCAAGUAUCUUAGUGAGUUCAUUCAAGCACCAAGUGGAAGAUGCAUAGUCUUGGGAGAAAACGAUGACAUAAAUCUUUGAAAAAUAAGUAUGAAAUCUAGAUAUAUAUCAUUAUCACGUGUGGAAGCUACGUCGUCUUGUAUUGGAUUUUCUAAUCUGCCUUUUAUCUUGUCUCAUUCUUCUUUAUCUUUUUUCUCUCAUCUCUCUUGCUUACGAUUUCUUUGCCUUUAUUCAGAAAUUUUAGUUAUAAUAAACCUUCAAUAAUAUUUGUACUUUCUAGCAUAUAGAAUACUUAAUGGAUCCUUUUCUGAUUUUUCUUUUCUAAAGUUCAAUUGAUUUUUUAAAUGUUUUUCUAUUUAAUUUUCCUUUCUUAAUGACACAUAAAAUGGUUCAGUGCACAAUUAAUUAUUCUCACCUUAGAUUUCAUUCAUCUCAUUCCAUUUCCACACUCAAAUCAUUCUCACAUUUGUUUCUACCUGUUUCACAAAGUUUUAGUUAAAAUAUGGAAAUUAAUGUUCAAGAACCCUACUUAAUAUUAAUAUUCAACAAUUUAAAAUAUUAAAAUGCAAAUUAAUCUUUCUUAAUAAUGUCAUUUUUAUGUAAAAAAUAAAAUGUAGUUUAGUCAUUUAUACUUAGAUGGAUAAAGAUGAUUUUAGAAAAAAAAAAUGCAUUUUAUUUCAAAGGUUAACUAAACUCUGAACUCAUUUAUGAAUUAAUAAUAAUAAAUAAUAUGUAAUUGUAUUCCAAUACCAUAUAAAUUUUUUUUAUUGGGUGCGUUUCUGAUGAAUUAAUGCACUCUAGGGACAAUGAUCGCUCUAGUAUUUGAUUUUUUAUUUAUUUUAAUGUUAAAAUUAUAGCUAUGUAGUACAGAUAUUACUGACACAGACAGACACGAACACGGACACAGAAAUACAUAAAAUCUCUAAAAUGUAGAAUACGGAGACAUUAAUCUAUAUAUUAUAUAAUUAUGAAUCAUAUAAAUUAACAAUAAAGAUUUAUGUGCACAAGUAUUUUUGAGAUUAUUUUUUAGAACAGAAAUAUGUUUUUCAUGACUAGUUCACAAAUAUUUGUUUCUUAUUCUUAUAAUCAUAAUAACAAUUUAUACCAUAAAGUUUCAAUUUUAGAAAAUUAAUGUAUUUUUUCUUUUUAAAAUUUCGUUAGAACUGUACUAGAAUUGUAAAAAAUCUAACAAAUACAUUUUGAAUUGGACAUUCCACGAAUACGUGUCCUACCAGUAUUUUGAACAACAUUCUUUCUUUUGGAACAAAGAGGGCAUAUGCCGCAGUCUUUUACUGUGAUAACUCAUUUCAACUCUCACACAACUGAUUCGUAAUCUGUGGGAUGCAUUAAAGCCUUUUGCAGUUAAAUCAAUAGUAUAUGAUGAUGUGAAUGUUAUUUAUAUACUAAAUAUAAUCACAUAGUAACUUCAAAUUUGAUAAGGUACAACAUGUUACCAUAUCUCUUUUAAUUUAUUUUAUUUCAUUAUAUAUUUAGGUGUAUUUAAUUUCUUUUAUUUCAUUGUGUAUUUAGGUGUAUUACGUAAAAUAUAUAAUUAAAAAGAAAGAAGAAUAAUGUUAUUUUGAAAUUUAAAGAAGACAUAUAGAAAUAAACAAGCUUUUGCUAAGAUUCCACCAUUGAAAAGGAACAUAGAACAAUCUUGACAAUUAUACUUUGACUUAUUUUAAUUUCUUAUAUUUAUGAGUAUUAUUUUUUCUUAAACAUAGAUAUUGGAUAAAAAAUACAAAUAACAUUUCUUUAUUUCAAAUUUAAAAAUAUUUUAAAUUAAAAUAAAAUAAUUUUUUAAUUAAGAUAUAACAAAAUAUUCUUUAACAAAUUAUUUUAAUUUCAAAAUAAUUAAUUCAGAGGACGAUUGAAAAAAUAUUAAAUAUUAUAAUAAAGCUUCAAUAAUAUUUGUACUUUCUAGCAUAUAGAAUACUUAAUGGAUCCUUUUAUGAAUUUUCUUUUCUAAAGUACAAUUGAUUUUUUAAAUGUUUUUCUAUUUAAUUUUUCUUUCUUGACACAAAAUGUUCAGUGCACAAUUAAUUACUCACCUUAGAUUUCGUUCUUCUCUUUCCAUUUCCACACUCAAAUCAUUUUCACCUUUUUUUUCUUCUUAUUUCACAAAACUUUAAUUAAAAUAUGGAAAAUAAAGUUCAAGAACCCUGCUUAUAUAUUAAUAUUCAAAAAUUUAAAAUAUUAAUAUGCAAAUGAAUAUUUCUUAAUAAUUUUAUUUUGAUGUAAAAAAUAAAAUGUAGUUUAGUCAUUCAUACUUAGAUGGAUAAAGAUGGUUUUAGAAAAAAAAAAAGAAUAUGCAUUUUAUUUGAAAGGUUAUCUAAACUCUGAACUCACUGAUGAAUUAAUAAUAAUAAAUAAUAUGGAAUUCUAUUCCAAUACCAUAUAGGAUGGAGAAAAGUAAGAAGAGGAUUUACACAUUACCCUUUCAAAUGGAGCUCCUCAGGAUUUCAUAAUGCCUUCACUGCAAAUGCAACCCAAAUAUGCUAAAAAAGUUAAUGAAACUAUAUAUGAAGAGUUAAUGAAACUAAAUGGCGUGUGCUGAAAUUUUUGAUCCGAUAACCAUGCCCACAUUCAAAAAGUGAAAGGUUACUUUGCUUUAUAUUCCUUUGGGUGGUGCUACUUUUCAACUUGACAACAAAUUCCCAUUAUUGUGUGGUUAUCAAUUACCAUUUAACUUAUUCUCAUACCACAUUCACUAUAUAAUAGUCCAUCAUAAACCCCAAAAUUUGCACAUUUUCUAUUUGCAAGACAUCCAACAGACAAAGAAAACAUGUGAAACUGUGUAAUAAUGUGAGAACGUAAGAACUUACUUCAUCAUGAAAUCAAGCCAUGCCUGAGGGUUUUUUCUGAGAGCAUUCACCACAGGUGCAUAUUCAUGUGGCUGUAUCCCAUACUCAGCUAGUAUUUCUGCUACCUCUGCCGCUUCUUUUUUUGUCAAAAAACACAUAUUCAUUAUUAAUGUGCAAUCAAAUGGUAACGAAACUAUGUAGUACAAACACACACUGAUACGACACUAGGACGAACAUACGUAUAAUGUUACUCCUUCUAUGGAAAUGAAGGAUAUUCAGCAAUAACUUUUAAAACUCAUUACAUAGAAAUUUGCAUCAAGUUAUCAAAGUCUAUAGGAAUGAAUUUUCAAUUCAUGGAAACACAGAUAACAAAAAGUAAUAGAAAAAUAGAAAAAAAGUUGUCAAAUGAUUCUAUAAAAAAUUAACCUAUCAUGAAAAUCAAGAUGAUAGAAAAUAAAAUAAUGUGGCAUGAACAUCAAAAUCGUAUAAAAGCAUAAUAGAAGAACAGUGGAUACCAGUUUCUGGCACGGCGAUGAUUUCUUCUUGCUCUCUUUUCAAUUCCCUCGAGUAAUUAUCGGCUUCACUUUUUGCUGCCAAAUAACUGCACAAUGAAAAUUAACAUGAAAUAAUAACGGAAUUUAAAUUGAGUUUUGUGAGUGUGAAGAGUGUGGUUGAACGUACCCGCCGAGGCCCAUGGAGAUGGCGCCGGCGGCGACUUCCGCUAUGCCAGCGGUGAGAACGAUGGAGGAGGUGACAUUGGCGCCGGAGAGGCCGGCGGCGAGGGCGAAGGGGACGGUGAGGCCGUCGGAAACGCCGAUGAUGAUGUCGCGGACUAUUUCGCCGGCGGUGAAGUGCUUCUCGGUGUGGUGGUUGAGAAGGUUCGUUCUCUCAGAAUCCACGCUUAUGCCGUGUUCGGUGGCGGCCAUUGGUGCAAGCUUGUGAAUGUGUUUGAGUUCGCCAACGUGCUCUGGGAAUCCAAACAAAGCCUUGCUGCUUUGCACAUAAAUUGAGCCUCUUUUGUGCUCAACUUACUCCUAAAUAGAACAAAAAUAUCUAACCGUUGAUGAUAUCCACGUGGAAAAUUAUCAAUGGAUAUCAAUAUCACAUUAUUUCUACACUAAUAUUUUAAUUAUUUUUAAAUAUUAUAACUAAAUCAAUCAAUAUAAUACCAAAUCUUCUUAAUUCUUUGGAUUAUAUAUAUUUUAUUUUAUUUUAUUUAUAAAGGAAGUUGUGAUAAAUGUUGUGUUUUGUGUGCACAUUAAUAAAAAUCAAAUAACCAAAAAAUAAUAAUCUUGUGAAAGAAAAAAUGGUAGAAUUUAUACUAUUCUACAAAAUUUUAAAAGUGGCUAAUGUGUUUUACUCAACUAUGUAAAUAAUUUUGGACUCUCUUGUUAAGGAAAUAAUGAAAUACAUUAAAUUUUGUUUUAUACUCUUACUUUAAGUUUUUUUGUGUUUCUCCUGACUUAAUUAAAUAUCAGAGAGUCGUCUUUUGCAGGUAGAUUUCAUUCUAUCAUAAUAUACCAACUGAAAACUUGUUUUCUGAAAAACACACGGCUCUCACCGAAUUGCACUUUCCAAUUUUUUUUAAUAGAAAUAAUAAUAAUUAAGUAUUUGUGUUCUUAUAUUUAAUUUUUAAUAAAAAAAUUAUUCUUAUGUACUUCUAAAUUGAUAUAUUUUACCAAUGUCUAUUAACAAUGGGAAGAAGUUUAUACCUAACAAAACUAUUUAACAUGAUUUGUUUGUAAAUUAUAGAAGUAUGUGUAGAAAGAUAUAAAAUUAAUGUUUUAAGAGAAAUUUAAGCAACUUUCAUAAUAUAUUGUAGAUUAUUAGUUGAAUUUAUGGAAAUUAAAAAUAAAUUGUAGGUCACCACACUUCCACUUUUUUUUAAUGAUAUCAAAUCACAACUUUACAAUUUUCACUAAUUUUUAACCAAUAACAAAAGAACAUCUUAGAAGAAGUGUGUUUAAGAAUUUGAUGUUAACUCUCAUUGUUUUUUAAACUUAAAUCCAGCUUUAUUCUUCAACUUUUAAUUUUUAUACAUAUUUAAUUGUAUAUAUAGUUUUUAACUCUCUAAAAUCAAACAAUUUUAAUUCAUUAAAUAGGCAAUGUCAUGAGUGUUAAACUUUUAACAUUUUUCUAGUAAUUAAAUUACUUAUGAAGAUUCAACUAAUUCAAAAUUUAAUAUUUUUACAAUUUUUAUUAUAAUAUUCUUAAAAUAUAUUUUAAUAUUUUGUUUUUCAUGUUUGAAAUAUAAAUGUUUUAAAAAAUCAUUUUAAAUUAUUUUGUUUCUCAUCUUAUGUAAUAAAUUACUAUAAUAAUUACUAAAACAUUUAAUACCUAUACAUUUUUAAUGAGCAAAAACUAAUAAUGAAUUAUAACAAAUAAAAAACGUUUCUGGGCAACAAAAUAGUAAUUAAUAUGAAUUAUAACAAAUAAUGAACGUUUUGUGGUAAUUUGUUUCACUUUCAAAUAAGUUAGUACUUCGCCUGUUAUUUCAUAACGGUAGUUUUUUUAAAUAUAUUAAGAAAAAUGUUUAUUUUUUUAUUUUUAAUGCACUUUUAAGUAACUUGCCUAUUAUAUUAUAUUAUAUGGGUAUUAUAUAUAUAUAGGUAAGCACCAAAAAAUAAAUUUAAGGUAAAAGUGAUAUAAUUAAAAUAAAAUAAAUUAUUAUUAAAUAGAAAAUAUAUAUAAUUAAAAAAAUCAGUUAUUUAAGUUUUAUUUUAAAAUAAUUUUUGUAAAAAAAUUUUCUUUUUUUCCUUGUUCACGAUUUUAAAUUUUAUAUUCACUUGGUAGACAUGUUUUGCAUGUGGUGUUUGGGACUUAAAAGAAUAAUAUAUGUUAGUUCAAGAUCCUAAUGAUGUGUUUUUAAGAAGUUGGACUAUCUUUGUUUUUUUAAGAAGUUGAAGUCUUUUUAUGAAUACUUAUCUUUUUAAACAGGUAAGAUAAACUAGUUUUAUCUGUAAAACUUAAGUUAGAAUAUCUGAAUAUGAAAUGUGAUUCUUCAUAUGAUUAUGAUUGAAUGAUUCAAAAUUCAAGUAUAAAGUUUUAAGAAUCAUUAACUUAUGUUUUUUUUUUUGUGCUAUUUUUUUGAUUUUUUGCAAUGAUUGUGUGUUGCAUGUGAGCAAAUGAUGUUACAAGUUGUAAACCUAAAAAAAAAUCAUGAAAUUUUGUCUUUUUUAUUCUUUUGAUAUUUUAUCUUAAUGAUAUAUAUAUAUAUAUAUAUAUAUAUAUAUAUAUUUAAAAAUCUCUAUAUGAAAGGAUAGUAUUUUAUGAUAUAAUAAUAUGAUAAUGUAAAUGUUAUUUAUAUAAUAAAUAUCAUGAGAUAAUUUAAAUUUUGAUAAGAUAAAUGAAGAUGUUACAAUAUCUCUUUUAAUUUUUUUUUAUUUCAUUAUAUAUUUAGGCGUAUUUAAUUUCUUUUAUUUCAUUGUAUAUUUAGGUGUAUUACGUAAAAUAUAUAAUUAAAAAGAAAAAAUAAUGUUAUUUUGAAAUUUAAAGAAUGACGUAUAGAAAGAAACAAGCUUUUGUUAAAAUUCCACCAUUGAAAAGGAACAUAGAACAACACUCUUGACAAUUAUACUUUGACUUAGAUACUUAUUUUAAUUUAUUAUAUUCAUGAGUAUUAUUUUUUCUUAAACAUAGAUAUUGGAUAAAAAUUAAUAAAAUUUAUUUAUUUCAAAUUUAAAAAUAUUUAAAAUUAAAAUAAAAUAAUAUUUUUAAUUAAGAUAUAAAAAAAUAUUCUUUACAAAUUUUUUUAAUUUCAAAAUAAUUAAUUCAGAGGAUGAUUGAAAAAAUAUUAACAAUCUAUUUAUGCGUUUAUAGUAAACCUUCAAUAAUAUUUGUACUUUCUAGCAUAUAGAAUACUUACUGGAUUUCUUACUCUUUCUUUCUACACCUCUAUCCAUACUAAAUAUAAAAAUACCAUUUUAUUCUUUUUUCUCCACCCCUUGAAUUUGAAAUAAUAAGCCCAUGGAUUAUGUAAUCUGGAUAUAUUCCGGAUUAGUCAAUUUCAUAUUUAGAAAAGACUUUCGGAUUAUGUAAUCCAGAAGCUAAUAAAACAUCUGAAAAAAAGGCUUCCGGAUUACAUAAUCCGGAAGCUAAUCUUAUGUAUAGAAAAGACUUUCGCAUUAUGUAUUCCGGAAGCUAAUCACAAAAGACUUCUGGAUUACAUAAUCCAAACGCUAAUUCUAAAUCUAGAAAAAAGACUUCCGGAUUAUGUAAUCCGGAAUAUUAAAAAAGAUAUUUUUGAAAUACGAAAAAUUUAUGGGGGUGACACAAGAAGGUAUGGAGGUGCAGGAAGAAACAGCCUGGAUUCCUUUUGUGAUUUUUCUUUUCUAAAGUACAAUUGAUAUUUUAAAUGUUUUUCUAUUUAAUUUGUCUUUCUUAAAUGACACAUAAAAUGUUCAGUGCACAAUUAACUACUCACCUUAGAUUUCGUUCUUCUUUUUCCACUUCCACACUAAAAUCAUUUUCACAUUUUUUUUACCUAUUUCACAAAAAUUUAAUUCAAAAAUGGAAAUUAAAGUUCAAGAACCCUACUUAUAUAUUAACAUUCAACAAUUUAAAAUAUUAAUAUUCAAAUUAAUCUUUCUUAAUGUUAUGAAAAAUUUAAAAUGUAGUUUAGUCAUUCUUGGAUGGAAAAAGAUGGUUUUAGAAGAAAAAAAUGCAUUUUAUUUGAAAGGUUAUCUAAACUCUAAACUCAUUGAUGAAUUAAUAAUAAUAAAUAAUAUGGAAUUCUAUUGGAAUAGCAUAUAAAUGUUUUGUUGUUGAAACUGAUAAUUGGGUGCGUUUCUGAUGAAAUUAAUUAAUGCAGUCUAGGGACAAUUAUCGCUCUAGUAUUUCAUUUUUUUAUUUUUAACGUUGAAAUUAUAAUUAUACAAUUCCGUUUUUAGAUAUUAAAAUGAUAGUUUUCAUUUACAGAUUAAAAUAUUACUUGUUUCUUUUAAGAUUUUUUUGGUAUUAUAAUUAUUUGUUAGCUGAAUUGUUUUGCGUUAACAUGUUGUUUUCUUGGGCUAUGAUGUAAGCAAUAUAAAUGUUAUUUUUAAUGUAAGCAAUAAAAAUUAUGAGUAUUCAAAGUCGUGUAAUUACUUAAAAGAAUCAAGUGAUUUUUAAAAGAACUCACACGAUCAGUUUUAAUUUUGACGAUAAAAUAUAUUAGUUAUAUAUAUUUAUUCAAAAUUUCAAUUAUACUAUGCAUUUAUGGUUUUAUGCUUUUAGAGGAAUCAGUAACUUAGAAAAGCUCCCAAAAACUAAUGAAAUCCCAUGAAUGAAGAAGGAGAACAAAUGGAAGUGAAAAAUCAGUAAGAUGAUAAUUAAUAAACACCCUCUCUUAAUAACAUAACAUAGGAGUCUUUAAACUUAUAUUCUUCAAACAAUUAUAAGCUGUCUUCAACUUUACUGUUAAACUACAAUUAUAAAGAAUUAACAAUCUCACACACCAACAACAUUUAUAAGUCAUCACUCACAUGCAACAAGGUGUGCCUCAAUGUGAAAAAACCAAGAUCAAUAAGAAAUGAGGUUCCACUUAACCAAGCUGAGAAUUGUCUGGUUUUCCAGCUCCAUGCACAAACCUAAUACAAUGAUAUGAUAUUCAAUACCAAGAGGUACCUUGUCGUAAAACUGAGAAUAUGAGGUUGCAUAGGAUGGAGAAAAGUAAGAAGAGGAUUUACCAAUUACCCUUUCAAAUGCAGCUCCUCAAGAUUUCAUAAUCCCUUCACUGCAAAUGCAACCCAAAUAUGUUAAAGAAGUUAAUGAAACCGAAAUAUGAAGAGUUUCAAAAUAAAAAUUUAACAUGUUGAAACUUGUAAUUUAGAAGUAUUGACUAUAAGGCAGUUUAGAUCCUGACCAAUGAAAGACUAAUAAGCAGAAGAGGAAGAGACUAGUUGACUGGCUAGCUUUCGGCCUUCCACUUCCUAUCUUCCCUUGUUUCUCUUGAAGACUGUGCAACAUUGCUUCCACUGGAUUCUUCAAUCUCAACAGCACCACCAUAUUCAUCAUCUUUCUUUUUCGUAUAAAGAGGGCAUAUGCCGCAUUCUUUUAUUGUGAUAACUGAUUUCAACUCUCUCACAACUGAUUCGUAAUCUGGCCACCCAAAGUCAUAAUCACACGGACUGAUCUCAAAAGUGAAGCUGCGAGCAUCACAUAGCCUGAGGCUCAUGCCGCUCGCCCUUAGGGACUCCAAGUUAAAUUUCCACACGAAUGUGUGAUCUUUAUCAACACAUCUCUCUUCACCAUUCCAUUUGAAAUAGCUGUUUAACACAUCAUUAUUUGGAAUGAUCUGUGUGCCAUCAUCAUCAGAUUCAAAUGUUAGGCUGUAACUAAAAGAACCAUAUCUACCAUUCAUAGCAUACGUAUCUAACACUCCAAAAACCACACUCAAAGCGAAACCAGUGAGCCUAUCAUCGCUGCAGAAACUUAAAUCUUCAUUUAUAGUCACUGAAUGUCCCUUCCCACGAAAAUUGAACCAACCAGGAACUGCACUCCCUGGAAAACAGAAGAACACACACCUAUAUGCAUCGUCGGUCAUCCUAAGCCUUGCAUCCUCCUCAAUGUUAGCACGACCACCUGAAUCCAGUUGUUGAGCAUUGGUGAAAUGAAAUUUAAAUACACCCUCUUCGGAAUUUGAGAGGUUUCGAACAAGAGAAUUUGGCAUCACUCUUCUAAUGGAUGGGCAAUCCAAUGCCACGAGUUGUUUCAGAAAUGGUGGAAUCUGUGGGAUGCAUUCAAGCUUUUUGCAGUCGCUUAAAUCAAGCGAUUUCAAACUUGAAAGAUGAGCAAUGCUCCCAGGAAGGUUCACGAUUCCGCUAUUACGCAGUGAAAGUUUCAUUAAUGACGUCAAACGACCAAUGUGUCUAGGGAUUUCUGUUAAUUUGGGGCACCCCGAACAAUCAAGUUUAGAGAGAAGCUUCAGAUUAACAAUGCAGUUUGGAAGUGAGUCGAGAUCAGUGCAUUUGUGGAGCUCCAGGGAUCGAAGAUUAACCAAAUUGCCAAAUGAGGAAGGCAAUUCUUUAACAGCCGUAGAUGUUAAGUUAAUGUGAGCAAAAGUAUGAGCCGGCUCCGUGAUCUCUGGGAAGGACCUCAGCCUUGAGCAACCACCUAAAUCAAACUUCCUCAAUUUCAAAUUGAAAAUGGUGCUUGGAAAAGUUUGAAGUGAAUUACAGUGGGUAAGGUCUAACUUGCAUAGUCUGGUGAGGGUUCCAAUGGAAGAUGGAAUAAUCUGAAGAUUGAAGCAACUGCGCAAACUCAGUUGUUGAAGCCCUACCAAACGGCACAAGGAUGAAGGUAGUGCCUGUAUGGCUGUGUCGUCUAAGAUGAGCACCGCUAGAUCUUCCAACGUGUCCUGAAUCUGGGGUAAAUAUUCCAAUUUUGAGCAACCACGGAGAGAAAGUUGCUUUAGGAAUUUCAUAUCAGAAAGGUCAAACGGAAAGAUUGUAAGGGAAGAACAGUCAGAGAGAUCUAAGUAACAGAGGUUCUUGAGACUUUGAAAGUUCAAGGGCACACCUCCUCUGAGAUUUGCCGACACUUCAAAUUGUAAGUAUAGAGUAUUAUUAGCCACUUCUUCAUUAUAUCUGUCAAAAGUAAUUGAGAAAAUUUCACUGGAACUUCGGAAAAUAUGAACACCGGAUGCACAUUGCGCUUCAACUAUCAUAUUUCCACGUUUAUGCCGCAGUUUCAUAUGAGGGAAUCUGGGUUCACUGGUUGAAAACAUAUUAAGCUUCCGACAACAGGAAAGAAUAAUCAAUCCUGGUAAUGUGGAUAAAAUGUUGUUGGGAAUAUUUACACUAUUCAGAUCAUAACAAUGAUCUAAACAUAAACAACUGAGCUUGCUGAGGAAUAUCGAAGAGUGAACUUCAAUCAACUUUGAACAAUAACUCAGCUUUAUUUCUUCAAUAUUUGGUGACGUAGAAAGGUCUGGUAUUCUAGUAAGGUUCGAAGAAUGACUCAGGUUGAGCCUUUUCAACUUGGGUAAAUUCUGCCACAAAAUGUAAAUGAAUCAGGUAACACAAAAACUAAAUUAAAGUUUUAGGCAAUUUUAUCUAUUUUUCUUCGGUAAACAAUAGAUGACAAUGUCGAAAUACUUUAUAUUAUGCAUGUAUCAACUGACAAAAUAAAACGAUGUUUUCUGAGAGUUAAAAUUAAACCUUAUUUAAAAUAAGUCCAUCUUUCCAUAUUUUAUAAUUUGUUGUAUAUUAUAUUGAAGUUUAUGUUAUAAUAAAAAAAAUGACUUAAUUAAUCAAAUAAUGUGGAGAAGGCACAAAGGAAUUGCAAAUGAAAACUUGUAUAUGUAUAAUACAGAAAACAUGCUUGUAUAAUUUAUUUUUAUCUUUGAAAGUUUAGAACACAAAGGAACAUAGAUAGCUUGAAAAACCUGAUCUCCUUCCCAGAGUUGUUCAAGAUGGUUGCGUGGCAUUUCGAGAGUCACUAGAUUUUGUGGGCAAAACUUUGGAGGCCAAAAUCUUUGAGGGAAAUCGUCCCAAUAUAGAAUCUUUAGAGUGUCCGGCAGACCUACAAGAGAUGAUUCAGGAGACACUUUUGAUUCCAAUCCCAACGUGUAGAGCCUAAGCAUCCUAAGAUUGUCCAUCUUUUCGAAACUUUGUGCAUGUACUACAACUUCUUUUACUUUCCACGUACCCCAGGUAUUUAGUAAUAUACACUGUAUUGCAUCUGACCCCUGAAAGUAAAUCAAUGUAAUUAGAAAAAAGCAUGAAAUGUUGCAUUUCAGAAUGCUUAAUGACAGAUCAGUAGUUUGCUAUUUUUCACAAAGUAACAACAGAAUAUACCUUGUUCUUUCUUAAGACCUCACAAAUUUCCUCAUCAUUAAACAAUCGGCUGCGUUUUCCAGGAUGCUGAGGACACUCUUUAUGAACAAUUUCUUUACCCAUUUCUUGUAUUAGAUCGUGCAUCACAAUUCUACCAUCAAUGACAGAUAUUAGGCCCCUAUCUUUGAGAAUAUCCAUUCCAAUCUUAGAAGAGAAACCAAAGUCAUCAAGUCUUUCUGCUACCUCAAUCUCCUGGCGUCCUCUAUAAAAGCAAGCUAUGUCAAGAAAUAUAUUCUUCUCCUCCUCCUCCAGCCAAUCAUAACUUAAUUUUAAUACAUUGAAAAUACCAAGAUGUUGGCCCUUUUUCAACUUUUGCAACUGACUCUCCCAUGCUUCUUUUGUUCUGCCAUAAAGCAAUGAUCCCAAAAUCUGGAGAGCUAACGGAAUCCCUUUUGCAUAUGUCAACACCUUUUUUGACAGUUCCCUGUAACCAAUUUCUUCUGAAGAUUUUUGUUUAAAAGCAUGUAAACUAAAAAGCUUCUGAGAAUCAUUAAAAUUCAACUCCUUAACUUCGUAGAUAUCAUCAGCUCCAGCAUUCCUAAGCACUUGUCUGUCUCUACUGGUGAUAAUGAUUCUACUGCCCUGCCCAAAACUAUCACUCCCUCUUAUUAAUUUUUGAAGUUGAGCUGAAUCGGUAACAUCAUCAAGAAUGAGGAGAACCUUUGUCCGUUUGAGCUCAGACAGAUAUUUUGUUCUGAUACUGUCUAUUCCAUCUCUUUGUAUUUUUUCUUGAACGUCUAAAACAAGGCUCCUGGAAUCAAACUGCAAUUCCAAUUUGUGAUAUAUUUGAUCACAAAUUGUACUUUUUCCUAUUCCUCCCAUGCCACAAAUGCCUAUGAUCCGAACAUCCGGUAAGUCAAGAUGCAACAAGGACUGAAUUCCUUCAAUAUUUUUUUCAAUGCCGAUGAUUCCUUGAUCAUAACUGGUGGAAUAACGAUUCAAUUUUCUCAAAAUAUCUCCCACAAUUCCUUCAACAAGUGUGUGUUCUGACCUGGCAGAUGAUUUAGAAAAUAAAGUAUAAGUAUUCAAACACAAAAGCUAAAGUAAACUAAAGAAAAAUUCUACAGUAACCGUUUGUGACUUCUGAUAAUAGGGAGCAGAUUUGUAGGUACAAAGUUAAGCUAUAAGAUGUGAUAUGGUUCAGAUCCAUGACCGACUAAGAGAAAUGAAAAAAGAAACACUUGAUUUAUGGUGAGAUGAACACAAUUUUAGUAAAUGAAAAGAGAUCCUGAUUAUCUAAUAAAUAUAAUGACCUGGUGACUUUUGAAUCCCAGCCUGAAAGUCCAGCAGCUUCGGUGAGAGCAUCCUUCCAUCCUUGCACUUUGUCCAUGUCGUGCUUAAACUGCUGCUCAUGCUUUUCGAAUGCUUCUUUGUAUCUUUGUUCCUGCUUCCUAAUAGUUGAUGGAUCCACCUUGUAGAAAACAGGUAUGACAUCCCUUCCAUAUCUCUUCUUGCAAUCAAGUAUCUUAGUGAGUUCAUUCAAGCACCAAGUGGAAGAUGCAUAGUUUUGGGAGAAAACGACGAUAUAAAUCUUCGAUUCUUCUAUUGCAGAGAGCAGUGCAGAUGAAAUUUCUUCGCCCCGGGGUAGUGUCUCAUCAAUAUAUGCUUCUAUGUUCUUCCUUUGCAGUGCUGGAUGAAGGUGGCUAAUGAAGUUGUCACGUGUGUCUUCCCCUCUGAAGCUGAGAAACACAUCAUGCUUUGUUAGAGAAGCAGACAUGGCCAAUGAUGAAGAACUUGCUGACAUUGGAAUCAAUUUUCUCUCCUUUCUCUGCAACUCUCAGUGCCUUUGUUUGUACCAUUUCUACCACAUUAUAACCACAAAUCAACUUUUGGAUAAGCCUUUCAAUUUUCUCAAAAUAUCUUUUACAGCCAUGUGUUCUGGUGAGACAUCGUAGUCAGCAGAAACUAAAGAAAAAGAAAAAUAUGGAGUUAAUAGAAUAGUCAACAAUUUGCAAAAUAAUUAUGGAAUCUAAGUUUAUAUCAUUAUCACGCGUGGAAAGAUAUUUAUGUCUUCUAAUAUGCUUUUCUUUUCUCCAGUACUGUUAUAUAUAAAAUCUGAAAUUGAUUUUAAAUCUCAAAGAAACUUCUUGGUUCUUGCACCAUUUAUUAGAUUAAAAUAUUGAGUCAAUGGAAGACUCAACAAUUGGCACAAUAUUGUGGUGUCUAGCUUUAUACCAUCCUUAGGCAUUAGUGUGUGUAGUUUCUUCAAUAUCUUUUACUCGAUUUAUUUAUUUUUUAAUUUUUUUUCACACCUUUUACAUAUACAGAAUCGUAUUUAUUUAUUUCUUUAAUAUAUUUUAGAAAAUAACCAGUAAACAUAAAACUAGGUUAAUAUGACUAAAUGAAUAAAUAUAGUGUAUCUAAUACGUGUAACAAUAACAUGAAAAACAUUACUACUAAUAACAAUAUAUUAAUAUCAAUAUGUUUCUUAAUAAAUUUUACGCCCACUGUCUAUUUAUAAAUUAAUAUAUUAUAAAUAUCUAAUGAUGUUUUUGUGGGUAGCUUAUUUCUCUAACAUUUUAAAUUAAAUUUUUAGAUUUUACAAAACAUUACCUUUUGAUUUUAAUAUUUAUAAAAUAUUUUUUAAUUUCAUAUUUAAAACACAACACUUAGUUGAGUGUGUUCCUUAGUUACUUACCACUCAUCACAGCCGCCAAAUAACAACCCUACCAACGCCACCACCGUCAUGGCUUCACUCUCCGUUUCGCGCCACAGCCACCUCUUAUCGGGCUUCCUUCCGGCCCGGCCCAAGCCCACCUCGGGGCCCACCAGGGUCCGAAUGUCCCUCCGCGAUGACGGCCCCGCCAUCGCCGUCGUCGGCGUCACCGGCGCCGUUGGCCAGGAGUUCCUCUCCGUCCUCUCCGACCGCGACUUCCCCUACCGUUCCAUCAAAAUGCUGGCCUCGCAGCGCUCCGCCGGCCGCCGCAUCGUCUUCGAGGACAUGGACUACGUCGUGGAGGAGCUCACGGCGGAUAGCUUCGACGGCGUCGACAUCGCGCUCUUCAGCGCCGGCGGCUCCAUCAGCAAGAAGUUCGGCCCCGCCGCGGUGGAUCGGGGUACGGUGGUGGUAGACAAUAGCUCCGCGUUUCGGAUGGACGAGAAGGUGCCGCUGGUUAUUCCCGAAGUGAACCCCGAAGCGAUGCAACACAUCAAAGCCGGAACGGGAAAAGGCGCUCUCAUUGCGAACCCUAAUUGCUCCACCAUUAUUUGCUUGAUGGCCGCUACCCCUCUUCAUCGACGAGCUAAGGUCAAUUUUGCCUUUUCAAUCUACUCUUAUAUUAUAAAUUAGAAUAUUCUUCAGUUUCAAUAAUUUUUUGAAAUGAUAUUGUUGGUGGUUAAAAGUGAUCUUUUGAUUAAAAUUAUUUAUUUAUUAUGAAUUUUGAACAUGUGUUAUUGAUUUUGAAAGAAUACCAGUUUAUAUAAAAUGCAGAUUUAUAUGUUUUGUAAUCGUGUGCUUUGUCUUGUGAUGCUUCUCUGCUUGAAUACUACAGGUGUUACGAAUGGUUGUGAGUACCUAUCAGGCUGCGAGUGGUGCUGGUGCUGCUGCAAUGGAAGAGCUCGAGCUGCAAACUCGUGAGGUUUGGAUUAAGCUUUGUCUGUAUAGUUUGUUAGCUUGGUUUGAACUCUACCUCUGGGAUUGUGUGAAGGAGAAAGUGGUUUUUUUUAGGGUCUCUAAUCGUGAUUUUCUUUUGGCCUUUUUGACUGAAAGGUGUUGGAAGGAAAACCACCCACUUGUAAAAUAUUUAAUCGACAGGUUAGCACAAUUCUGAUAUGCAUUUCUUGUGAUUGAUGCUUUCAGAAUUACUUCCUGAAGGUGUUGUUGUUUUGCAGUAUGCUUUUAACAUAUUCUCGCAUAAUGCACCUGUUCUUUCAAAUGGAUAUAACGAAGAAGAAAUGAAAAUGGUUAAGGAGACAAGGAAAAUAUGGGUAAGCUGAAAUUGAAUCUUUUUAAAUUGUUUGUUGAUUUUUAUUUCACAUUAUGUAAUACUUCCUUAUAUUUUUCUUACACUUUUGCAGAAUGACAAGGAUGUUAAAGUAACUGCCACAUGCAUACGAGUUCCUGUCAUGCGGGCUCAUGCUGAGAGUGUGAAUCUUCAAUUUGAAAAUCCACUUGAUGAGGUACUUCGUGUUGCUAUGCUGUGUCGUUAUUAAAUAUAUCGGAUUAAAGCUCUAUAAUCCCUCUACCCCCACCACCUCAAAAAUUUAGUGGAAUGAAAUUUGCAUUCUUUGUUGUUUAAUUUGCUGGAUUUGAAUUGAUAUGGCAUUACAUGCACAUUAAGCAAUCCACUAAGGUCGGCUUAGUGGUGGGAGGUUCUAAUAGUUUGCAUGGGGUGUUGUUUCAAACCUCAUUGGUGCCUUUUGCAUGUAAAAGUUCUUGCAUAUUAUUAUUUCAUUUAAUAAUUUUUAGCUAAAAUCUUUUAUAUACUUCAUUGAAGUUUUGCACACCAAUGAGUAGCAAUAUUCUGUUCCCCUCUUUUAUUGAAUUUAGUUGCCUGUACAAUUGACCUAGGAUAGGACGCUAAGAUCAGGCUUCAGAACUAGCCCACAGUUGACAUGACUUAAGUUAAUUUUUCAGAUAUCAAAGUGAUUAGCAUUUUGAAACCUGAAUUGUAUGUUAAUAUAUUGGGGAUUGCUAGAAUUAGUUUUAUAAUUAUAACAUUAUUGACUUUUUUAUAAUAUAAAAAAUGAUUCAGGAGGGCUAAAAUUUUAUCUCUAUUAAAUAUAGGAUUAUCAUUUGUCAAUAUCACAUAUGUAUAGGAUAAUAUAAGCAAAGCCAGGAUUAAAUAGAAGAUAGGAAAGUGUAUAGCCCAACUUCCUAUAAAGCUCUCAUGUUAUUGGUCGUCUUGAAGCAUCUAAUUUUGUUUGUCUUUUGGUUUGCAAUUGAUAGAUUACAAACUGCAUGUGGGCUUUCUGAUGCUGGAUAAAGAAAAAUAUCAUGCUAAGCAUUAUUAUGAUCUUACAGCAAAAGUCAUUUACUAGAGAUGAUCAUUCUUUUUGUAGUCAUUAGCGUGACUUCAAUGUGUUGGCUUUUGCAUUUUGUAUAUCUGGAGGAUCUUUGUUUCUGUUUUUUCACAGCUAUAUAAUAUUCAGUGUUGGAACAUGCAAGGUCUUGUCUUUCUUAGCAUGCCCAAAAUCAUGGUUAUAUUGGGAACAAAUUGAAAUGCACUUUGAAUUGAGUGAGAAAACUUCUCCAAAAGUCAAUCUUUCAUGCAUGAGUUCAUUUGUUUUUUAAUUUCUUCAGAACACUGCAAGAGAUAUCCUGAAGAAUGCUCCAGGUGUGGUGGUUAUUGAUGAUCGUGAGGCCAAUAGUUUUCCUACUCCAUUGGAAGUGUCAAAUAAGGAUGAUGUUGCUGUUGGUAGGAUUCGGCAGGACCUGUCUCAGGAUGGGAAUCAAGGGUAAAUAUCUUGCAUGGAAAUGAUCAAAUUUCAAUUGGCACUGUUAUUUGUCAGUAGCAUUUUACAUAAAUGGUGCAUAUACUCGCAGGUUGGACAUAUUUAUAUGUGGGGAUCAAAUUCGCAAGGGAGCUGCACUUAACGCAAUCCAGAUUGCUGAGAUGUUGCUUUGACUUCUACUUUGUCAAACAGUUUUGUAUCUGCUAGUUUUAUGAGCUUAUUAAUUUCUUUUUCGAGAUUUAACUAGUCCAAGGAUAUUUCAACAAUGUAGCUGGAAACAAAUUUCUUAAGGUCUUCGUGCGUAAUUUAUGUAAUCCUUUUCAGGCAACAAGCAUGGGUUAUGACAAUCAUCUAAUGUUUGAUCUUUUGAAUAAAGAAUUUGAUGACCAGUUUUAUUUAGUGUUACUUUAUUUCUCACUUGUAAAGACACCACCUGCCACCUAAUCAAAAUAUCCAAAUCCAAAACUAUAAUUUCUAUUUAGUUAGCUAAUUUAGGUACUCCUUUAAGUAAAUCAUUUUUUUAAGGAUGCUCUAUUUUUAAGAAAUUGCUAUUAAGAAGUUGAAAGCUACAGUGCUGUAUCUUGCUUUGGUAAGAUAGACGCACUAAGUUAAAAAAAAAUAACAAUAAUAAAAUUAGUUAUCAUAUGUCAAGUUAAUAAGUAUUUUAAUAUAAUUUUUUGAAAUUUAUUUCAAAAAUUAUUUUUAGUUUAUGGAGAAAAUAAUUUUAUUUUAAUUUGUUGUGAAAGUGCGGUAAUAAAUUAAGCAGUUUGAUACUAAUUGAAUUUUAAACCAUAAUAUAGAAUAUAAUAAAAAAAUGUUUAAAUUUCUCACUAAUUAGAAAGUUAAAAAAAAUCAAGAAUAAGAAUAUAUAAAAAAUUCUGCACUCAAUAAUUUCAACUUCUUUUAUUUUUUUUCAACUCACUUAACACUAAAAUAAAUUAAACAUUUUCAAUAAUGAAAUAAGAAUAAAUAACAUUAAAAGUUUUGACAAACACAGUUAUUUUGAUAACAUGAUGCAAUGGUAAAAAAGGAACAUUUUUUAUACAAGAAUAAUUUAUGAUUGCGCAUAAUUCUAAUAAAUUGAUCCCUUGAGAAAAACAAAAUACAACCCUUGAGCAUAAUUACUACUCCACGCAAUAAGUUUUAAGAUGGAAAAAAAAUUAUACUGUAAUCUUGAUAGUGAAAAUCGUAUUAAAUAUUUUAAAUUUUCUCUAAUAAUAAAUAAAAUAUAACAUUUUCUAUAGUAAGAAAUUCUAAAAGAAAACAUACUGGGAUGAUAUCAUUCGAUCAUCAAUAAAGUAGUGAAGCAAGGUGCUGAUUAGGAGAAAAGAAGGAAAAGAAAAAGAACUAUACAUUUUAAAAUGAUUCCAUACAAACCAUUAGAUGUACAUGUUAACAGGUACAUAAUAGAUCCGGAAAUUGGUAAUUGUUGGGGCGUCCUCAUCAAACUACCGACUACAUCCUCCGCCAAUGUCUAAACAAAUAAAUUUCAAAGGCCAGCAGAAUAUAAAUAUAUAAGGUUGUCAGGAAUUUCAAAAUAUGAGAAAAGGCAAAUACUACAUAGCCAUUUCCUUCUACAAGAUGAUUGCAAAAUCUCAUUUGGGGUUCCUAAGAACAAUGAUGACAGAAUCUCCACGUAGGAACAUUUUGCUGAUGAAUCUAUCCUUGUUCACUGGCUGUGCCUUUUUCUUUCCUUUACCAGUCUUGGGCACCUGAUUGCAAGCACAGAUCAUUAGCCGGUGUAACAAAUGCAAGGGCUGUUCAUUUAAAAGAAAAACCAUACCUCAGUCCACAUCUCCCUAACAUUUUCAAGAACCAUGUUGCAAUGUCUAUCAAAUGCUCUUACACGACCCAGAAGCUUUUUGUUGUUCCGACAAUUUAUCAAUACCUAAGUAAAGGUGGGUUAGAAAGAAUAUACCUCUAGGGCUGCCUCAGAAAAUAGCACAUAAUAUUUAAAAUUGACAUAUACCUGGGUAUUACUUUUAACACUCAUCAUUAGUACAGAUAGUGGUCCAGUGUUGAAUUCCUCUUCCUCAUUCUUAACCGCAGUCUGUAAAAGAAGGUAUCUUAGCUUGGCAAAAAGAUAGUAACACAUAGCUAGUCUAGAGCCCCUAGAAACAAUUAAUAAAAACAAUAAAAGAUACAUAAUGAAAGCCAAUUUCAUACAAUAAUGAGAAGAAACGUGCACUAAUUUUAUUACAGAAGACAUUGUUUGAUCCAUGUUUACAAGGAAUAAAUAGCAAGCAAAAGAUGCCUAUUAAAUUUAAAGCUUCAAAAUGUAGUAGAUUAGCAUUUUACUAAUCGGCAACAAGACAUCCAACUUAUCAAACAAAUUUGACGUUAUCAUGACAUAAUAGAGAUUCAAUUUCCAUGAACAGAUAAUUAGUCAAAUAAAUAAAACCAAAGAAAAACAUUUCCCAGAACAGAAAUAUAGAGAACAUAACAGCUUUAAAGUUCAAGCUUCAUACAAGCAUAUAGCCAAACAUGCAUGACAGUUAAAAGGACUUACAUCUUCCUCCAUUGGCCGGCUUCAGAAGAGAUAAAAAAGGAAAAGAAAACAAAAAUUGUUAGUAAUUGAGAAAAAAUGUGAAAAAAUCAUAGUAAUAAUAAUGAUGCCAUUAUAAUUCACCAGUACCUCAUUUUGGAAGGAAUGGCAGAUCAGAAGCUCUUCAAUGAAGUCAAAACUGAAACAAGAGAAAAAUAGAUAAAUCAAAUGAUAAAUUAAAACUGAAACGAAUAAAACAGUAACAUAAACCUGAAAUAGAAGCAGAGAAUAAGAAAUACUGUAACGGAAUAACAAUAAAAAAGAUUAGCAAGCCUCUUCAGUUCAGGUCUCCAUUUACUUUCCUCAUGGACAACUCAGAAAGUAUAUUUUAUGAUCAUCAUCAGAGACUAAUUUGAUUAAUUUCAACAAUCAAACCAGGGAUAGACUUCAUAAGUAAAAAGUGCAAUUAUACAUGAAGUGAGCAAACAAAAAAGUAUUCCCUACAACAUAAUUGAAACAAACAAUUAUUGAGAAUAAAUAUUAGAAAACAAACAUUAGAAAGCCUCUUCAGUUCAGGUCUCCAUAUAUUUUCCGCAUAGAAAACUCAGAAGAACGAAAGUAAUAUUUUUCAUCAUCCCCAGAGGCAAUUUUUCAUGAAGGGAACAAACAAAAAUAUAUACUCUACAACAUAAUUGAAAAGUAUGAAUAUUGAGAACUUAUAUUAGAAGACAAACUUUAGAAAGCCUGAGGUCUCCACGUAUUUUCCACAUAAAAAAAAUUAGAAGAACGAAUAUUGAGAACAUAUAUUAGAAAACAAACAUUAGAAAGCCUCUUCAGUUCAGGUCUCCAUAUAUUUUCCGCAUAGAAAACUAGGAAGAACGAAAGUAAUAUUUUUCAUCAUCCUCAGAGGCAGUUUUACGCAAAGUGAGCAAACAAAAAUAUAUUCUCUACAACAUAAUUGAAAAGUACGAAUAUGUUGAACCUAUAUUAGAAGACAACCUUAAGAAAGCCUCUUCAGUUCAAGACUCCAUAUAUUUUCCACAUUAAAAAUUCAGAAGAACGAAUAUUGAGAACAUAUAUUAGAAAACAAACAUUAGAACGCCUCUUCAGUUCAGGUCUCCAUAUAUUUUCCGCAUAGAAAACUCAGAAGAACGAAAGUAAUAUUUUUCAUCAUCCCCAGAGGCAAUUUUAAACGAAGGGAGCAAACAAAAAUAUAGUCUCUACAACAUAAUUGAAAAGCAUGAAUAUUGAGAGCUUAUAUUAGAAGACAUAAAAAUUUCAGAAGAAUGAAAGUUAUAUUUCUCAUCAUCCUAAAAAGGCUAAUUGAUUGUUUUCAAAAUAUGGGACAAACGACUCAAAAAAUCCAGGAAAUGGAAUGGAUAUACAAGAAAAUUGACGGUUCAUAAAGGAACUUGGGAGCAAAACAGUAUGUCCUAUGUUACCUAGUUUAACUAAAAACAAUUGAACAAUGUGCACAAAGGACAGUUCACCCUCAAAGGAUCUGAUAGGGAAUAUCAAAACAAACUUUAGAAAGCCUCUUCAGUUCAGGUCUCCAUACAUUUUCCUCAUAGAAAAGUCAGUAGAACGAAAGUUAUACUUUUCAUCAUCCUCAGAGGCCAAUUACAUUAUUUCAACAUUCAAUGCACAAACAUUAGAUUUUUCAAAAGCCUAAGAAGCUAGAUAAAUGUCUCAAAACCCUAAAAUCUCAGGCUGCCGAAUUAGAAGAAGCUGAAGGAGCAAAGUUUUUAUAGUGUGAAAUCGAAUGCAAAGCAAAUAGAAAUAACAAAACACUAACGGUUAGAAAAAACGAUAAUCUCAGCUGAAUAAGACCAUCAACAAAGAAAAAAGCAUAUCCAGAAUCAUUUUCAAAAUUACACAUAGUAUAACGAAUUCAGACACAGAAGCACGAAUCUAAAAGAAACCACGAAGGGAUGCAAAAGCAUCAUACCUUGAUUCAAAGGACGAAGAAGAUCUGAAUGUGAAAAUGAAGACUGAAGGAGCAGACUCAGUUGUUUUUUAUACUGAAAACCCUAAUUUUAUUCCCUCGAAUUUUUUGGAGGUUUAAGUUCAAAACCAAACAUAGUUGGACAGGCCCAUGUUCUUUUGGCCCGGCCCGCUCUAACUGGAUAAGUGUUUUAGACUAUUACUAUUUACACUUUAUUUUAUACUAAAGCACCCUCCCUUUUUUGUUUUGUGUUGAGAAACAUGGCAACUCUUUCGGAAGCUAAACGACGCCGUUCCCACCACACUCAACGUGUGAUUUAGUAUAUAGAUAGAAAAACCAUGUUAUUAUUUUAUCACACCGAAUUUUCCAUAUUCAACUAAAAUGUUUUUCAAAUCCAAUAUAUAUAUAUAUUAAAGAAAGAGUGUUAUAAAGUCAAAGUAUACAAAUAUAUUUUAACUACUUUUUGAAUUCCAAGAUUAUUCCAAAAGGGCUUUUAACAAUGACUUCUUAACAAAUUUAUUGACAUUUCUUCCUAGGGUUAGUUUCAAGGAUUUUGCAUAUUGCUUUUACUUACAAAAUAAACCAUACUUAAUUAUUUCACAAACCAUAAUUAUUCAAUUAAUUAAAACACAAAUUUUACAUAACUUCAUAUUACAUUAGAAGAUACAUUAAUGGCACAAAUACUUAUUUCAUAUUUUUUUUCUUCUUAUCUUAGUUCUAUUAUUGCUUUCAAAAUACUUAUUUCUAUUAUAUUUCAAAUAUUUCUUAUACAUUGAAUUAUUCUGUAAAUUUAAAAUAUUGUCUUAGAGAUCACGUGUAUUUUUAAAUGAAGAAAUAUAAAAUAGAAAAAAUAGAAUUAUAAUUUCAAAUAUGUAUAUUAGUAACAUAAUAAUGACUGAGAUUCGGCAUUGGUUUAUUGAUCUCGACAUAGUUGGUGUGCAUAGCUAAGUUUCAUGAUUUUGGUUUUUUGACUCGAUUUUGUGACUUGGUGGUGAUUUUGGUGAAAAACGAAAAUCAUGAUUUUGGAAAAGUGGCUGAACUCAAUCAUCAGAGAUGCCUUUUAAUUUAAAUUAAUAUAUAUAUAUAUAUAUAUAUUAUUUAAUACAUGUUUUUAAUAUAAUUAUAUUAACAUAAAUUCGUGUUCAUUAUUAUAUGAAAGGAAACUAAAUUUUACUGCAUCUAACAAAAAUCUCGUUGUUAGGAUUUUUAUCUAAAAGAAUUAACUCGAAUGAGUCAUGAAGAAUCUUAUAUAAANNNNNNNNNNNNNNNNNNNNNNNNNNNNNNNNNNNNNNNNNNNNNNNNNNNNNNNNNNNNNNNNNNNNNNNNNNNNNNNNNNNNNNNNNNNNNNNNNNNNNNNNNNNNNNNNNNNNNNNNNNNNNNNNNNNNNNNNNNNNNNNNNNNNNNNNNNNNNNNNNNNNNNNNNNNNNNNNNNNNNNNNNNNNNNNNNNNNNNNNNNNNNNNNNNNNNNNNNNNNNNNNNNNNNNNNNNNNNNNNNNNNNNNNNNNNNNNNNNNNNNNNNNNNNNNNNNNNNNNNNNNNNNNNNNNNNNNNNNNNNNNNNNNNNNNNNNNNNNNNNNNNNNNNNNNNNNNNNNNNNNNNNNNNNNNNNNNNNNNNNNNNNNNNNNNNNNNNNNNNNNNNNNNNNNNNNNNNNNNNNNNNNNNNNNNNNNNNNNNNNNNNNNNNNNNNNNNNNNNNNNNNNNNNNNNNNNNNNNNNNNNNNNNNNNNNNNNNNNNNNNNNNNNNNNNNNNNNNNNNNNNNNNNNNNNNNNNNNNNNNNNNNNNNNNNNNNNNNNNNNNNNNNNNNNNNNNNNNNNNNNNNNNNNNNNNNNNNNNNNNNNNNNNNNNNNNNNNNNNNNNNNNNNNNNNNNNNNNNNNNNNNNNNNNNNNNNNNNNNNNNNNNNNNNNNNNNNNNNNNNNNNNNNNNNNNNNNNNNNNNNNNNNNNNNNNNNNNNNNNNNNNNNNNNNNNNNNNNNNNNNNNNNNNNNNNNNNNNNNNNNNNNNNNNNNNNNNNNNNNNNNNNNNNNNNNNNNNNNNNNNNNNNNNNNNNNNNNNNNNNNNNNNNNNNNNNNNNNNNNNNNNNNNNNNNNNNNNNNNNNNNNNNNNNNNNNNNNNNNNNNNNNNNNNNNNNNNNNNNNNNNNNNNNNNNNNNNNNNNNNNNNNNNNNNNNNNNNNNNNNNNNNNNNNNNNNNNNNNNNNNNNNNNNNNNNNNNNNNNNNNNNNNNNNNNNNNNNNNNNNNNNNNNNNNNNNNNNNNNNNNNNNNNNNNNNNNNNNNNNNNNNNNNNNNNNNNNNNNNNNNNNNNNNNNNNNNNNNNNNNNNNNNNNNNNNNNNNNNNNNNNNNNNNNNNNNNNNNNNNNNNNNNNNNNNNNNNNNNNNNNNNNNNNNNNNNNNNNNNNNNNNNNNNNNNNNNNNNNNNNNNNNNNNNNNNNNNNNNNNNNNNNNNNNNNNNNNNNNNNNNNNNNNNNNNNNNNNNNNNNNNNNNNNNNNNNNNNNNNNNNNNNNNNNNNNNNNNNNNNNNNNNNNNNNNNNNNNNNNNNNNNNNNNNNNNNNNNNNNNNNNNNNNNNNNNNNNNNNNNNNNNNNNNNNNNNNNNNNNNNNNNNNNNNNNNNNNNNNNNNNNNNNNNNNNNNNNNNNNNNNNNNNNNNNNNNNNNNNNNNNNNNNNNNNNNNNNNNNNNNNNNNNNNNNNNNNNNNNNNNNNNNNNNNNNNNNNNNNNNNNNNNNNNNNNNNNNNNNNNNNNNNNNNNNNNNNNNNNNNNNNNNNNNNNNNNNNNNNNNNNNNNNNNNNNNNNNNNNNNNNNNNNNNNNNNNNNNNNNNNNNNNNNNNNNNNNNNNNNNNNNNNNNNNNNNNNNNNNNNNNNNNNNNNNNNNNNNNNNNNNNNNNNNNNNNNNNNNNNNNNNNNNNNNNNNNNNNNNNNNNNNNNNNNNNNNNNNNNNNNNNNNNNNNNNNNNNNNNNNNNNNNNNNNNNNNNNNNNNNNNNNNNNNNNNNNNNNNNNNNNNNNNNNNNNNNNNNNNNNNNNNNNNNNNNNNNNNNNNNNNNNNNNNNNNNNNNNNNNNNNNNNNNNNNNNNNNNNNNNNNNNNNNNNNNNNNNNNNNNNNNNNNNNNNNNNNNNNNNNNNNNNNNNNNNNNNNNNNNNNNNNNNNNNNNNNNNNNNNNNNNNNNNNNNNNNNNNNNNNNNNNNNNNNNNNNNNNNNNNNNNNNNNNNNNNNNNNNNNNNNNNNNNNNNNNNNNNNNNNNNNNNNNNNNNNNNNNNNNNNNNNNNNNNNNNNNNNNNNNNNNNNNNNNNNNNNNNNNNNNNNNNNNNNNNNNNNNNNNNNNNNNNNNNNNNNNNNNNNNNNNNNNNNNNNNNNNNNNNNNNNNNNNNNNNNNNNNNNNNNNNNNNNNNNNNNNNNNNNNNNNNNNNNNNNNNNNNNNNNNNNNNNNNNNNNNNNNNNNNNNNNNNNNNNNNNNNNNNNNNNNNNNNNNNNNNNNNNNNNNNNNNNNNNNNNNNNNNNNNNNNNNNNNNNNNNNNNNNNNNNNNNNNNNNNNNNNNNNNNNNNNNNNNNNNNNNNNNNNNNNNNNNNNNNNNNNNNNNNNNNNNNNNNNNNNNNNNNNNNNNNNNNNNNNNNNNNNNNNNNNNNNNNNNNNNNNNNNNNNNNNNNNNNNNNNNNNNNNNNNNNNNNNNNNNNNNNNNNNNNNNNNNNNNNNNNNNNNNNNNNNNNNNNNNNNNNNNNNNNNNNNNNNNNNNNNNNNNNNNNNNNNNNNNNNNNNNNNNNNNNNNNNNNNNNNNNNNNNNNNNNNNNNNNNNNNNNNNNNNNNNNNNNNNNNNNNNNNNNNNNNNNNNNNNNNNNNNNNNNNNNNNNNNNNNNNNNNNNNNNNNNNNNNNNNNNNNNNNNNNNNNNNNNNNNNNNNNNNNNNNNNNNNNNNNNNNNNNNNNNNNNNNNNNNNNNNNNNNNNNNNNNNNNNNNNNNNNNNNNNNNNNNNNNNNNNNNNNNNNNNNNNNNNNNNNNNNNNNNNNNNNNNNNNNNNNNNNNNNNNNNNNNNNNNNNNNNNNNNNNNNNNNNNNNNNNNNNNNNNNNNNNNNNNNNNNNNNNNNNNNNNNNNNNNNNNNNNNNNNNNNNNNNNNNNNNNNNNNNNNNNNNNNNNNNNNNNNNNNNNNNNNNNNNNNNNNNNNNNNNNNNNNNNNNNNNNNNNNNNNNNNNNNNNNNNNNNNNNNNNNNNNNNNNNNNNNNNNNNNNNNNNNNNNNNNNNNNNNNNNNNNNNNNNNNNNNNNNNNNNNNNNNNNNNNNNNNNNNNNNNNNNNNNNNNNNNNNNNNNNNNNNNNNNNNNNUUAUGGAUUUGUAUUUUUUAUUUAAAUUUAUGAAAUUAAAAUUAUUUAAAAGAUAUCAUUUUUUAUUUAAAUUUACAUUUUAUGGUACAAUUUCUUUGAAUUAUGAGAUUUUAUUUGAAUUCUAUUCAAUAUUAUUUUUUAUAUUUAAGUUUAUAUUUUAAAAGGUAUUUUUCAAAUAUUUUUUUAAAUAAAAGAGUAUUAAUACUCGUGAGUAUAAGAUAAUUCAAAGUGUUUUCCAAGGGAGUAGUUUUAACAAACAAAGAAACAAACUUUUUUUUAUCUUUUAUCUGCUGCCACCGAUUAUCAUUCUUACUUAUAUUCAACUCAACAAAUAUAAAAUAAAAACAUUUUAUAUUAAAUAUUAAUUCACGUUAAGGAAAACAGAUAUGAAAAUCCACACAUCCUAUUAAAUAUUUGAUAGUAAUUUAGCAAAAUAAUUAGAAUUAAGCCAAUAGAUUAACUUUGAAUAUUAAACACUACAAUGAAAAUAAAAAAAUAAAAAAAUUGAAUUAUUUUUUUAUAAGUCAAAAUUAGUUAAACAUAAAUUAAUUUAUACAAAAUAUUUUAUAUGAUUUAUUUAAACUCGUAUUUUUAAUUUAUGCUAAGUUAAAUUUAAUUUAAGAAGAACUUUUUUUUUUUUACUUUUAUCCGAUCUAAAUGUUUGUGGAGAUAUCAGACUAGCUUAUUAUCUUAGCUUAAUUGUUUGUAUUAAAAUUAAAUUUCCACUGUAUAAUUAUAUUAAAUAUAAAAGAAAGUAAUUAUUGUUUGUUAUAAUUCUAUAUAAUUAAAACAAAAUUGUGUCAAACGAAAAAUACUUCGAGUAUGAUGUAAUAUAAAAUUAGUUUAAAUAUAUUUUUAGUUUCCAUAAAAGCAACAUAUUUUAAUUUGGUUUCUCUAUAUAUUUAUUUUAAAUUAACGACUUCAGUUCUUAUGAAAUUAGAAAUAUUUUAUUUGGUUAAGGUAAAAUAUGUUUCUUGAUUUCAAUUUCUCUAUAAUAUAAAAUUACUAAUUCUGGUUCCUGAAAUUCAUUUAUGGUAAAUAAGUAAUAUUCAUUUUCGAAAUUUUUCAAAUUUCUUGUGAAAUCAAAUAUUGAUACUGUACAUCACACAAAUAAAAGUGAUCUUAGAUAAACAUUUAGAAUUUUCACUAAUCAUAUACAUUACGAAUAAAAUAACAAAAUAUCAAUAUUAAUUAAGUUACAGAAAUUAAAGUAAAAAUUAAUAAAUUAGUUACUGUAUGUGAAUAUGACAUAAAAAUAUAAUAGUUUUUUCCCUAACGAAAUUGACAUUAGAUAUAUAUUAAAGUGGUAGAAAGAGUGAGAUUUUGAUGAGUAAGAUGGCAACGAAGGACAAGAGUUUGACCGUUGAAAUGAUGAUUAUGUGGAAACUUUAUAUAUACCUAAACAUUAUUUUUAUAAUAUACAUUAUGUAUAAUAUAUAAUAUAUAUCUGUAUAUAUAUUUAUUGACUUUCAUAUUGAUACGACAUAGAUAAAAAUAUUUACAAUUUUUAAAAUAUAGGACAUGAAAUAUAAAAAUUUAUAUAUAAAUAUAUUUUAAUUUUUUUAGUAAAAAAUGUUUUUUAUAAUUAGAUCAAAAGAAUUUUUUAUUUAUUUUUAUAAUUAAAAUAAAAAUUAAUACAAUAAAUUUGAAUUUCUAAAAAAUUAAUAUAUUUUUAUUUUUAAAAUUGUGUUAGAAUCAUGAAAAAUGAAAAAUUUAAUAAAUAUAUAUUUUUUAAAUUAAAUAAUUCAUUGAUACGUAUUUUAUAAAUAUCAUAUAAAUAUUGAUAUUCAUAUCCGAUAGAAUGUGAAUAUCGGAUACACGUAUAUAAAUACGUUAUUUAAAAAAAGUGUGAAAGAUUGCAAUUUACACAUCAAAGACCAAAAUUAAUAAAUAAAUAAAUUUCGGUUCCAAAACAGUGUUGAUGUUCUGACAAUUGAAGGUGAAAACUCGCUUCCCGUGAAGGCUUUAAUCAGUUCGAACAACCACUUACGGAUAAUAUCACAGAGCGAGAAACAAUAAUUAAAAUAUCGUGUUCAGUGGGCCACCACAUAAUUAUAUUUGAAAAUUUUAAAUAAAAUAAUUGUGAAAAUAAAUAAAUAAGGAAUUUAGGGAUUCCGAGAAUUUCGGUUAAAUUGGCGGGAAAUGGGUGGGGGGCAGCUAGCGACUUUUUUGGGGUUUCCACUCUUUUCUACUCUGUGGGCCCCACGUCACAUUCACUCUGAGUAAUUUCUGACCGCCCGAUCACAUUCCAAUCCAACGGCACCACCGCGCUCACUUCCCGCCGAUCGUACGGAAACAGUUCUUUGCAGGAAAUAAAGAUAAACCAUUUGGCUUCAAUUUUCCCUUUUAAUUUAAUUUAAUUUAAAUUUUUAAUUUUUUUAAUUGAAUUAUCUCACUUUUUGAAAUUAUAAAAGCCACAAUACCCUUUUUCCUUUUUAUUUCAAUCCCUUCAUAUUCACAGUGAGAGAAAGAGUUCACAUUCUUCACUUUGCUCACAAGCCGCAACUGCUACAGUGUACUCAAUCUCAAGCCGAAGAGAUGGUAAGAAUCAUCAAUUCUGUGUCUUUGGACUCUGAUUGUUGUGGGUUUUCGUAAAGUUUUGAUUUUUCUCUUUGAUUCCUUGUGAUUUGUUUGCAAUCAGUCUUGUGAUCAUUGAAGCCAGCUAAUUUUCCUUGCAUUUUGGAUGAGUAUGAUUCUUGCUGUUUCCUUUUAGUAUAACUCACUUUGAUCAUUUGCUUAAUCUUCCUAUCAUAAAUUUGGUGUCAGUCUGCAUCAAGUUUGCAAAUUGUGUCUUUUGAUUAGGUUAGUUUGUUGUUGCAUCUUGAAUAUUGUCGUUUGAGUGCCAUUUUCCUGUGGUGGGGUUGGAUUUCUUGGAGAGUGAUAUGCUGCAAAGUUGUUGAGGAAAGGUUACCAUUUUGAUCCUUGAUUGUUGAACUGUCUUUUGCUUUUGAAUUGAAGGGUUCUUGAAUUCCUUUUGCAAUGGAUUUUUUUCAGGGGGGCGAGAAUCUUUCACCCAAGGAAAAGAGUAGAGAUUGGGUUGGAGUUCUUAUGAACAGCAGCUUUGGUUAUUGUGAUUACCACCAUGAUCUUCGAUCUAAUGAGAAGAAUGUCUUCUGCGUAGACUGUGCUCUUAGGAUGUGUAGACACUGUAAGGAAGCUCAUUCCCUACAUAGAAGGUUUCAGAUUUACAAAUAUUCCUAUCAGGAUGUCUUCCGUCAUGCCGAACUGCAGAAGUAUUUUGAUUGCUCAAAAAUUCAGGUCCUCGCCUCUUUGUUACAAGAUAGUAAUGAAUUCAUUGAGGGUUGAUUAAAUGAUUGAUUUUCUGCCGACUUUGUUAAUUUUUCCUAUAUUGUGCUUGACUUGUUUGCCUUGCAUAGGAAAACACAAUCUUUAAUGAUCUGAUGAAAGUUAUAUGCAGAUUUUAUUUUUUCAAAUGAUGUAGCUGUUCUUUAGUGGAUGUUAGCAUUAAUGAAGUGAGAACUAGUUUGAUUUACAAUGACUUAGUUCUCCAUAUGGGUUAAUCAAUGAAUGAAGUAGUCUAUAAUUGAUUUUUAACCAAUGAAGGAAGUAUUCUAUCAUUGAUUUCGGGUCCUGAAAUCCUCUAUCAGCUUUGUCCAAUGCUAUCAUUGAUUUUAUAAUGAUGACUGCACUUUUUUUAUUGAACUUUGUUGAAGAUAUCUAAUCAUCAUCGCUUAUGUGUAUAUCUGACUCCUUGAAUCUAAUUAUCCUCUUUAAUAGUAAAUCUCCAAGCAUUGUUUUCUCAUCUGAAAACUUAUUAAUGAAUGUAAUUUUCUGCUUACAAUGGUGAUGUGAUUCUACAGACUUAUAUAUCCAAUAAUGAAAGGAUUGUGCACCUCAAACCUCGCCCUUCAAUCAACAAAUCUAAAUCUUCUGAUCUAAGCCCUGAUUCUAAAUCCAAAGAACCCAGCAUAAGACCGAAGUCUGGAGGAAAGUGUGAAGAAUGUGGAAAACACUUGCAAGAUGAACGCAACCGCUUCUGCUCCAUUACAUGCAAGGUAACAACCGUGUUGUGGUGUAAUGUUAAAAAUUUUGUUAUUUACUUCUGUAUCAUUUGUUGACUCCAGUUAUGUGCAAUCUAUUAGAUCGCAGUGCUUCCAGUGGAGACUGAAAACCAAAGUGCUAGAGGCAUGAUCACUCCAAAAUCUGAAGGCAUUGACUUCACAAUGAAUGAUAACCAUAAUUCAGAACCAGAGUCAUCUAUCUCUGAAGUUGAGCCAUAUGGGUGGGUUGAAGUUGUGAAUUUCAGAAAGCGCCCAAGGAAAAGCACCCCUCAGAGGCCUGUCUUUGUUUUCACUUCGUAGAAGAUAUCACUACUCUUAUGGUUUUCUUCAUUUUCUUCUCCUAUUUGUUUUUAAUUUUCCAUUUUUGAAGAAUAAUAUUUCUUGAACAUCUGAGGGAAGCUCAACCCCGUUGUGCCCCAUAUUGGGAUUUAAGUAUAUAACAUAGGAGUUUGAGAUUCUGUUGCCAUUAGCAAAGUAACUAGCUGAGCUUGUACAGCACAAGGGUAAUAUGCUAUUAACACACUUCGGGAUACUACUUUCUGUAUAGUUUUCAGCAUCUUAUUCUACUCCCUUGGCCCCAUGUCACUUGCAUAUUACCACUAAUGUUUAAGUUCAAUGUAAAUGUUAAAAAAUAAUUUAAUUUAAGGGUACUGUUAGUUUAAUGUAAAUGUUAAUAAUGAAGUAUUAUAUAUAUUGAUAAAAAAAUAUUCUUAAGAACUGUUUCUGUCGGACAACAUAAAAUGUUUCAUACUGACCAUUCAUACCAAUUAAACUCCUCUGCAUUACAGAUCUCAAGGUCAUGCUUGCUAUGAUGGGGUGGUGUUCAUUUCUAGAAUUUGACCCCUUUGAAUAGCCAUAAAUAUUCCACUCCACUAAUCCUGUAAAAAUCAAUGUCAUUAAUACAACACCAAUCCUCUUUAUGUUUGUAGUUGAAAAGAUUCAAACCGUUUUGUAUUUUUUUGUUGAAACAUAAAUAAUUUCGGUAUUCAUUCAAAAUCAGUAGAUGACAAGUAGUUCACCUUGUUUAUUUCUCAUUCAAUGCUUUUUGGCUGGUUGGUCUUAUGAUAAUUGACUCUCUUAACAAAGCCUUCAUUAUGAUAAUUUGUGUAUUAUUUUAACAGUGACACUGUUUUCCCCUGCAGUAAUAAUCCCACAGAAGUAAUGGAAUGUUGUGAUGUGUCAAUAUGUGUAUUAUUAAUUUAUUUAACAUAAAUUUAAUAGAAUAAAGUAAAAAUUAUUAUAGGCAUGCAAAUAUGCUUUAGACCCUUUAUAUCUUUAUAAUGAGGCAUGUCCCCAGAAUGGACAAGCAAAAACUUGUGUUCAUAUUAUUUCCUGUACAUUGUGGCAGGCAAGAAGGUUGUUGUUAAUCAAAUAGGGUGGCAAAGAUUUGGUGUCCCCACGACACAAUGAAUUGCAAACUCAAAUCUUAAAAAAAUGGGAAUAAAGUUCAGCCAAUCAAAAGAUUCUAGUUUGAUGAACUGUAAAAAAAAAAUUACAUUCACAUAAGGUGAGAAGUGAAUGAAAGUCUUCUUAGAACAUAUCAUCAAGAUUCCUUUUCAAAUUCAAAUUUUGCAGAAGAAAAAUAUUAUUUGGAUGAGAAGAAUUUAUAAAAAAAAUCAAUCAAAUCUUACAACUAUAUCUAAUCAUCAAUUAAUGAAAAUUUAACACAGUUGAAAAGUUGAGUUGGGAAAUGCUUAGUUUGUCUUGUUAGUGUUUGACAUAUUUGUUUAACAGUAUACAUUUUGCAUAUUGUGUGAGGACACCUAGAUUUGGAACACAAAGCUGUUGUUUUCACACAUUGAUUAAUUUGAAUGUAGCUUUAAAUUGGGUAGAUGGGAAAAGGAAAAAAUGUUUGAUGAGAAUGGGGUGCUAUCUGAAAUACUCAGAAGCAGUGACACAUUCAUUAUGUUUCUGCUUUUGGUUUUGUUAGAUGGGUCUCAGACUUUUUUCUAUUUUCGAAAUCAACCCUUUAUGAGCAAUUAGAUCUAUGGAGAUCUCUCCAAAGAAGGAAAAAACUUUACAAAAAGGGUAUUGAAAAAAAAGUUAAAUUAAUUGAUAAAUUGAAGAGAUGGUGAAGAAGACAAGAGAAGAACAGAGAGAAUGGUUUUUGUAUUAAAAUUGAAUAAGAAGAGUUUUGAGCAACUUUUUGCACGAUGGAUGGGUCAAAAUGGUAUGGGUUGUGAAUGAUGAAUUGAAAGCUUUGUCGGAGAAUACCAUCACUCUCCACCUACCCAUGCUUUUAAGACACUUGUUUUUAGUUUAUACCUUAAAGUUCUUUGCAUUUCAAACUACUCACAUAUUCUAUCAUAUUUUAUUUGUGUUUCUUAUAACUAUUUUUUUUAUUUCUAUUUUUAAACAAUAAAGUAAGUUUUUAUUUAUAUUUUUAAAUAAGGUGUUUCUUCCUGCACCCAUCAUAAAAUGACAAAAAUGCUCCAUAUAAUUUGUUUUUUUAGAAUACAUUCUCAAAAGUUAUUUCAGAAAACAAAUUCCAUAACUUAUUAUACACCUUAUGGAAAUCUAUUAUGAAAAUCCUUUCAAAAAUGCUUUUCAGAAAUUUUGGAAAGCGAUUUCCAUAAUACAUUUAUAAAUUUGGAAUGGGGUGUUCGAGAAUAUUUCAGAAAAAAUAAUCUAAAAGUCAUUUAAAAAAGGGUGAAAUUAUCUUUUUAGAUAUUGAUGGGGGUGCAGGAAGAACUUUGACGGGUGUAGAAAAAAACAACCUUCAAAUGAUGAAGUAACCUUAUAUUUGUUCUAUAUCUAUUAUACUUCAAAGGCUGCUUCUUCCUGCACCUCCAUACCUUCUUCUCUCACCUCCAUAGAUUUUCAUGUUUCCAAAAGUACCCCUCUGUAAUAUUGUGAAUUACAUAAUUUGGAAGUCAUUUUUCAAAUUUGUAAUUAGCUUCCGGAUUAUAUAAUCCAAAGUCUUUUUUAAUAUGCAUGAUUACUUUCCGGAUUACAUAAUCUGGAAGUCUUUUUUAACUUCCAGAUUAUGUAAUCCGGAAGUCUUUUUUCAAAUGCGUUUCCGGAUUACAUAAUCCGAAAACUAUUCUAUGGGGGUGGAAGAAGAAGGAUAAAAUUGUAUUUUCAUGUUGUGUAUGGAGGUGCCAAAAGAAGAUACGGAGGUGCAGGAAGAAACAGUCUACUUCAAAUUAGAACCAACAAAGCAAUGACCAAAAAUGGAUAAAAUGAAGUUAGUUUUUUUUAAUAACCUAUUUAGUUAGAAUUUCGAAUUGAGAAUAAAAAAUCACAACAAAUCCCAACUAAAAGGCUUACUGUAUAAUUCUAGUUAAUUAGUAAUUAAUAAAUAACAUACUAAGUGUCACAAUUAAAAAUAUUAAAGAUUUUAUUACAUUAUAUUUGUAAUUAUCAUAAUAAGAAUAUUUUAAAUACUUAUCAGUUUUAUAGUGAAAAAACUUCAAAAGCUAAUCCAAAUCAAAUCAUAAACAUUUGAAUUCUAUAUUAAAUUAAAGUUGAACCAAAUUGGACUAUAUUUAAGUUUUAUAUUUUAUUUAAAUAUUUUUAAUAGAAUUUAACUAAAUUGAAAUAUAAACACCACAAUAUCUAUUGUUAAUUUCUAUUUUUUGACUAUUUUUCAAAACUAUUGACAAAUUUUUAAAUUCUCCUUUAGGUUAUAUUUUAAACUGACAAUGAAAGUUACUUCUUCCACUCUUCUCUAUAAAAAUCAAUCACCUAAAUUACAAGAAUUUUAAAAGUGAAUAAAUCGUUUUUUAGAUUUAGCCUAAAAAUGAUGGCUCUAGAAACUCAUAUUUGGUUAAGAAUUGGAAGGAAAAAUGGUAUGUUAUAGAAACUAUGCAAAACAGAAUAAACAUAAUACAAAUGGAUGAACUAAAUUUAUUAUAGUCAUUCAAAAUAAUUCGGAUAAAACAAUGUAAAAACCCUUAAUGAAUUGCAAACAAGUAUAAUGUGAAAGAAAACAUUUAAAAUUGUUCAAAAUAUAGUUGAAUAAACACACGUUAUUUUUUAUUUUUUUAAAAAGGAGUAAGAUAAAAUAUCUUGUAAGAUUUUUCUCCAAAAUACAAACAAAAAUAUCAACCAUAAUCAUAACAACUUUCAAAUAAAGAAUCAUUCAAAUCUAAGUCAUAUCUUCAAACAACUAAUAAAUAUAUAAUUUUAUUCCAGACUAAUUCUUCCGGCAUAGAUGAAUUCUAAACCCAAAUUUUAAACCCUAACCCUAAAUUUAUCAUUUUCUUUAAAACCCUAUAUCGGUUUUUUCACCUUUUUCAGAUUUUCGCAUCAAUAAGUGAAAAAAAAUAACUUAGGGAUCUUAUCAUCCUCCGGAAAACAUUCCUGUGUCAUGAAUGAUCAUAUUUGAAGGCACAUUCCUGUGUUUCUAUGUAGGUGUUGGAUGCAGAUUACAAUUGAACACAGGAAAAAAUUAGACUUUAUUCCAUAACAAUAAAAAAAAUUAAGCCUUUCUAUGACCAAAUUUACUUGUAGUGGUCAAAAUUAACAAAUGAAAGAGGGUGAAAGUGUUUCUAAUGACGAAUUUUAAAAAAAAAUCUGUUUUACCCUUUUUAAAAAUAACUUCUAAUGACGAAUUAGAUAGAACAUUUUUAGCGUUUUACCUAAUUAAGAUAUUAGUAUCACAGCUGCAAAAGGUGUUUAAAAGUAUACUAACUUUACCAAGGAUGAAUGACAUAAAAAAUAGUGAGACACAAUAAGAUAAGUCCAAAAAUCAUGUACCUUAUUAUUUUAUUUUAAAAUUUUAUUUGUCUAUUAUCUUCAAUUAAAUAUAAUAUUUUAUUACUAAAUUGUUUAAAGAAUAGGCUACUGUUAAAAUCUAAUUUCUUUAAAAUAGUAUCAUAUUUAAGCAUCUUAUAAGGUAUGGCACACAAUAUGAGGAUUCUAAUCUUCUAAAACAAAAUUUGGAAAAGGAUAAUAAUAAACUUUUAUUAUAGCAUGUUUUUUGUAGGCCAACCUUGCUUACAAACCACUUUGGUCGAUCAACCUUGCUUAAAAAAAUGGUCACUUAUCCAAAUAAUUUAUCCCUAGCAAAAAGACUAUUUUUUGGGAGUAGUAGAGAUCUAAAUCUUUAAUGCAUCAUUUAAUUAUGCAAUGACUUUAGCCUGAAAGUGGCCCACAAAGGCACAGGCCAUUUAAACUAAAGUAUAAGAAAUGGAUAAAUAAACGAGAACUAGAAUCAUUAUUGAAAUUGAAUCUCAUAAUAUGCAUUAAUCUGAUUCACUCUACAACCCCCCUCAAGGGAAAACAGGGCAAUAGUUCCAAAUAAAUGUUGUUGUUUCAGCCCAAGUUCCAAAUAAAUUGAUGACUACUGAAAAUUCUGCAGCUACUUGUGGAUUGUAAAUUGUUUCCCGACACAAACGAUAUUUCCUCUUUUCUUUUUUGGAAAGAAAAAUCUCCAACAAGGAAAAAGAUGCAAGGAACCUUGCUAAGCUGGCUAAAACAAUGAAAACAAAGUUCUAGUCCCGCUUAUUCAUUCUCCAACGGUCAAACCAAACCCAAAUUUGUAGUCUUUUUUCCUGUGGUCAAGCUGAAAUGAAUACAUAUGAAAACCAUGUCAAGACAAAAUGCAAAAUCUGAAACUAACUAAAUAAAACAUCACCUCCAAACUAGAUUACAUACAUACUACAUACAUCCCUAAGCACAAAUAUGAAUAAAGAGCAGUGGAAUAAAGAGUACAGAAAAAGCCCUGACCUCUGCAGAAAGAAUAAAAUUCAGACCCAUAUUUAAUCGCUCCUCCAAAAAAGCAGCAACACAGCCAUUCGAAUCUACCUUUCCCCUAAGGCGGCACUACAAUAACCAACGCAAAGUAGAUAAGAAACCCGAUUACCUUAAAAGUGGAUAAUAUCAUUCACCAAUGCAUCAUCCUUAUAGAAGUUCAAAAGUAGAACUUUAAAUGGCUUGACAGCCUAGUAAUGACCUCACCAAUCCAAAAUCAACCACUAGUAACCACACAAUCAUAAAGAAACACUUUUUUUUGUCAGUAUAAUCCUAAAUCACCUUUCAUGCGGGGAAGCAUCUGCAAACUUUUUUCCAUAUCUUGAAACUUGAAAUACAAUAGCAAUAAACUCCCAUUAAAAGUCAUAAAAUACACAAAACUUGAAAAUUGUUGACAAGUACAAAGCCAGAAAACUAAUUCUCAACACAAUAUACAAGGAAUGAUAAAACAAUGUAAAAAAUGUUAGGCCUAGACUCUAUAGUAAAUAUUUAAAGAUGCAAAAUUGUAUGGACUAAUGAUAGUAUCCAAAGUAAACUUAUAAUAUGCCAAGUUUCACAUUUAGUGCACUACCUAAUGCUACUGGCCACUUGUUCCAGUGGUAAUUUUGUCUCCUGACCAUUGGAGAAUGAUGUGAGGCAUAUAUAAAGAUUGCAAGUUUUGAUGGUGUUAUUAUGUCUGCAGUUAAAUUGAAGUGAACAGCAAGGGAGAGUGAAACUUGAAAAAGGUAGCUAGAUGUGAUGUAGGGGUUGAUAAUUGUCAAUUUUUCCUCCACCCCUUCCAUUCCUGCAAGUUUUACUCCCAAUGCAUGGAUACAGAUGAACAAGAAAACUCUAUUAUAACCAAUUUGAAAUAUAAUGUCUAACUGGUUCACGGAAUCACAUUCAUGCUGUAUUACGUUGAAAUUGCAAUCUAUGAUUGAAUUCAUGAAAGAGAAAACUACCUGUCUAAGGAUGUAGUCAUAACCAAAGCUAGCCGUGACAUCUCUUGACAAGUAGUUACACAUAAACUCAGAUGCUAGAGAAACCUGGGAGGAACAUUUUUGUAUAAAAAAUAAGAAAUUUGAAUUGAAAAAAACACAAAUAUACAAUGUGAUUAUCAACUCACCUUCUCAGAUACCUUCUGAACAUAGCUUAGAAGAACCAUUCCAGUGCUAGCAACUUGCCCCGUAGCAACCUAAAUGUAGGUAAGCAAAUGAAAGAAUCAGUAGUAAUAAAAAAGGGAAAAGGAACCACUGAAAAUAGAAUAAGAUACAACUUAAUAUAACCAACGGUUGUCAAGUAGAGAAAUAAAAACAUAGCAUAAACUCUUAAUAUUUUGUGCAUGUGUACAAGUGUUUUACCCAGGCUGCUUAGCUAUUAAAAUUAAAGGGGUGGGUGGGUAAAGUUCCAAGCAGAAAUGUUUGCCAAUAACAAUAUAGAAAUAUAAGGACCAUAAACAAAUAUGAAAAUUUUAAAUAGGAAAAUCAAGGGGCACUCAGCCAAUAAUGCACACAGGGCUAAGUCUUACACCAGCAUACCAUUUUUUCAGUGUUGUAGCGAGCAGCAUAACCAAUACCAGACUUCCUAUGCUGACCAGCCCAAAAUACCUCCCCUCCCAAUGAUAAGUGCUGUGUCACACUCUGCACAAAGAUGAUAUUUUCAGUAAAUUGUAGCAGUCAUCAAGUAGAAAGCAGUUGAGGAAAUUACAAGAGUAAGGCUCAGCAAUUUGUUAGAAGAAUAAUGCUCUAAAGCAGACCUAGUGUAGCAAACUAACACAAUAAUAUUGCAUAAAUGCAAACCACAAGGAAGAAAACUGAUAACAAUAACAAAUGCAUCUCACACAACAAUCCUGUCAAUUAAAAUAAAGAAAUAGAGGAAAAAACUUCCACAACUGUCAAAUAUUAAAUAGCGAUCAGUUUUUAAAUCUGGAAUAGCAGUGUGGAGUGGUCAGCAAAAAAACUAGUUAGCAAGAUAAUAGUUACUCUGAAAUCUUUUAUUAUACUAAGAUUUAACCUAAAAAACAAACAAAAAGAGAAAGCAAAACUGUGGCAAAUAAAAUAGCACAAGAGAAGAGGAACAGCACUCAUGGGAGUGGAGCUAUCAUCUCACAAUUCCCACUACAGCAACACCAAAUAGGAGACAGGGAUUGCUCUUCUGCUAUUGUGGUGCCAUUUAAAACUCAGAUGAUAGUAAUAGCAAUUUAAAACUAAGGAAGCAUGAAGAUGUCACUAAUCAUAAAUUUUAAUACACAUACAAACAUUAAUUGACUUAAUAAUUUUUUUAUUUGUAAUAUCGUGUUUAUAAAUUUUUACGUAUUAUGUGAUAUUGGGCUUGUUAUAUAAUAUAAUAAUUGCACAUUAGUAUAUUUCCAAUAUUUCUUCACUAUUGUAGAGUACUUUAAUGACAAAAUAUAUGAUAAUAUUUCUAAUAAAAUAAACCUCCUCAUUGUAGGAUUCUUUAGGGUAGAGAGUGACCCUUGGGUCACUCAAUAAAGUAAAACAUCCCUAGCCUCUUUCUUGAUUCACUCAUCAACCCCUCUCCCACAAGAAAAAAGAACUAGCCAUUUUUCUUGCAAAAGGUUGUUAAUAUUCAGAAACAGAUAACAAAGACAUAAUUGAGAAGCCCAAAAAUAAACUCAUUAAGCAACUUGAAAUUUUAUUAUCCCAGCAGACAUAUCACCUGCAUACUCAUUUAAACAAGAGAAUAGAGCAACAACCAUAUCAGUGUAUUUACCCAGUAUAAAUAAAUCCUUCACAAUUUAUUUGUUUGAAAAAAAAAACUGCAAAAUGUAUGGAGAUCCCAUACCUGAAUAUAACUUGCUCCUAGUAAGGCUCCAUUCCCGAGUUGAAACUGUGACCUAUAGUCUUUUCCCUGAAAAAUGUAAUAUAAUGAAGUUAUAAAAUAUGGAACAUCUACUGAGAAACUCAGUCACAAUGAACGUCUAUCAACAGAAAAAAUUUAACGAAAAGAACAUGCAAAAACAUGACUAGGAGAGAAGGGAAGCAAUGAAUAACUUAGUCAAGAAAUGGUAAAUUAGUUGACCUUGUAAUCAAAGUUGAACAUCCCAUGAGACAUAUGUGGCUCAUUCGUAAGCUAUACAUGGAAACAAGAGAGAAGAUUAUGGUGAGAAAACGCGACAAAGGAAGGCAAAAAGAAAAGAAAAAAUAUGGGAAUGGGGAGGAGUAAGGGGUCCCAUAAACCAAAUACUUCACAAAUAAAUAGAAAGGAAAUUCCAAGGCACUUCUACUUACUUUUCCUGGCACCAAUAAGUCACAAGCGCCACGGCUCGAUAGUAGAAAUCAGAAAAUAGUACAAGCUCUUGUUUUCACAAUAGAGUUGAAAAGAAUAUUUGGUAACUACUCAAAGAAGUAGCAAAAUACAAACGACGCAAAACACAGGAAAAUUACAGGCUGCAUUACUCAUAACUGAAACGAUCACAUGCGUACCUGAGCAUUGGCUUUAAAAGUGAGAUUCUCAGACAAAUCACACUUAACUCUAGCAUUCAGCCUCCCAUCGGUCAAAAUCCUCCCCCAGAGCAACAACUGCAGAACACUAUCAUCGAUGAAAAAACACCGUACAAAAAAAACGAAAGAUCAUUUGAAAGAAACCCAAAUUACCCUAGGAUGAUCAAUGAAGGUUGAGCCAAACUCAUAUUGAGCAGUUGGAAUCUUAAUAGUUUCCGUAGACUGAGACGGAAUCUCAGUAGGUCCCAUCAACACGCUGAUCACACAACAACAAAUAGCCUUUACAAAGCUAAAUUUCAUAAAAAAAAUAAAUAAAAAUAGAAAGAAAGAAACACGUAAAGGAACCUGUGAUUGAGAGUGAACUUCUGAUUGAGCAUCUUGGUGAAAUCAAAACGCAUGCCCUCAAAAAGAUCUGGCUUCAACGACACUGUCGAAAACGAAGAAACAUUAAAACGUUACAAACUGGUACAGAUAAAACUGUGGCGGAAGAUUACGGAGAAAGGAACUUACUCAUGGCUUCGCGAUGGAGCUCCUCGAAGGGAAUUGGACAUGGAAGGUUGAAGAAAUCGACGACGGUUUCGACGGCGGCAGGAGGAGGAGGAGGAGGAGGAAGAACGGUGGUCGCCAUUGGGAUCAGAAAAGAGAGAGAGAGAGAGAGAGACGAAUCUGUUGUAAAACCCUCCUCAGUCCUCAACAAACCUUCCACCACUGCUAAAACCCUAAUUCACUUUCCGAGUAAGAGAAGCUUAUACACACACUAGAUCAUGACCCAUCACAAACUUCACUCCACCCGACCCGACCCAUUCGGUCCGACCCGACCCAUUUUCAAGUAAUACCUAUCCAAUUUCCUUCUUCCCAAUGCACCAUUAUUCACGGUUGACCCGAAUCGCUACCCAUUUUCAAAUUACCACCAAAUAACUAAUUUCUUUUUCUUAAUUAACUCUUUCGUCCUGUAAUAAAGAGUUUUUAUUUUUUUAUUUUUUCAGUAAGUUAACCACACUCAGUUAACUUGGUAAUAUAAAAUUAUUAUUUCUGCCUUGUUGAUGUAAUGGAAAUAUUAUAUUAAUAAUUUAAAUUCUCUAUAUAAACUUGAAUGUAUUAUUUCAUCGUUAAUGUAUUUAUUUUUCAAUAUCACCAAUGCAUUGAUCUGUGUAUCACAGAAAAAAUUAAAAUUAUAAAAGAACUAGUAGUUUAUCUUUAUCAAUUCUAACAUCUUUUCACCUUUCACACGUUUUCUAGUUUUUUACCAUUUUUCUUUAAAUUCCACAAGUUCUUCCAUUAUCUGUAUAUCAAGUUCUUCUUUAGUUUCUCACGUUUUUUUCGUCUUUUUUUUAUGACUCCGUAGACGAUACUAAUUUAUCAGAUCAUUCAUAUUAGCAGUUUCAUAAAUCUUAAUCAUCUCAUAACAGUUCCUUCCUCUUUUCAACGUUAUGACUUUUGAUAUUUUGUAUUAUAUACAUUUUUUUAUGUGUGAUAAAUAUGACUUUUGAAUCUUCUUUAUUAAAAGUUGGUAUUCCAUUUCUUAUUCAAAGUACACGAAUUCCUGUAAUUUCACUGUUGUGUACCAACAUUUGGUAUGAUGUCUGUCUAUUCAUGCAUUUAGUGUUAUUCAUUAUUUUUCUUAUUUUCAGAAGCAGAUUAUUAAUAAUAACGUAAAAUGCAACCAGAAUUCUUUUUUGUUAAAAUACUAUAGUUAAAAUUGACAGGAAUGCUAUCAUCUUUAAGUUCAAUUUUUACAAACCUCCUUUGUUUUGAAAAUUGUAUUUAGAAUUUUUAUAAUUUUAAAUUUCCCUUGCAUAAAUUUUGUAACUAUAUUCAAAUAUAGAUUUUUCUCAAGAUUGGUCACACAAUUACUUUAAAGCUCAUGUUUUUUUAACAAAAUAUAAAAAAUCACAAUCAUUUUUACAUUCGGUUCUAACAGUAAAUACCAAAAUUCUACCAUCAAUUAAAUUAUUAAAGCACUAUUGAUAUUGAAUAAUUUGUACGAGCAGAUUAUUAAAAAAUUAGAAAUUCAGCACAACUGAUUUAUAGGUAGUAACAAGAGGUUUACAGAAAAAUGACAUUAUUGGAUAUCAGAAUUCGAAAGUCAUUAGUUUAACCGAAGAAUUCCAAUACAAAAAAGUAGUAUUUUCAUAUUAAUUAUUAGAAUCAAUAUUAUCAACACUUUCAGCAUUAUAAUACCAAAAGGUGAGAUAAAAAUGGUGUGACCAUAAUUCAAAUUCUAAAAACCAAAAUUGCAAUAAAACCGAAAUAAUUUAUAACCCAAUUUGUUUCAAACCAAAAUAAAAUGAAAACCAUUGAAUGCAGAAGAUAAAAUUGACAGCAUCAAUAGCUCCCAACACAUGAACAAAGUGUGGGAUUGGUAUGGUAUUGUAUGAGGCGAACAUGUUGCUACUGAACAUGUUCCUUGAGAAACUCGAACAAAAAAACCUCAUCGUUCAUUUUGUAGUACCCACGUUUAUACCAUAACAUCACAAACAAAUAACACAAACAUGCCACUGUCAAAAUCCCCAACCGGAGCAUUAUGUAUUGGCUCCAAAUUAUAUCAAAUGUUAAUCACAAACCACAAUAAUGCAUGUUCAUAACGGAAGCAACGAUGCACGCAAAUCGUUCCCAAUCCAAAACAAUCAAAACAGAAAACAACAUUAGAGAAAACGCAAAACCCUAAAUCAAAGCCACAAUCCCUCGUUACCGAUUGAACCAAAUAAAAUCGUAUAGUGAAGAGCUUCAUCGCAAUAGAAACAGAAAUAUAAACAAACAAGAUAUUUCCAAUCCGAAAAAAUAAUAAGAUAAAGGAGAGCAUUCAAACAAUAACAUUUAAAUUACCAACAGAACUUAAACUUAACUAAAACAUUAUAUAAUAAGAGUAUCCAAAAUCCGAUUAAGAAACUCAGCAAAACACAAAUAAAACAGAGAUAGUUC
rnacentral:lncRNA from 1 species